GUUCAUUCAUAACAAUUUCAUUGUAAUCCGUGACGUCUGCUCCAUCUUUAUGCCAGAAUACUUCUUCUAAUUCAUCAUUACCUAUUAUCCAUAUGUACUUCAGUUUUUGAAGACUUGGAGCUACGCUGAUAUGAAAUAGAUGCUUUAGUUUGGGGCAAUAACCGACAGAGAUCUCUGUGAGUUUUGGGAAACAUAGGGGUUGGAGAUGAUCCUCAUCAAUGAUUUGCUCUAAUUCCAAGCAGUUAUCAAUAACCAGCUUCUCCAAUUGCAACAGAUUUCGAGCAAGUGUUGAUGAGAAGAGACGUCUCAGCAUAGUGCACCCGUCCACUCUUAAAUAGGUAAGACUUUGCAGGCUAAAAUUAUGCGUAGGACCUUCGUGAUAUAAUACUUGCAGUUCUCGAAGGUUUUCCAAUUGCAACCUCUUCAAACAUGGGAAUAGUUUGUUUUCUUGUCCCUCGGCGAUAAUAGCUUCCAAUUGAAAUACCACCUGUACUCCAAUUUCCAUAAUACCCAAAUAUUCCAAAUUUUUUAAUCCGUGCUUCAACAGUGCUGGAAUUGUGUCACUCAAAUGGGAACAAUUGUCCACAUCUAGAGUAUUUAAGUUCUGAGACAAAUAAAUAAAUAACUUGAUGCAAUUAAAAUUUAUUAGCAGCUACGAUUAUCACAUGAUAACACCGCAAAAAUAUCAUAAUACAUAUGUAAACUAAUAAAAUAAUUAAAAAAUAAUGGAUUUAAAAAAAAGAAAUUAGUUAAAAGAGAUCAUGUGAAGUGAUAUAAAUGUGACAGUAGAUUGUUUUAGAAAAAAAUAUUAUUCUAUUAAUUUAUAUGGCUUGAUCAACUAUUUAAUUGAAUCAGAAGUAUUUGCAUCAAUUCUUUCUAAACCAAAAUGAGAUAUGACUUUUAUUUGAAGAAUGGUUUUAAGCCCUAUAAUAAAGAAAUUUCCCUAAGAUAUCGGAGCAUUAUUGUUAUCACCGCCACAUCCACCACCACCAUCAUCAUCUCCAUAGGAUCAAAUAAUUAAUGGCUGAUCAUAAAAUUUAUUGCUAAACUACCAUUUUCAGUAAAAUUAAAGGAAAAGAGAAAAAAACAUAAAUACAAAUAAACAUACCUUUUCAAGAUACUGCAAAUUGGCUUCAAGUUCAGUACUGUUGACGGUCAAGUUGGGACAGUAAUGAAGCUGUAACUCUUCCAAUGCUGGCCAAAUUGAACAAUAAUUUUCUGAACAGAAGCUGGUGAGUUCUGAGAGAUUAUCAAGUGUUAAUUCUCUCAACAAAGGGAGGGCGAGCAUCGUAUUUCCAUCUCCGACACUUAUUUCCCCUUCAUUAUGAUCAAACUUUGCUUCGACAAUAUAUUCCAGUCUCUCGCAUCCACUUACAUUGAGACUUUUAAGCUGCUCCAAACUUCUAGCUUGUGACAACGUGAAGAUAUAUGUCAACUUGUUGCAGCCAUGCACAUUCAAUUUUGUAAGAGUUUGGAGACUGAUCACAUGUUGGGCGGGCGCCUUCCAUAUCCACUUCAGUUCUGGUAAGUCCCACAUAGAUAACUCUGCUAAUCUUGAGAGACUCUUUCCAUGCGGCGACUUAGAGGCUUCCAUUAUGCAUUCUAAAUCUUCGCAAUCGCGGACAUCAAGACAAGUCAACUCAUUUAAGCCCCUUUCAUCUAUGCUUGGCACGAUAUUAUGACAACCUAUUAACCCCCUCAAACAAAGAAAUUCCAGAUUUUGAUACAAUGCUGAAAAAAUAACGAGCGAGGUCGAAGUUUCAAUCUACGAAGUUCAUCCGACAAUUCUUCAGGAAUUUCAAUGGGAGAAUCCUCGAGAUAAAGAAGUUCAAGUCUCUUCAACUUUCCAAGAAAAGACGCGUCACUCACAUCACAUCGAAUCAACUGCAGAACUCGGAGGUUUUUGUCGAGGAAUCGAAGCGAUUUUAGUGAAAUGACUCCACCUAUUAUAGUAACAACUUUCAAUGCUGGCAUCCCUUUAAAAAAAUGUUCUGGAAUUUGCAAUUCAUAAUUAUAUACGGUGUUCACCAAUCGCAGAAUAUGAAGGUUAGGGCAUAUCAAACCACUAGGAAGCUCUUCUUCUUUUUUAUCUACGACCAAAGACAGUCCCCUACACUGUUCCAGGCCUUCUUCCACCGCCCGUUCCACCAUUUCGAUGCCAGUUAUACUAAAAAAUCUCUCCUCUUCCUCCUCCUUCUUUUUGCUUAUCCAUAUGGCUACAUCACGGACUACGUCAUGAAUUUUCACAGAUCUGUCAUUGCCAGUGUCUAACAGCAAUGAAGAAGCUUUGAGCUCUUUCAUCGUUCCACUCAGUAGGCUCCUGACUUUUUCAAUUGACUCAGCUCGAUACCAUCUCAACCCCACUGCAUAUCCAACCAAAUCAUCCAAAUAUAUCUCAUAAUCCUCUGGAAACAAAGAACACAACAAGAAGCACGACCUGGAAUCCUCACCAUUCAAAUAAUCGUAACUAAAUUUGAGACAAUGGUAAACGUCUUGGUCCUCCUUGCCAAUUCCUUCUAUUGUAUUGAGUUUUGAAUCUUGUAGUUUAUCUAGAGCUAGGUUCCACUCAUCAAAUCCUUUAGCUCUUAGUGCACUUCCAACAGCUUUAAUAGCUAAAGGCAGCCCCUUACAUUCAUUAGCAACCUGUUCUGAAACACCAAUCAAGGUUGAAUCAGCAACAUCAAUGCCAGCAAGCUUUCUUAGUAAAGCCAAUCCUUCUUCUCGCUUUAGAACACCUAGUUGAAUCUGCGGGUCACAACGCAUGCGAUCACAAACUGGCUGCAGGCGAGUGGUUAGAAGGAUUUUGCAACAAUUGUCUCCAUCACCAACAGGAAUACCUACUGUCUUCAAGUCGAGUUCAUUCCAGACAUCGUCAAGUAUUAUGAGUAUCUUGCUGCUUUUACUCUCAGAAAACAUCAAGCGCAAUCGGUCUGCUCUCUCUUUUUCAUCUUUCUCAUUUAGUGCCCAGCCUAACGACUUUGCUAGCUCACCUUGAACCUUUAUUAUAUCUGGAUCCUGAGACACAGUGGCUAUCCCCACCUCAUCGAAAAUCUUUUCUUGCCGAAGUUGAUUGCCCACAAAGUUUGCCAAAGUCGUCUUUCCGACACCACCGAUACCAUACAAUCCCACCAUCUUCGUGCUAUCUCUUUUCAGUUCUUCAAUAAUCUGAUUGCAAGUCGAUUCUGUAGUCUCGAAAGACAUAAAAUGUCUUGGUAUAUGCAAUUCUUUGUCUGAUGGUAGAGGUUUAGGAAGGGCAACUGAGCUGAAUUUGCUGCAUUUCUUUUGUAUAUCGGACAACUUGCUAGUCUUCUUUGAUGCUUUUCUACCUAGCCAAUAUCGCCAACCCCAAUUAGGACACCAUCCAUUAAGACAACUCUUCUUUUCAUCUAUCUUUGCUUUCAAAUUUCGAACGUCGGCCAUUUCUUUGUCUACAUCCUCAAGCCAUGUCUUGACAUCUUCCUCGACUUCUAUAGCACGGUGUAUUUGUCGUUCUUGUUCUACUCUUUUAUUGAUGCCAUCUUGUGCCUCCUUCAAAUUAGUUUCUUGAUCCUCAAGUUCUUUAAUAACGCUGUUGAAACAGAGCAGAUAACGAGCUUGGUUUAUGGUUGCAUCCACCAACAACUCUCCAAGCCUUGAUGCAACACCUGACAAAAGUUCCAUGCUAUUUAUCUGCAAUUAAUAAAGUUGAUCUCAGUAAGCUAUAAGCAAAACAAUGAGGCUUGAUCACAAGAUCGAACGAGAAAGUUUAAUUACCUUUUUCUAUUCUGUGAAUGCACGUUUAUUGACACUAGCUUUGACCAGUAAGAGCAAAAUGCAAACGCCGAGCUUUAAGUGGCCAUUAGCUGCAAAACAAAAGAGAGGAAAUAAGGUAAUUUAUUAUUAUUAUUAUUAUUAUUAUUUUUAAGGACGGAUAAAGGUUAGCUAGCUUGCAGACAAAUUUACUAAACUCAAGACAAACCUAAGAGUUUUCCUAAUUUGUUCAAACAUGGAAUAAGCGUUUCACAACAGUAUAUCCAUAAAGGCCCCAGCGAACGUAAUAUGUGCUGGACUAUAUUGAAAUUAGAUUAUUUUAGAAAAUUUUAAAUAAAAAAUAUCAAACAACAAAGAAAUCUAAUAGAAUCUGGAUAAACAGCAUGGGAGAAUAUGGUAAAAUUGAUAAACUUGGUUCAAAAAUUACAAUUCUUUUUGAGAUUUGAACCAACGAUUUUGACUAAGGUCUCCUAAGCCACAAAGCAUAACUCUUACUACUAAAUUACGCGCAUUUUGUUACAUUUAAAUGUGGUCAUAUUCUUUUUAUUAUCUUUUUUUAGAAGGGACUCAUGGUAUACUUAAAAGAAAUAAUAAUGAUUUAGAUGGGGCUGAAGCCCACUCAUGAAAAAAUUUAAAGGUUUUCAAGAUAAUAACCGAUUAUUUUCCACCCAAUAUUCUAAUAGAAUGGUGCCAGAAUUCUCAAAUAAUAUCUUAAUAUUAUUUAACUGGUUGGCACCCACCUAUUGGAUGAUUAAUUUAAUAAUUUGUUACAUUAUUUAAUACUCCAUCUCACUAUCUAGUGAUGUAAAUGGUGGAGAAGGAUCGUCUCCUAGACUUUUUUCUCUCACUAAUCUCUUAGUGAAAUAAGUGGCCGAAAUUGAAUUUUAAUUUUUGAUAUUGACAAUUAAAUUGGCUUGUUUCACAUUAUUAACAAUUAAGCCAAUUUUUUUUUUCUCCUUUUUUCAAUUAGAUUUGGAAGGCUAUAAGAGAGUAGGAGAGAAAAAACACUAGAAGGAGAUCUUAAUCCAUAAAUAGUACCUUAUUUGGGAUGGUAAAGAUUGAGAUAAAUUUCCUCUUAGUCUCUAAAAUUUUGGCCUAUGCGCAGCCAUAAUUUUAGUAUUUUUAAAAAGAAUGGGAUUAUUUACAUUCUAAAAUCUAUUUUGAAUACUCUUUUACUCAACACACUCAUUCAAUAAAUAAAUUUUAAAAAAUAAUUUUUACUUUACACACUAUUUCGAGAGUCAAAACUAUCCUUCAUUAGGACCAUUUCAUUAACUAAUUAUUUUCUAUUGACACCCAUAAAAUAUUCAUCAUUCUUGAACCAUGUGGCGUUAAUUAAUGAUUCCGAAGCAUUAUCAAGAUUCAAGAUUUAUGUUGAAAUUCUUUCAUCUGACAUUUGAACCCAGCCACUAGCUAUAUACAUAUAUACUUUCAAAUGCAGCUCUGGGAAUAUUUUGUGACUGAUUUUAUAAAGUGUUUUAGUUACAUUAAUGCAGUGAAACAAUAAAGAGUACGUGGCUUGCUGAUUUCCAAAUCAAGUUGGGGGAAAAAACAGAGCAUUUUUCUUUUAUAAUGGAUUAGAUUAGACGAUGAAGGACAAAUUAUUCGCGAUUAUUAGUACUUUUGUGUGUGUUAAGAGUAAUAAUAUUAUUUUAAAUUAUAUUAAUGCCUUUCGUAGUGAAUUCAAUUAGGGUUAUUUUAGUAAUAUAAAUUUUCAUUAAAAUUAAAGUGUCCAAAUUAUAAUUUAGAUUUUUCAAAUGUAAAAUAAUAUUUUUUUAUCUGAUAUAAAUUAAAAUUCAAACAAAUGUAUCAUGCAACAAAUGAAAAGUAAAGAAUAUUAAUUAGGUUUUAAUAGAAACAAAUAUAAAUAGAUGUUUUGAGUAGUUAUUUUUUGUUAUUUUAUGCUAUUGGUAGUUUGUGGAUUAAAUAAUUUGUAUAAGGAUAAAUGGGGGUUUGUAUAAUUUAGACGAAGAUAAUCUCCAAAAUAAGCUUAUAUGUCGAAUUAAAAAGUGUUAUAUAAGUAGUAAUUGUAUUUGCAUCAAAAUUUUUAAUAAAAUUUAUUUAGAAAUUGGCCAAUUGGGUUUUAUGAAGAAAAUAGAGGGGCAAGUAAUUAUGUAACAAGUAAUUUGUAGGUUGUGGUACUUCUCCAUACUUUAAAUCACUUUUAUCUAAUCAAUUGAUAAAUAUUUUUUGGGCACCAACAAAAUGAAAAGAAAAGUUUAAAAAUAAUUCUGAAAUUAAAAACGUUAGGUAUUGCCUAUAAGCUAUACAAUUUUACCUUUUCUUCUACACAAUUAGUAUUAGAAAUAAAAGUAGUUUCAAAAUAAAUGUAAUUAGGAGGUAAUAUUAUCUCAACAAUACCUUAUAGGGAAAAAGACAUCUACAUCCUAAAGUUUGGAGAAAUGGUCGUAAAGACCCUAGGUUUUCAGAAAGGGAUAUCAAGACCCUUUUUUUAUCGUAAUACCCUUUAAAUAUAGUAAUUAGAAAAUUGACUUUAAGAAUUUUUAAUUGACAAAUUUAAUAUAAAUAAUAUAAUCUAUCUAGUAGAUUAAUAAUAUUAACAAUAAAAAUAAUAUUAAAAUUUAAAUUCUUAUAUUUAUUUUAAUAAUAUAUUUUUUUUUUUAUAAAGAUUUUAAAUAAAUCCUUGGGUUAAAUAGGUUUUCCAGUUAACAAAAUAUACCCCUAUUAAUAAUAUUGAAAUUACUUUCUACAUAAUAUUUAAAAUAAUUAUAAUUUAUUUAUUUUAAUAUUAUGUUUCUAUUUAUUAAAAAUUACUUUAUUAGAGUAAAUUUUUAUUAAUUAAAGCUUUAAAAUCAAUUUUCUAAUUACUAAAUUAAAAGGGUAUUAUGGUAAAAAAGGGUCUUUCCUUUUUGAAAACUUAGGGUUUUUGCGACCAUCUCCGCAAACUUUGGAGUAUAGGUGUCCUUUUCCCUACUUCAUAUAAAGAUAUUCCAUAAGGUCUUAUAAUAACUUAUAUUAUAUGAAUUUAAUUAAAAGAUCAUUAAUACUUAAAUAAUAAUAAUUAUAGAAGACAUUGUAAUAAAUUAUUUGAUAUAUAUUAUUAAUGAUACUAUAUAUAUGUGUAUAUAACUACAUGAUGGCUUGGAUAUAUAUUGUUUAGUGGUAAUAAAUUUUUUUAAAAAAAUUUAAACUAAUGAUUUCAUGUAAUUCAAUGGUGGAUGAUUUAAAAUCAUAAAAUAUUGUUUUGACUUUCAAUAUCAACCGUUAGACUGUGAGAAAUUAAUUGCUCAAUAUUUUGUGUUAAAUUUUUGAAUUAAAAUAUCCCAAACCAUUUGUUUUACUUAAAAUACAAAAAAUAUAUAAAGAAAUUUUCUCAUUAAUUUUCAUAUUUUUAUUAGAGAUAAUAUUUUAUGUAUCGUCACCAUUAAUUGCCAUCAUUAAAGUAGUGACUCUUAGUAAUAUAAAAUUUUAUAAUUAGUUAAUUGCAAUCAAAGGAUAUCAAUAAAAUAAUAUUUUAUGAUUCAUAAAUUAAAGCUAAUUAAGAAUAUAUGUUUGUUUUAACUUUUAUGAAAUCAACUAAGUGAUAUUAGAAAAUAAAAUGAAAAUAAACUAGUGAAACUUAAAUUUUAUAAGGUUUGAAUAAUUUUCUACCAUGUAAGAAUAUUAAUUGUGACAUAAACCAUAGUUUCAUGGUAUAUGUAUGCCGAAUGGGGUAACAAAUAAUAUAUACUUCACGAUCAUGAUAGUAUAUAAAGUAGUGGAUAUUUUAAUAUAUAACAUAAAAUUCUUUAAGACAUAGGUGGUCAAUUAUAUAUUUUUUAGGACAUAGACAAUCUCAAUCAAGAGUUUAUUGAUGUGAAUAGAUGGCAUUCACUUAAAUGUAUACACUUAAUUGUGUUGUUUAUUGGUAUUAGAUAUUCACUUAAAUGUAUAUACUUAAUUGUGUUGUUUAUUGGUAUUACAUGUAACAAAAUUUUAUAUUAAAUUUUGAAGUUUUAUAUUGUUGUUUCUAUUGAAUUUAUAAAUACAAUAAAAUUAUGGCCAUCAACAAUCACAACCAACUGCCACCAACAAUUAGAUUCUCAUAUCCGUUGACGACAAUUUUUUAUACUAUUGGAACUCCAAUCUUUGAAGCUACACAAUAGUUAAAGUACCAACAUCACUAGAACUUCCGUUCAUUGUAGAUCUAUAGUCAAAGUUUCGAAUCUUAAAAAUUUGACAGCAGAUUUAUGUCAAAUGAAAGCUUGUUACCAGUGAUUCUUAUACAAUUAUGUUGUUAUAGUAAUAAGGAUUCUAGUGGUACUAAAAUGCACUCCAUUAGACAUAAAGAUCCGACGACUAGUGGCGACAACAACUAUCAUUAGUGACUUGGAGGUAAUUGCCAUUAAUAAAUUAUUUUUAACUUAAUAAUUAAUACAAACAAAUAAAAAAGUAAUUUAAUGAAAAUUAAUGUAAUAAAUAAUUGAAUUAAAAAAAUUAAAACCUAAAUUCUCGACCAUUUAUCCGUAUGUUUCGAAUCCAACGUUCAAAAUUGGAAUAAAACAUAGUAUAGCCAUUGGAAGUAAAACAAACAUUAAAGAGACUAGGAAAAAAUAUCUCAUACCUUCUAUAAUGAUACAUCCUCAAUCACUGCAGAAAGCUCCAAUUAAAAAGUCGCACAAGUUCGGAGAAAAUUACCUAACAACACAAAUAAACAUCAAAUCAAAGCAACAUAGGAUCCAGCUAAUUAACAUCAUAAGUAAGUCCUUGUUCUCAGUCAAAUCUUGCAUUCUUAGGAUAAAAAAAAAAUUGAAAGAAUAACGGUAACUGGAAAGUUUGACGACAUAAAGAUCUAGCUAAAUUUUAAGAAGCAAAAGUAAAUAAUGAAAGCUCAAUAAAAGAUCAUCAGCAUUAACAUACCGAAAUGAGAGCAGCUCACAGAACUGGUAAUUUCCAAGAACAGGAAAAAUAAGUGAGCUGAUAUUGAGGACAACUAAAGUAGUCAUGGAGUAAUUUGCUAUUGAGGACACCUAAAAUAAGAAAAUUAAUUAACAUUGCUCUAUACACCAUUUCAAUAAUUUGACUAUUAAAAAAAAAAUCUAUCUAGAUCACGAUUUCUCAAAAUGAUGCUUUUUCUAAUUAAAUAAAUCAAAAUGCUUGCUUCUUUCUUUUUCAGAAAAGAAAAAGUGGCAAUGGCAUCAAUUUUUUGCUAGAUUAUUAUCACCAAAAGCACAAGCAAGGAAUAAGGAUACUCUCUGAAACCAACCAUAUAAAGAGUAGAAAUAUUUGUUGGAGUGUAAGGUAGAAGUAAGUGGUCAAUUGUAAAUAAGUCUUUCUUUUUUCUUUGUUGUUUUUUCAUUUUUUGAAUGUGAACUAAAUAAAUUUAAGGGUGAAGCUAUUACACCUUGAAAACUAUGACUGAACACCCAUUUUUUUAAUUAAAUUUUUAUUACUAAAAUAACCAUGGAGUAAUUUGCUUCUAAGGAAAACUAGAAUAAUAACAUGAAUAAUGAUUGCUCUAUACACCCUUUUAUACGUCUAUCUUCUUCUUAAUUUCAUAAUUUGGCUGUCAAAAAGUAAUCUAUCUAGAUCACGAUUUCUCAAAAUGAUGCUUUUUAUAUCUAAAUAAAUGAAAAUGCUUGUUUCUUUCUUUCUCGAAAAGAAAAAGUGGCAAUGGCAUCAAUUUUUGCUUGCAAGCACAGCAAGUAAUCAGUAUACUCUCGGAAACUAACCAUAUUAAGAGUAGAAAUAUAUUGGGUUAUCACGAAGUAAGUUAGAAAUCAAUUAUAAAUGGUCUUUUUUUUUUUUUUUAAUGUGAACUAUAUAAAUUUAAGGUGAGGUUAUUUACACUUUGAAAAACAUUCUAAAAACCAUUAUUUCAUUAAAUUUUUUAUUAUUAAAGGUCCGUUUGCUGCCCCAAACGCUCUCUAAAAUAGCCAUGGAGUAAUUUCUUACUGAGGAAAACUAGAAUAAUAAAAUCAAUUAUCAUUCUGCCAUGACCCCGUUUCUAGAUGUAUCUUCUUCUUGAUUUGGUAACUUGGCUGUCAAAAAGAAAUCUAUCUAGAUCCCGAUUCCUCAAAAUGAUGCUUUUUCGGAUGAAAUAAAUGAAAUUGAACCUACAAUCUGUCACAAACACGUUAUAAUGAGCCUAAUGAAAAGCAGUAUGAGAAAUUUUGCUUCCAUGUUGUUUCUUCCAUAUGUAAAGGUAGUAAAAAGAAAUUUAAGUCCUAGAAACAAAUGGAUGAAGAAUUAUCAAUAAUUAAAAAUUAAAAAAAAAAACAGAGUUAUUAAAGAAUCACAGUUCCACCAAAAAUUAAGAGUUAUUUUAUUUGGUGGUUUCCUUAUCCCGAAGCAUUACUUGUAAAUAUGUGCUAACAAGUAAUAAUUAAGAAAGUUAAGGCCAAUCAUUUAGAAGGGAGAAAAAUGGAAACAUCCGGAAUAUUGUUAUGUGUUUUCAGUGCGUAUCUACCAAUCAAUAAUGAAAAAUUAAAUACGCAUGUGACGAAAAUUUAAUAAAGAGAACUGGACGUGACAAAAUUUUUAUUAUUCUAUCUUUUUCUCCUCUGAAACUUCCUUAAUUUGGUUGGGAAUUGCUUUGUCUUAGGCAGUGGAUCUGUUAUAAAUACCCUAUGCUAAAGUUAAUAUUUUGAUUGAAGAAAAAAAUAGAGGCGAAAAAUUUUAUUAAAGUAUAACAGAAUUUGAUAAAUUUAGAAUUGAGGAGAGAAAAUGAGUCUAAAUUCGAAAAUUUUGGCACUAUUUACAUAUCAUUAUUUGGGCAAAAAUUUAUUUCUCUGCUUUCAUAUGAUUUGGUCUUUUAUUGUUACGGUGCCAAUUUUUUAUUUAAAGAUGUAAGAUGGUGGUACUAUAGCUUAGAUUUUCCGUAAUUACUAUAUGGUAAGUACAAAAUAAAAUACUAGUUUAAAAUAUAAAAAUGAAAAACUAUUUUUAUAACCAAUAUUUAAUUAAAUACACUUGAAACUCUAUUUUUUCUUAAUAAAAAAAAUUCUAAUUUAUUUUCUCAAUUUAUCUAAACAACUUUACCUAAUCAAGCUAAAUCUACAUAUAACCCUAAACCUUAAUUUAUAAACACCCAAUCAAUCCAAUUGUUAAAUCCGAUUUCAUAAUUAAAAAAGUUAAAUUCUAUUUUAUUAUUUAUGGUGCAAAGUAAAAAAUGCCCUUGAAGUUAAGGGUAAAAUUGAUAUUUUAUUUAAAUUUGGGAAAUUAUCAUUCGUAUACCCUAUAUUUGCUCUGUUAUAAAAAAUACUACAACACUUUGAGGGUGUAUCAAUCGUCCACCCUAAGUUGACAAAAUGUAUCAACCGACCACUAAACCGUUAAUUGUCGUUUGAAAGUUAACGGAAUUACAGUGAAUUGACGAUUUUACCCUUGAAAAUUAUCACUUGUAUACCCUUAAAUUAUCACUUGUAUCAUAUGAAAAGACCAGAUUACCCUUCUGACGUUAUCAUAUUUAAACGGCAACUAACGGUUCGGUGGUCGGUUGAUACAUUUUGUCAACUUAGGGUGGACGAUUGAUACACCCUCAAAGUGUUGUAGUAUUCUUGAUAAUGAAGUAAACUAAGGGUAUACAAAUGAUAAUUUCCCUUUAAAUUUUGUUAAUAUUCUAAUAAUGUUAAUGUCUUAGUGGUUAAUAAAAUCACAAAGUCAAACUUUUGUAGUAUUUUUUAUAAUAAGGUAAAGAUAUAUGUUUGAUAAUUUUCCUACGUCUUUUUACGUUAAAUUGAGUCUCAAGGGAAAAAUGGUUAAUUUGCUAUAAUUCUGUCAGUUUUCUAAUGGAAGAUAAUGAUAUAAUGAAUAAAUAAUACAUAUUCUUAAAUUAGUAUAGAUGAAUGAUACAACUUGAAAAUAUUGUAGUAUUCUUAAUAGUAGAGAAAUUUAAAAGUGGAUGGUUGAUAAUUUAAUGAAGUAACUACAGAAUUUUCCUUUCAAAUAUAUUUUUUAAAAUAUAUGAUGAGUAAAAAUCAUUUUACAGAAUGAUCUUUCAAAUGCACAUUCCACAAGCCAAAAAGAAAGGGUAGCGAACAACCCUUGUUGAAAUGGCACCCCGGCUUUUGCAGCGUACCCAAGUGCAGCCACCACCCCAGAAUCUGGUACUACAAUCACAACAUCACACUCAACAGGAGCCUCGGUAGCAAGUACUUCCCCAAAAUGAUACCUCGACUCGUAAGACCUUCCAAAAACAACAGAAUUAGGCAAAGCAAAAUAAAUAUGCUCAAAGAUGCACUGCUUAGGUUCAGGGUGAGGCAUCAAACAAAGUGAUUGAACCCCAUCUUUAUCCACCAUCAAAACUUCACCGGGAUAUACCUCUCUCUCGUAUGUGGCCUCAAUCAAAUCAAGUGCGCAAGUUUCUGAUGCAAAAACCACAGCACCGUUACUCCUCCUACCCAUCACCAACGGCCUAAACCCAUACGGGUCACGAACCGCAACAAGCUUAUCCUCAGUAACAAACACCAUUGAAUAAGCACCCUCAAGCUUCUCACAAGCAUCCACAAUCCUCAAAAAGAACGGCUUAGCUUUCGAUAUCGCAAUCAAAUGGAGAACAAUCUCAGUAUCAGAACUAGUAUAAAAAAUGGAUUCAUUAUCCUCGAGCUUAGCCCUCAAAGUAUUAUAAUUACCUAAAUUCCCAUUAUGUGCAACACCAACAGAACCAAACCUGUACCCAGCAACAAAAGGCUGCACAUUCUUAAGCAUAGAACUACCCGCAGUCGAAUAUCUAACAUGACCAAUGGCCAUAUCACCCGGCAAUUGAUCAAGUUUAGACUGAUUAAACACAUCAGAGACUAAACUGUUGAUGCGAGAUUCUGGUUGUCCUCGUUCUACGACCAGGGUCUCUGCUCGAUCAACUUCACCACGACCAGGAUCUCUCCUCGUAAAGCUUCUUCUCCAGAGGUUCCUGCGCACACAGACAAGUCAGAGUACGCCGGUUAUUUUCCCGGCGCAAACCCUCCGACGCUCAAGUCAGAUAUGAAGGUUCGGGGAACACUUGCCACAGAUCUUAUGGCUUUUGGGUAGUUUUCUCUUCUUUAGAAUUUCUUUAUCUCUCUUCUAAUGUCAAAAUUGCUAACCCUUUUACCUUCGUUGGCUACCUUUUUAUAGGCUUCCUCUGAAUCCCAGUUUUCCGCAGUCUACGUCCGUUAUCCUCCCACCUCUCGAACGUGGAUUCCCCAUUUCCGUAGUCGUGGGUGGUUGCGUGGCCUUCGUGCCUAGAUUCUCGGGCUGGAGAGCAUGCCUUGCCAACUGUCGUUGACCGGGCCUCCUCGAAUCAACCCUUAGCAAGAAUACAGCAGGAAUGGCUUUAUGCUUCUUACAAGAAAUUGGCCUCGCGGAUGACGUGCUCGUGGAUGAGCAGGAUAUUCCUGCCCCUGCUCCCCUGCUACUUGGCUCUUACAGGACACACCUGCUCGCCGACUUCUGCCACCAAACAUCUGCUCAUCACGUCUGGUCUCGUCGGAGUAUUUCCCUCAAACACCGGUCCCCCAGUUUCUGGUGUUGGGUAAUGUAAUGGACCAGCAGUAGAAACUUAGCGGUUCUUGGUCGCGUGGGACUGAAAAAGGCUGCCAAGAGUCAUAUCGCAUUUAAUUGCGGACGAGGUGAUGUGGCAGAAAUCUGCCCCUCUAUUCGAAUUUCCAACCAACGGUUACGAGGCCCUUGGGAUUUGGUGCCGUUAAAUGCUGGCAACCCAAGAGUCCGUCCCCAUUAGGAAACCUAAAUCCUUUCAAACAGCAAAUUCGUCAUUCCCUCCGUCUCCGUCCCUGUCUCUCCGGCAAAGAAGUUCCAGCAUAAAGGCCUCCAUCUCUGUCUUUCACCGACUGAACCAUUACUUCAUGUAUUUCUUCUAUCUCCUUGGUCUCGGAUAGUUGUAGAUAAUUUCUGUUCUCUUUUGUUUGGGUAGUAGUUGGUGGUGGUGUUGUGGUUAGAGUUUAGGGAAUGUCGAAAGCUAAAGAGAAGGUCAUUGAAGUUGACGACGAUGAGUUAGACUUCCUGCCUAGUCUGCUCACUGAUCCUGCUUUUGACCCCGGGAUCCCCUUAGAGCCCAUUAGAUCUAGUGUCGGCACUAGCGCUAGGAGGAUGUCUCCCCAAACGACCUCCUCGAGCAGAGAUAGUGAUGAAGAGGGGUCUUCCGGCUCGGAGAACACCCUGAGUGAGGGCCGAGGAGAUGAUUCUGGCGAGGUGUCCCCAUCAGGAGCGUCGCGACCAGAAGGGCGGAGUACAAUAGGAGGUAGAGCCCUAUCGCGGGAUUACGCUAUUGAUUACAUGACAUGCACAACCACGUUUGAUGAGCUCAAUGACCUCCGGCUUAGGUAUAGUAUUCCUGGUGAAAUCCCUCUUAAGGUCCCAGGAAAGAAGGAUACUCCUAGCCGGCCUCCUAGGGGAUACGUUACCCUGUAUCUGGAUAGGUUUAAGUAUGGGCUGAGGUGUCCCGUGCAACCUUACUUUGCCCGGAUACUUAGCGGGCUGAAUCUAUCUCCUGGUCAGCUGAACCCAAAUGGUUGGAGAGUACUUUAUGGUCUGUUUAUAUUGUGGGACAGAUGUUGCCAGAGCGAGCCCACAGUUGAUGAGGUGAAGCACUUGUACCAGCUAAAGAGCAGCCCCAAAGAUGCCGGCUGGUACUACUUUCAAUCUAGUACCAAGACCAGGAAACCCAUAACCGACCUCCCUACUGGUGGUGGUGGGAAUUGGAAGAGGAAAUUCUUUUUUGCUGGGGGUCCUUGGGGUUAAGUUGCACAAAUAGACGGGAAGGAUUAUCGCGUCCCACCCCGUUUCACGGUCCCAGGUUGCCUGCUCGCUUUAGGUGUCUUGUGUCCGUAAUUGUGCUCGCUUUGUUGGUUUGUCUCUAACCAAGUGUCUAUUUGUGUUGUAGUUUCUUGGGGUGUUCAUUUCUCGCUCAAACCUGGCCAACUCAAACGGGUCGAGGCUGUGCUAGCCAAUUCCUGCUCGAGCCGGGAGCUGAUAACUACAUACAACUUGCUCGAGUCUCGCUUAAUACUCCCUGGUCAUAAGAUGGAGGACGCUGUGAUUGGGGCUCUGAACAGGAAACGUUCUCGACCUCAAACCACGAAGAGGGACCAGAAUAAGGACGCCCCUACUGCAAAGCGGGCCAACAUCGUGCAGCAGGUCUCUCCCUUGAAGACUUUACCUCCUGCUCCUGCCAAAGUCGGGGAAACUAGUGGAGGAGCAGCCACCGAUCCUGCUUCUUCUUCUCCUCAUGUCGGGCCUCGAUCUCGCUUACCUGACAGCCGAGCAGAACACUUGGUCCCCUAUCUCAAUGAGUUAUCUAAACUCGUGAGCAAGAAGGACCUGGAGGACUUUGAUGGCUGCACUCUGGGCGAGCUGGUGCGAGCCAUGCAGUAUAGCGCUUUCCAUCUCAGCUGCAUGACCACCUACUAUAAGGCCAAGGUCGGCCGUUAUGACAGGAAGAUGAAGGAGGACAUUCAGUUAGCGAUGACCAGAGCUGACGGCGCCGAGAAGAAAGCAGGAGCGCUGAAUGUCGAGAACCUGAAGCUGAUAGAGCAAGAAUCUCUUGCUCAAGCGAAAGCCAUUACCCUCGAGGAGGAGCUGACCAAGGUCAAAGAGGAUCUUCAAAGGCAGAAGGCUAUGUAUGAGGCUCAGCUCGAAUCUCUCCGUGAUUCCCACCGGGUUCAGGUCGAGAACUUAGAGAAGGAGGCUGACAACCAGUACGACCAGGGACUUCGGCAUUCCUAUCGUUGCAUCAUGGCCGUCCUCGGGAAGCAACACCCUGAUCUGAAGAUGGAUGACCUUGCAGCUGGUGUUGCUCAACAUAUGGACGAGGAGGCGGCCAAGGAAGACGCUGAAGGGGUAGAGCCGAUCGUGAUUGAGGAGGAAAACUCUCCUUCUCGUGCAGAACCUGCUGGUGUUGGCGAGGCGAGCACCCCCCGGACGCAACUGGUGAUACCCCCUGCACCUGAGGAGGUCCAGCCGACUGAUGCUGCUCGGCUUACUGAUCCACCAUCUUAUUGAUAUAUUUCUUGUAUUGUAAUGCACAAUGUUUGUGAAGAUUAUCUCCUCUGUUAAUUAUUAACAAAUUAAUAAAGAUGUUUUUGAUUACUUUCUUGUGUUGUAAUCAUGAGUUAUUUUUCGUUUGAGAAUCUGCUCGUCUUUGUCUGGUCGAGCAGGUUCUGGCUUGGCACAUGGUUUUGCCACAUGCCUUUGAAAAUUCUUCAAUGCUUGGGAUUCUGCUCGCCUUCGCAUGGUCGAGCAGAUCCUGGCAUGCUUGGCUUCUGGUCUCGCCAAAAGACAGGCUUUCAGACUUGGUGAGCUUUUGCAUGCCUUUGAUUCUGCAAUGAUUGGGAGUCUGCUCGCCUUCUCGUGGUCGAGCAGAUCCUGGCACGCAUGGCAUCUGGUCUCGCCAUAAACAGGCUUUGAGACUUGAUAAGCCUUUGCAUGCCUUUAAUAAUUUCUUGAAUGCUUUGGAGUCUGCUCGCCUUCUUGUGGUCAAACAUAUCCUGGCACGCUUGGCUUCUGUCGCAUGCCUUCAAUUCUUCAAGGAUUGAGAUUUCGCUCGCCUUCUCGUGGUCGAGCAGAUCCUGGCACGGUUGGCUGCUGUCUCGCCAUAAAACAGGCUUUGAGACUUGCCGAGCCUUUGCAUGCCUUUGAUUCUUCAAGGAUUGGGAUUCUGCUCGCCUUCUCGGGGUCGAACAGAUCCUAGCACGCUUGGCUUCUGUCUCGCCAUAAAAUAGGCUUUGAGACUUGCUGAGCCUUUGCAUGCCUUCAAUUCUUCAAGGAUUGGGAUUCUGCUCGCCUUCUCGUGGUCGAGCAGAUCCUGGCACGCUUGGCUUCUGUCUCGCCAUAAAACAAGCUUUGAGACUUGCUGAGCCUUUGCAUGCCUUUGAUUCUUCAAGGAUUGGGAUUCUGCUCGCCAUCUCGUGGUCGAGCAUAUCCUGGCACGCUUGGCUUCUGUCUCGCCAUAAAACAGGCUUUGAGACUUGCCGAGCUUUUGCAUGCCUUUGAUUCUUCAAGGAUUGGGAUUCUGCUCGCCUUCUCGUGGUCGAGCAGAUCCUGGCACGCAUGGCAUCUGGUCUCGCCAUAAACAGGCUUUGAUACUUGAUGAGCCUUUGCAUGCCUUUGAUAAUUUCUUGAAUGCUUUGGAGUCUGCUCGCCUUCUUGUGGUCAAACAUAUCCUGGCACGCUUGGCUUCUGUCGCAUGCCUUCAAUUCUUCAAGGAUUGGGAUUUCGCUCGCCUUCUCGUGGUCGAGCAUAUCCUGGCAUGGUUGGCUGCUGUCUCGCCAUAAAACAGGCUUUGAGACUUGCCGAGCCUUUGCAUGCAUUUGAUUCUUCAAGGAUUGGGAUUCUGCUCGCCUUCUCGUGGUCGAGCAGAUCCUGGCACGCUUGGCUUCUGUCUCGCCAUAAAACAGGCUUUAAGACUUGUUGAGCCUUUGCAUGCCUUUGAUUCUUCAAGGAUUGGGAUUCGGCUCGCCUUCUCGUGGUCGAGCAGAUCCUGGCACGCUUGGCUUCUGUCUUGCCAUAAAACAGGCUUUGAGACUUGAUGAGCCUUUGCAUGCCUUUGAUAAUUUCUUGAAUCCUUUGGAGUCUGCUUGCCUUCUCGUGGUCGAGCAUAUCCUAGCACGCUUGGCUUCUGUCUCGCCAUAAAACAGGCUUUGAGACUUGAUGAGCCUUUGCAUGCCUUUGAUAAUUUCUUGAAUGCUUUGGAGUCUGCUCGCCUUCUCGUGGUCGAGCAUAUCUUGGCACGCUUGGCUUCUGUCUCGCCAUAAAACAGGCUUUGAGACUUGCUGAGCCUUUGCAUGCCUUCAAUUCUUCAAGGAUUUGGAUUCUGCUCGCCUUCUCGUGGUCGAGCAGAUCCUGGCACGCUUGGCUUCUGUCUCGUCAUAAAACAGGCUUUGAGACUUGCCGAGCCUUUGCAUGCCUUUGAUUCUUCAAGGAUUGGGAUUCUGCUCGCCUUCUCGUGGUCGAGCAGAUCCUGGCACGCUUGGCUUCUGUCUCGCCAUAAAACAGGCUUUGAGACUUGCCGAGCCUUUGCAUGCCUUUGAUUCUUCAAGGAUUGGGAUUCUGCUCGCCUUCUCGUGGUCGAGCAGAUCCUGGCACGCUUGGCUUCUGUCUCGCCAUAAAACAGGCUUUGAGACUUGCCGAGCCUUUGCAUGCCUUUGAUUCUUCAAGGAUUGGGAUUCUGCUCGCCUUCUCGUGGUCGAGCAGAUCCUGGCACGCUUGGCUUCUGUCUCGCCAUAAAACAGGCUUUGAGACUUGCUGAGCCUUUGCAUGCCGUUGAUUGUUCAAGGAUUGGGAUUCGGCUCGCCUUCUCGUGGUGGAGCAGAUCCUGGCACGCUUGGCUUCUGUCUCGUCAUAAAACAGGCUUUGAGACUUGAUGAGCCUUUGCAUGCCUUUGAUAAUUUCUUGAAUGCUUUUGAGUCUGCUUGCCUUCUCGUGGUCGAGCAUAUCCUGGCACGCUUGGCUUCUGUCUCGCCAUAAAACAGGCUUUGAGACUUGCCGAGCCUUUGCAUGCCUUUGAUUCUUCAAGGAUUGGGAUUCUGCUCGCCUUCUCGUGGUCGAGCAGAUCCUGGCACGCUUGGCUUCUGUCUCGCCAUAAAACAGGCUUUGAGACUUGCUGAGCCUUUGCAUGCCGUUGAUUGUUCAAGGAUUGGGAUUCGGCUCGCCUUCUCGUGGUCGAGCAGAUCCUGGCACGCUUGGCUUCUGUCUCGCCAUAAAACAGGCUUUGAGACUUGCUGAGCCUUUGCAUGCCUUCAAUUCUUCAAGGAUUGGGAUUCUGCUCGCCUUCUCGUGGUCGAGCAGAUCCUGGCACGCUUGGCUUCUGUCUCGCCAUAAAACAGGCUUUGAGACUUGCUGAGCCUUUGCAUGCCUUUGAUAAUUUCUUGAAUGCUUUGGAGUCUGCUCGCCUUCUUGUGGUCAAACAUAUCCUGGCAAGCUUGGCUUCUGUCGCAUGGCUACAAUUCUUCCAGGAUUGGGAUUUCGCUCGCCUUCUCGUGGUCGAGCAGAUCCUGGCAUGGUUGGCUGCUGUCUCGCCAUAAAACAGGCUUUGAGACUUGCCGAGCCUUUGCAUGCCUUUGAUUCUUCAAGGAUUGGGAUUCUGCUCGCCUUCUCGUGGUCGAGCAGAUCCUGGCACGCUUGGCUUCUGUGUUGCCAUAAAAUAGGCUUUGAGACUUGCUGAGCCUUUGCAUGCCUUUGAUUCUUCAAGGAUUGGGAUUCUGCUCGCCUUCUCGUGGUCGAGCAGAUCCUGGCAUGGUUGGCUGCUGUCUCGCCAUAAAACAGGCUUUGAGACUUGCCGAGCCUUUGCAUGCCUUUGAUUGUCCCAUCGCCAUAAAACAGGCUUUGAGACUUGAUGAGCCUUUGCAUGCCUUUGAUAAUUUCUUGAAUGCUUUGGAGUCUGCUUGCCUUCUCGUGGUCGAGCAUAUCCUGGCACGCUUGGCUUCUGUCUCGCCAUAAAACAGGCUUUGAGACUUGCUGAGCCUUUGCUUGCCUUCAAUUCUUCAAGGAUUGGGAUUCUGCUCGGCUUCUCGUGGUCGAGCAGAUCCUGGCACGCUUGGCUUCUGUCUCGCCAUAAAACAGGCUUUGAGACUUGCUGAGCCUUUGCAUGCCUUCAAUUCUUCAAGGAUUGGGAUUCUGCUCGCCUUCUCGUGGUCGAGCAGAUCCUGGCACGCUUGGCUUCUGUCUCGCCAUAAAACAGGCUUUGAGACUUGCUGAGCCUUUGCAUGCCUUUGAUUCUUCAAGGAUUGGGAUUCUGCUCGCCUUCUCGUGGUCGAGCAGAUCCUGGCACGCUUAGCUUCUGUCUCGCCAUAAAACAGGCUUUGAGACAUGCCGAGCCUUUGCAUGCCUUUGAUUCUUCAAGGAUUGGGAUUCUGCUCGCCUUCUCGUGGUCGAGCAGAUCCUGGCACGCUUGGCUUCUGUCUCGCCAUAAAACAGGCUUUGAGACUUGCUGAGCCUUUGCAUGCUUUGAUUCUUCAAGGAUUGGGAUUCGGCUCGCCUUCUCGUGGUCGAGCAGAUCCUGGCACGCUUGGCUUCUGUCUUGCCAUAAAACAGGCUUUGAGACUUGAUGAGCCUUUGCAUGCCUUUGAUAAUUUCUUGAAUGCUUUGGAGUCUGCUGGCCUUCUCGUGGUCGAGCAUAUCCUGGCACGCUUGGCUUCUGUCUCGCCAUAAAACAGGCUUUGAGACUUGCUGAGCCUUUGCAUGCCUUCAAUUCUUCAAGGAUUGGGAUUCUGCUCGCCUUCUCGUGGUCGAGCAGAUCCUGGCACGAUUGGCUUCUGUCUUGCCAUAAAACAGGCUUUGAGACUUGAUGAGCCUUUGCAUGGCUUUGAUAAUUUCUUGAAUGCUUUGGAGUCUGCUUGCCUUCUCGUGGUCGAGCAUAUCCUGGCACGCUUGGCUUCUGUCUCGCCAUAAAACAGGCUUUGAGACUUGCUGAGCCUUUGCAUGCCUUCAAUUCUUCACGGAUUGGGAUUCUGCUCGCCUUCUCGUGGUCGAGCAGAUCCUGGCACGCUUGGCUUCUGUCUCGCCAUAAAACAGGCUUUGAGACUUGCUGAGCCUUUGCAUGCCUUUGAUUCUUCAAGGAUUGGGAUUCUGCUCGCCUUUUCGUGGUCGAGCAGAUCCUGGCACGCUUGGCUUCUGACUCGCCAUAAAACAGGCUUUGAGACUUGCCGAGCCUUUGCAUGCCUUUGAUUCUUCAAGGAUUGGGAUUCUGCUCGCCUUCUCGUGGUCGAGCAGAUCCUGGCACGCUUGGCUUCUGUCUCGCUAUAAAACAGGCUUUGAGACUUGCUGAGCCUUUGCAUGCCGUUGAUUGUUCAAGGAUUGGGAUUCGGCUCGCCUUCUCAUGGUGGAGCAGAUUCUGGCACGCUUGGCUUCUGUCUCGUCAUAAAACAGGCUUUGAGACUUGAUGACCCUUUGCAUGCCUUUGAUAAUUUCUUGAAUGCUUUGGAGUCUGCUUGCCUUCUCGUGGUCGAGCAUAUCCUGGCACGCUUGGCUUCUGUCUCGCCAUAAAACAGGCUUUGAGACUUGCCGAGCCUUUGCAUGCCUUUGAUUCUUCAAGGAUUGGGAUUCUGCUCGCCUUCUCGUGGUCGAACAGAUCCUAGCACGCUUGGCUUCUGUCUCGCCAUAAAACAGGCUUUGAGACUUGCCGAGCCUUUGCAUGCCUUUGAUUCUUCAAGGAUUGGGAUUCUGCUCGCCUUCUCGUGGUCGAACAGAUCCUAGCACGCUUGGCUUCUGUCUCGCCAUAAAACAGGCUUUGAGACUUGUUGAGCCUUUGCAUGCCUUUGAUUCUUCAAGGAUUGGGAUUCGGCUCGCCUUCUCGUGGUCGAGCAGAUCUUGGCACGCUUGGCUUCUGUCUCGCCAUAAAACAGGCUUUGAGACUUGAUGAGCCUUUGCAUGCCUUUGAUAAUUUCUUGAAUGCUUUGGAGUCUGCUGGCCUUCUCGUGGUCGAGCAUAUCCUGGCACGCUUGGGUUCUGUCUCGCCAUAAAACAGGCUUUGAGACUUGCUGAGCCUUUGCAUGCCUUUGAUUCUUCAACGAUUGGGAUUCGGCUCGCCUUCUCGUGGUCGAGCAGAUCCUGGCACGCUUGGCUUCUGUCUUGCCAUAAAACAGGCUUUGAGACUUGAUGAGCCUUUGCAUGCCUUUGAUAAUUUCUUGAAUGCUUUGGAGUCUGCUGGCCUUCUCGUGGUCGAGCAUAUCCUGGCACGCUUGGCUUCUGUCUCGCCAUAAAACAGGCUUGAGACUUGCUGAGCCUUUGCAUGCCUUCAAUUCUUCAAGGAUUGGGAUUCUGCUCGCCUUCUCGUGGUCGAGCAGAUCCUGGCACGAUUGGCUUCUGUCUUGCCAUAAAAACAGGCUUGAAGACUUGAUGAGCCUUUGCAUGCCUUUGAUAAUUUCUUGAAUGCUUUGGAGUCUGCUUGCCUUCUCGUGGUCGAGCAUAUCCUGGCACGCUUGGCUUCUGUCUCGCCAUAAAACAGGCUUUGAGACUUGAUGAGCCUUUUGCAUGCCUUUGAUAAUUUCUUGAAUGCUUUGGAGUCUGCUUGCCUUCUCGUGGUCGAGCAUAUCCUGGCACGCUUGGCUUCUGUCUCGCCAUAAAAUAGGCUUUGAGACUUGCUGAGCCUUUGCAUGCCUUUGAUUCUUCAAGGAUUGGGAUUCUGCUCGCCUUCUCGUGGUCGAGCAGAUCCUGGCACGCUUGGCUUCUGUCUCGCCAUAAAACAGGCUUUGAGACUUGCCGAGCCUUUGCAUGCCUUUGAUUCUUCAAGGAUUGGGAUUCUGCUCGCCUUCUCGUGGUCGAGCAGAUCCUGGCACGCUGGCUUCUGUCUCGCCAUAAAACAGGCUUGAGACUUGCUGAGCCUUUGCAUGCCUUUGAUUCUUCAAGGAUUGGGAUUCGGCUCGCCUUCUCGUGGUCGAGCAGAUCCUGGCACGCUUGGCUUCUGUCUCGCCAUAAAACAGGCUUUGAGACUUGAUGAGCCUUUGCAUGCCUUUGAUAAUUUCUUGAAUGCUUUGGAGUCUGCUCGCCUUCUUGUGGUCGANNNNNNNNNNNNNNNNNNNNNNNNNNNNNNNNNNNNNNNNNNNNNNNNNNNNNNNNNNNNNNNNNNNNNNNNNNNNNNNNNNNNNNNNNNNNNNNNNNNNNNNNNNNNNNNNNNNNNNNNNNNNNNNNNNNNNNNNNNNNNNNNNNNNNNNNNNNNNNNNNNNNNNNNNNNNNNNNNNNNNNNNNGCUCGCCUUCUCGUGGUCGAGCAGAUCCUGGCACGCUUGGCUUCUGUCUCGCCAUUAAAAGGCUUGAGACAGCCUUUGCAUGCUUUUGCCUUUGGAUCGAGCUCCUGCACGCUUGCUUCUGUCGCCAUAAAACAGGCUUUGAGACUUGCUGAGCCUUUGCAUGCCUUCAAUUCUUCAGGAUUGGAUUCUGCUCGCCUUCUCGUUGGUCAGCAGAUCCUGGCACGCUUGGUUCUGUCUCGCCAUAAAAGGCUUUGAGACUUGCUGAGCCUUUGCAUGCCCUUUGAUUCUUCAAGGAUUGGGAUUCUGCUCGCCUUCUCGUGGUCGAGCAAGAUUCCUGGCACGCUUGAGCUCUGUCUCGCCAUAAAACAGGCUUUGAGACUUGCUGAGCCUUUGCAUGCCUUUCGAUUCUUCAAGGAUUGGGAUUCUGCUCGCCUUCUCGUGGUCGAGCAGAUCCUGGCACGCUUGGCUUCUGUCUCGCCAUAAAACAGGCUUGAGACUUGCUGAGCCUUUGCAUGCCUUGAUUGUUCAAGGAUUGGGAUUCGCUCGCCUUCUCGUGGUCGAGCAGAUCCUGGCACGCUUGCUUCUGUCUGCCAUAAAACAGGCUUUGAGACUUGAUGAGCCUUUGCAUGCCUUUGAUAUUCUUGAAUGCUUUGGAGUCUGCUGCCUUCUCGUGGUCGAGCAUAUCCUGGCACGCUUGGCUUCUGUCUCGCCAUAAAACAGGCUUUGAGACUUGCUGAGCCUUUGCAUGCCGUUGAUUCGUUCAAGGAUUGGGAUUCGGCUCGCCUUCUCGUGGUCGAGCAGAUCCUGGCACGCUUGGCUUCUGUCUCGCCAUAAAACAGGCUUUGAGACUUGAUGAGCCUUUGCAUGCCUUUGAUAAUUUCUUGAAUGCUUUGGAGUCUGCUUGCCUUCUCGUGGUCGAGCAUAUCCUGGCACGCUUGGCUUCUGUCUCGCCAUAAAACAGGCUUUGAGACUUGCUGAGCCUUUGCAUGCCUUUAUUCUUCAAGGAUUGGGAUUCUGCUCGCCUUCUCGUGGUCGAGCAGAUCCUGGCACGCUUGGCUUCUGUCUCGCCAUAAAACAGGCUUUGAGACUUGAUGAGCCUUUGCAUGCCUUUGAUUCUUCAAGGAUUGGGAUCUGCUCGCCUUCUCGUGGUCGAGCAGAUCCUGGCACGCUUGGCUUCUGUCUCGCCAUAAAACAGGCUUUGAGACUUGCUGAGCCUUUGCAUGCCUUUGAUUCUUCAAGGAUUGGGAUUCUGCUCGCCUUCUCGUGGUCGAGCAGAUCCUGGCACGCUUGGCUUCUGUCUCGCCAUAAAACAGGCUUUGAGACUUGCUGAGCCUUUGCAUGCCUUUGAUUCUUCAAGGAUUGGGAUUCUGCUCGCCUUCUCGUGGUCGAGCAGAUCCUGGCACGCUUGGCUUCUGUCUCGCCAUAAAACAGGCUUUUGAGACUUGCUGAGCCUUUGCAUGCCUUUGAUUCUUCAAGGAUUGGGAUUCUGCUCGCCUUCUCGUGGUCGAGCAGAUCCUGGCACGCUUGGCUUCUGUCUCGCCAUAAAACAGGCUUGAUUGCGAGCUUUGAGCUUGACUGAGUCCUCCCUCUUGACAGAUCCGCACCUUGCUCUGUCUCGCAUAAACAGCGAACUUGUUUGCAUUUUGUUUUCAAGGAUUGGGAUUCGGCUCGCCUUCUCGUGGUGGAGCAGAUCCUGGCACGCUUGGCUUCUGUCUCGUCAUAAAACAGGCUUUGAGACUUGAUGAGCCUUUGCAUGCCUUUGAUAAUUUCUUGAAUGCUUUGGAGUCUGCUGGCCUUCUCGUGGUCGAGCAUAUCCUGGCACGCUUGGCUUCUGUCUCGCCAUAAAACAGGCUUUGAGACUUGCUGAGCCUUUGCAUGCCUUUGAUUCUUCAAGGAUUGGGAUUCUGCUCGCCUUCUCGUGGUCGAGCAGAUCCUGGCACGCUUGGCUUCUGUCUCGCCAUAAAACAGGCUUUGAGACUUGCUGAGCCUUUGCAUGCCUUUGAUUCUUCAAGGAUUGGGAUUCUGCUCGCCUUCUCGUGGUCGAGCAUAUCCUGGCACGCUUGGCUUCUGUCUCGCCAUAAAACAGGCUUUGAGACUUGCUGAGCCUUUGCAUGCCUUGAUUCUUCAAGGAUUGGGAUUCUGCUCGCCUUCUCGUGGUCGAGCAGAUCCUGGCACGCUUGCUUCUGUCUCGCCAUAAAACAGCUUUAGACUUGUGAGUUUGCUUUUUUUUUGGUUGGAUUUGCUUUUUGGUAGCAGAUCUGGCACGCUUGGCUUCUGUCUCGCAUAAAACAGGCUUUGAGACUUGAUGAGCCUUUGCAUGCCUUUGAUAAUUUCUUGAAUGCUUUGGGAUUCUGCUCGCCUUCUCGUGGUCGAGCAUAUCCUGGCACGCUUGGCUUCUGUCUCGCCAUAAAACAGGCUUUGAGACUUGAUGAGCCUUUGCAUGCCUUUGAUAAUUUCUUGAAUGCUUUGGAGUCUGCUGGCCUUCUCGUGGUCGAGCAUAUCCUGGCACGCUUGGCUUCUGUCUCGCCAUAAAACAGGCUUUGAGACUUGCUGAGCCUUUGCAUGCCUUUGAUUCUUCAAGGAUUGGGAUUCUGCUCGCCUUCUCGUGGUCGAGCAGAUCCUGGCACGCUUGGCUUCUGUCUCGCCAUAAAACAGGCUUUGAGACUUGCCGAGCCUUUGCAUGCCUUUGAUUCUUCAAGGAUUGGGAUUCUGCUCGCCUUCUCAUGGUCGAGCAGAUCCUGGCACGCUUGGCUUCUGUCUCGCCAUAAAACAGGCUUUGAGACUUGCUGAGCCUUUGCAUGCCGUUUGAUUGUUCAAGGAUUGGGAUUCGGCUCGCCUUCUCGUGGUGGAGCAGAUCCUGGCACGCUUGGCUUCUGUCUCGUCAUAAAACAGGCUUUGAGACUUGAUGAGCCUUUGCAUGCCUUUGAUAAUUUUCAAGUUGGAUUCUCGCCUUCUUGUGAGCAAUCUGGCAGCUUGGCUUCUGUCUCGUCUUUACUUUUUCUUUGAUUUUUGAUUUUGUCUCUUUCUCGUGGUCGAGCAUAUCCUGGCACGCUUGGCUUCUGUCUCGCCAUAAAAACAGGCUUUGAGACUUGCUGAGCCUUUGCAUGCCUUUGAUUCUUCAAGGAUUGGGAUUCUGCUCGCCUUCUCGUGGUCGAGCAGAUCCUGGCACGCUUGGCUUCUGUCUCGCCAUAAAACAGGCUUUGAGACUUGCUGAGCCUUUGCAUGCCGUUGAUUGUUCAAGGAUUGGGAUUCGGCUCGCCUUCUCGUGGUGGAGCAUAUCCUGGCACGCUUGGCUUCUGUCUCGCCAUAAAACAGGCUUUGAGACUUGCUGAGCCUUUGCAUGCCUUCAAUUCUUCAAGGAUUGGGAUUCGGCUCGCCUUCUCGUGGUGGAGCAUAUCCUGGCACGCUUGGCUUCUGUCUCGCCAUAAAACAGGCUUUGAGACUUGCUGAGCCUUUGCAUGCCUUCAAUUCUUCAAGGAUUGGGAUUCUGCUCGCCUUCUCGUGGUCGAGCAGAUCCUGGCACGCUUGGCUUCUGUCUCGCCAUAUAAAACAGGCUUUGAGACUUGCUGAGCCUUUGCAUGCCUUUGAUUCUUCAAGGAUUGGGAUUCUGCUCGCCUUCUCGUGGUCGAGCAGAUCUUGGCACGCUUGGCUUCUGUGUCGCCAUAAAACAGGCUUUUAGACUUGCCGAGCCUUUGCAUGCCUUUGAUUCUUCAAGGAUUGGGAUUCUGCUCGCCUUCUCGUGGUCGAGCAGAUCCUGGCACGCUUGGCUUCUGUCUCGCCAUAAAACAGGCUUUGAGACUUGCUGAGCCUUUGCAUGCCGUUGAUUGUUCAAGGAUUGGGAUUCGGCUCGCCUUCUCGUGGUGGAGCAGAUCCUGGCACGCUUGGCUUCUGUCUCGUCAUAAAACAGGCUUUGAGACUUGAUGAGCCUUUGCAUGCCUUUGAUAAUUUCUUGAAUGCUUUGGAGUCUGCUGGCCUUCUCGUGGUCGAGCAUAUCCUGGCACGCUUGGCUUCUGUCUCGCCAUAAAACAAGCUUUGAGACUUGCUGAGCCUUUGCAUGCCUUCAAUUCUUCACGGAUUGGGAUUCUGCUCGCCUUCUCGUGGUCGAGCAGAUCCUGGCACGCUUGGCUUCUGUCUCGCCAUAAAAACAGGCUUUGAGACUUACUGAGCCUUUGCAUGCCUUUGAUUCUUCAAGGAUUGGGAUUCUGCUCGCCUUCUCGUGGUCGAGCAGAUCCUGGCACGCUUGGCUUCUGUCUCGCCAUAAAACAGGCUUUGAGACUUGCCGAGCCUUUGCAUGCCUUGGAUUCUUCAAGGAUUGGGAUUCUGCUCGCCUUCUCGUGGUCGAGCAGAUCCUGGCACGCUUGGCUUCUGUCUCGCCAUAAAACAGGCUUUGAGACUUGCUGAGCCUUUGCAUGCCUUUGAUUCUUCAAGGAUUGGGAUUCUGCUCGCCUUCUCGUGGUCGAGCAGAUCCUGGCACGCUUGGCUUCUGUCUCGUCAUAAAACAGGCUUUGAGACUUGCCGAGCCUUUGCAUGCCUUUGAUAAUUUCUUGAAUGCUUUGGAGUCUGCUUGCCUUCUCGUGGUCGAGCAUAUCCUAGCACGCUUGGCUUCUGUCUCGCCAUAAAACAGGCUUUGAGACUUGCUGAGCCUUUGCAUGCCGUUGAUUGUUCAAGGAUUGGGAUUCGGCUCGCCUUCUCGUGGUGGAGCAGAUCCUGGCACGCUUGGCUUCUGUCUCGUCAUAAAACAGGCUUUGAGACUUGAUGAGCCUUUGCAUGCCUUUGAUAAUUUCUUGAAUGCUUUGGAGUCUGCUGGCCUUCUCGUGGUCGAGCAUAUCCUGGCACGCUUGGCUUCUGUCUCGCCAUAAAACAAGCUUUGAGACUUGCUGAGCCUUUGCAUGCCUUUGAUAAUUUCUUGAAUGCUUUGGAUUCUGCUCGCCUUCUCGUGGUCGAGCAGAUCCUGGCACGCUUGGCUUCUGUCUCGCCAUAAAACAGGCUUUGAGACUUGCUGAGCCUUUGCAUGCCGUUGAUUGUUCAAGGAUUGGGAUUCGGCUCGCCUUCUCGUGGUCGAGCAGAUCCUGGCACGCUUGGCUUCUGUCUCGCCAUAAAACAGGCUUUGAGACUUGCUGAGCCUUUGCAUGCCUUCAAUUCUUCAAGGAUUGGGAUUCUGCUCGCCUUCUCGUGGUCGAGCAGAUCCUGGCACGCUUGGCUUCUGUCUCGCCAUAAAACAGGCUUUGAGACUUGCUGAGCCUUUGCAUGCCUUUGAUUCUUCAAGGAUUGGGAUUCUGCUCGCCUUCUCGUGGUCGAGCAGAUCCUGGCACGCUUGGCUUCUGUCUCGCCAUAAAACAGGCUUUGAGACUUGCCGAGCCUUUGCAUGCCUUUGAUUCGUCAAGGAUUGGGAUUCUGCUUGCCUUCUCGUGGUCGAGCAGAUCCUGGCACGCUUGGCUUCUGUCUCGCCAUAAAACAGGCUUUGAGACUUGCUGAGCCUUUGCAUGCCUUUGAUUGUUCAAGGAUUGGGAUUCGGCUCUCCUUCUCGUGGUCGAGCAGAUCCUGGCACGCUUGGCUUCUUUCUCGCCAUAAAACAAGCUUUGAGACUUGCCGAGCCUUUGCAUGCCUUUGAUUCUUCAAGGAUUGAGAUUCUGCUCGCCUUCUCGUGGUCGAGCAGAUCCUGGCACGCUUGGCUUCUGUCUCGCCAUAAAACAGGCUUUGAGACUUGCUGAGCCUUUGCAUGCCUUUGAUUGUUCAAGGAUUGGGAUUCGGCUCGCCUUCUCGUGGUGGAGCAGAUCCUGGCACGCUUGGCUUCUGUCUCGUCAUAACACAAGCUUUGAGACUUGAUGAGCCUUUGCAUGCCUUUGAUAAUUUCUUGAAUGCUUUGGAGUCUGCUCGCCUUCUCGUGGUCGAGCAUAUCCUGGCACGCUUGGCUUCUGUCUCGCCAUAAAACAGGCUUUGAGACUUGCUGAGCCUUUGCAUGCCUUCAAUUCUUCAAGGAUUGGGAUUCUGCUCGCCUUCUCGUGGUCGAGCAGAUCCUGGCACGCUUGGCUUCUGUCUCACCAUAAAACAGGCUUUGAGACUUGCUGAGCCUUUGCAUGCCUUUGAUUCUUCAAAGAUUGGGAUUCUGCUCGCCUUCUCGUGGUCGAGCAGAUCCUGGCACGCUUGGCUUCUUUCUCGCCAUAAAACAGGCUUUGAGACUUGCCGAGCCUUUGCAUGCCUUUGAUUCUUCAAGGAUUGGGAUUCUGCUCGCCUUCUCGUGGUCGAGCAGAUCCUGGCACGCUUGGCUUCUGUCUCGCCAUAAAAUAGGCUUUGAGACUUGCUGAGCCUUUGCAUGCCUUUGAUUGUUCAAGGAUUGGGAUUCUGCUCGCCUUCUCGUGGUCGAGCAGAUCCUGGCACGCUUGGCUUCUGUCUCGCCAUAAAAUAGGCUUUGAGACUUGCUGAGCCUUUGCAUGCCUUUGAUUGUUCAAGGAUUGUGAUUCGGCUUGCCUUCUCGUGGUCGAGCAGAUCCUGGCACGCUUGGCUUCUGUCUCACCAUAAAACAGGCUUUGAGACUUGCUGAGCCUUUGCAUGCCUUUGAUUCUUCAAAGAUUGGGAUUUUGCUCGCCUUCUCGUGGUCGAGCAGAUCCUGGCACGCUUGGCUUCUGUCUCGCCAUAAAACAGGCUUUGAGACUUGCCGAGCCUUUGCAUGCCUUUGAUUCUUCAAGGAUUGGGAUUCUGCUCGCCUUCUCGUGGUCGAGCAGAUCCUGGCACGCUUGGCUUCUGUCUCGCCAUAAAAUAGGCUUUGAGACUUGCUGAGCCUUUGCAUGCCUUUGAUUGUUCAAGGAUUGUGAUUCGGCUUGCCUUCUCGUGGUCAAGCAGAUCCUGGCACGCUUGGCUUCUGUCUCGCCAUAAAACAGGCUUUGAGACUUGCUGAGCCUUUGCAUGCCUUCAAUUCUUCAAGGAUUGGGAUUCUGCUCGCCUUCUCGUGGUCGAGCAGAUCCUGGCACGCUUGGCUUCUGUCUCACCAUAAAACAGGCUUUGAGACUUGCUGAGCCUUUGCAUGCCUUUGAUUCUUCAAAGAUUGGGAUUCUGCUCGCCUUCUCGUGGUCGAGCAGAUCCUGGCACGCUUGGCUUCUGUCUCGCCAUAAAACAGGCUUUGAGACUUGCCGAGCCUUUGCAUGCCUUUGAUUCUUCAAGGAUUGGGAUUCUGCUCGCCUUCUCGUGGUCGAGCAGAUCCUGGCACGCUUGGCUUCUGUCUCGCCAUAAAACAGGCUUUGAGACUUGCCGAGCCUUUGCAUGCCUUUGAUUCUUCAAAGAUUGGGAUUCUGCUUGCCUUCUCGUGGUCGAGCAGAUCCUGGCACGCUUGGCUUCUGUCUCGCCAUAAAACAGGCUUUGAGACUUGCCGAGCCUUUGCAUGCCUUUGAUUCUUCAAGGAUUGGGAUUCUGCUCGCCUUCUCGUGGUCGAGCAGAUCCUGGCACGCUUGGCUUCUGUCUCGCCAUAAAAAUAGGCUUUGAGACUUGCUGAGCCUUUGCAUGCCUUUGAUUGUUCAAGGAUUGUGAUUCGGCUUGCCUUCUCGUGGUCAAGCAGAUCCUGGCACGCUUGGCUUCUGUCUCACCAUAAAACAGGCUUUGAGACUUGCUGAGCCUUUGCAUGCCUUCAAUUCUUCAAGGAUUGGGAUUCUGCUCGCCUUCUCGUGGUCGAGCAGAUCCUGGCACGCUUGGCUUCUGUCUCACCAUAAAACAGGCUUUGAGACUUGCUGAGCCUUUGCAUGCCUUUGAUUCUUCAAAGAUUGGGAUUCUGCUCGCCUUCUCGUGGUCGAGCAGAUCCUGGCACGCUUGGCUUCUGUCUCGCCAUAAAACAGGCUUUGAGACUUGCCGAGCCUUUGCAUGCCUUUGAUUCUUCAAGGAUUGGGAUUCUGCUCGCCUUCUCGUGGUCGAGCAGAUCCUGGCACGCUUGGCUUCUGUCUCGCCAUAAAACAGGCUUUGAGACUUGCUGAGCCUUUGCAUGCCUUUGAUUCUUCAAGGAUUGGGAUUCUGCUCGCCUUCUCGUGGUCGAGCAGAUCCUGGCACGCUUGGCUUCUGUCUCGUCAUAAAACAGGCUUUGAGACUUGCCGAGCCUUUGCAUGCCUUUGAUAAUUUCUUGAAUGCUUUGGAGUCUGCUUGCCUUCUCGUGGUCGAGCAUAUCCUAGCACGCUUGGCUUCUGUCUCGCCAUAAAACAGGCUUUGAGGCUUGCUGAGCCUUUGCAUGCCGUUGAUUGUUCAAGGAUUGGGAUUCGGCUCGCCUUCUCGUGGUGGAGCAGAUCCUGGCACGCUUGGCUUCUGUCUCGCCAUAAAAUAGGCUUUGAGACUUGCUGAGCCUUUGCAUGCCUUUGAUUGUUCAAGGAUUGUGAUUCGGCUUGCCUUCUCGUGGUCAAGCAGAUCCUGGCACGCUUGGCUUCUGUCUCACCAUAAAACAGGCUUUGAGACUUGCUGAGCCUUUGCAUGCCUUCAAUUCUUCAAGGAUUGGGAUUCUGCUCGCCUUCUCGUGGUCGAGCAGAUCCUGGCACGCUUGGCUUCUGUCUCGUCAUAAAACAGGCUUUGAGACUUGAUGAGCCUUUGCAUGCCUUUGAUAAUUUCUUGAAUGCUUUGGAGUCUGCUUGCCUUCUCGUGGUCGAGCAUAUCCUGGCACGCUUGGCUUCUUACUCGCCAUAAAACAGGCUUUGAGACUUGCCGAGCCUUUGCAUGCUUUUGAUUCUUCAAGGAUUGGGAUUCUGCUCGCCUUCUCGUGGUCGAACAGAUCCUAGCAUGCUUGGCUUCUGUCUCGCCAUAAAACAGGCUUUGAGACUUGUUGAGCCUUUGCAUGCCUUUGAUUCUUCAAGGAUUGGGAUUCGGCUCGCCUUCUCGUGGUCGAGCAGAUCCUGGCACGCUUGGCUUCUGUCUCGCCAUAAAACAGGCUUUGAGACUUGCUGAGCCUUUGCAUGCCUUUGAUUCUUCAAGGAUUGGGAUUCUGCUCGCCUUCUCGUGGUCGAGCAGAUCCUGGCACGCUUGGCUUCUGUCUCGCCAUAAAACAGGCUUUGAGACUUGCCGAGCCUUUGCAUGCCUUUGAUUCUUCAAGGAUUGGGAUUCUGCUCGCCUUCUCGUGGUCGAGCAGAUCCUGGCACGCUUGGCUUCUGUCUCGCCAUAAAACAGGCUUUGAGACUUGCUGAGCCUUUGCAUGCCGUUGAUUGUUCAAGGAUUGGGAUUCGGCUCGCCUUCUCGUGGUGGAGCAGAUCCUGGCACGCUUGGCUUCUGUCUCGUCAUAAAACAGGCUUUGAGACUUGAUGAGCCUUUGCAUGCCUUUGAUAAUUUCUUGAAUGCUUUGGAGUCUGCUUGCCUUCUCGUGGUCGAGCAUAUCCUGGCACGCUUGGCUUCUGUCUCGCCAUAAAACAGGCUUUGAGACUUGCCGAGCCUUUGCAUGCCUUUGAUUCUUCAAGGAUUGGGAUUCUGCUCGCCUUCUCGUGGUCGAGCAGAUCCUGGCACGCUUGGCUUCUGUCUCGCCAUAAAACAGGCUUUGAGACUUGCUGAGCCUUUGCAUGCCGUUGAUUGUUCAAGGAUUGGGAUUCGGCUCGCCUUCUCGUGGUCGAGCAGAUCCUGGCACGCUUGGCUUCUGUCUCGCCAUAAAACAGGCUUUGAGACUUGCUGAGCCUUUGCAUGCCUUCAAUUCUUCAAGGAUUGGGAUUCUGCUCGCCUUCUCGUGGUCGAGCAGAUCCUGGCACGCUUGGCUUCUGUCUCGCCAUAAAACAGGCUUUGAGACUUGCCGAGCCUUUGCAUGCCUUUGAUUCUUCAAGGAUUGGGAUUCUGCUCGCCUUCUCGUGGUCGAGCAGAUCCUGGCACGCUUGGCUUCUGUCUCGCCAUAAAACAGGCUUUGAGACUUGCCGAGCCUUUGCAUGCCUUUGAUUCGUCAAGGAUUGGGAUUCUGCUUGCCUUCUCGUGGUCGAGCAGAUCCUGGCACGCUUGACUUCUGUCUCGCCAUAAAACAGGCUUUGAGACUUGCUGAGCCUUUGCAUGCCUUUGAUUGUUCAAGGAUUGGGAUUCGGCUCUCCUUCUCGUGGUCGAGCAGAUCCUGGCACGCUUGGCUUCUUUCUCGCCAUAAAACAAGCUUUGAGACUUGCCGAGCCUUUGCAUGCCUUUGAUUCUUCAAGGAUUGAGAUUCUGCUCGCCUUCUCGUGGUCGAGCAGAUCCUGGCACGCUUGGCUUCUGUCUCGCCAUAAAACAGGCUUUGAGACUUGCUGAGCCUUUGCAUGCCUUUGAUUGUUCAAGGAUUGGGAUUCGGCUCGCCUUCUCGUGGUGGAGCUGAUCCUGGCACGCUUGGCUUCUGUCUCGUCAUAAAACAGGCUUUGAGACUUGAUGAGCCUUUGCAUGCCUUUGAUAAUUUCUUGAAUGCUUUGGAGUCUGCUCGCCUUCUCGUGGUCGAGCAUAUCCUGGCACGCUUGGCUUCUGUCUCGCCAUAAAACAGGCUUUGAAACUUGCUGAGCCUUUGCAUGCCUUCAAUUCUUCAAGGAUUGGGAUUCUGCUCGCCUUCUCGUGGUCGAGCAGAUCCUGGCACGCUUGGCUUCUGUCUCACCAUAAAACAGGCUUUGAGACUUGCUGAGCCUUUGCAUGCCUUUGAUUCUUCAAAGAUUGGGAUUCUGCUCGCCUUCUCGUGGUCGAGCAGAUCCUGGCACGCUUGGCUUCUGUCUCGCCAUAAAACAGGCUUUGAGACUUGCCGAGCCUUUGCAUGCCUUUGAUUCUUCAAGGAUUGGGAUUCUGGUCGCCUUCUCGUGGUCGAGCAGAUCCUGGCACGCUUGGCUUCUGUCUCGCCAUAAAAUAGGCUUUGAGACUUGCUGAGCCUUUGCAUGCCUUUGAUUGUUCAAGGAUUGUGAUUCGGCUUGCCUUCUCGUGGUCAAGCAGAUCCUGGCACGCUUGGCUUCUGUCUCGCCAUAAAACAGGCUUUGAGACUUGAUGAGCCUUUGCAUGCCUUAGGAAAUUUUCACAGUUUCAAGCGAAUGAAAUUCCUCAUUGAUUCAUUUAUUGCUGAGUUCGGCUUACAUGAGGUUGGUUUGAAAUAAGAAAUCAAAAAUAGAAAACAACGGACACGAACAGAAAAAAAAAAAACUUUAAAACAUGAAUAAGUCUUACUAGAAAUAUUUCCUGAGGUGUGCCGCGCUCCAUGGACGUUUCACCUCGUGGCCCUCCGUGCGAACCAACUUGUAGACUCCGGGUCCAACUAGCUGCCUUUCCCGGCUUCCACUCGGGUACCAAGGUAUGUUAUCUGCAUUGCUUCCCUUGCUGCCGAGGAGUAACAAGUUCGUGCGAUUCUCUGGUCUCCUCGUACCACUCCAACUACCCCAUUCACCCGGUACUUGAGAGCCAGAUAAUGGUUGGACAGCACCGCUUUGCUCAUCCUCAGAAAUGGCCGACCUAGGAUCAUCUGAUAAGGACCUUCCUCAUCCACUACCACAAAGUCCAGUAUCAUUGUCCUUUCUGUCGGGGAGCUCCCAAUCGUGAUAGGCAGCUCGACCACGCCCAGAGGGACCAGCUUUCCUCUUCCAAACCCCUUCAAGGAGGUAUUGGUGUAUUCCAACUUCCGGUCUACUAUUCCCAUCUCCUCCAAGGUUGACUUAAAUAAUACAUCAACUGAACUCCCUGUAUCAACCAGUAUCCGGUCACACUUCUUGCUAGCGACAGUAGCCUUGAUGACUAAAGCAUCCUCGUGGGGGUAUAGAAUUCCUUCCUCAUCUUCAUCCGUCCACAUGAUUGGCACUUGCCUGACCCUUGCUCGUUUGGCUGCUGGGGUGUUGAAGAAUACCUCUUUACUAGUCAUGGCGUAUCUAGCAUAGUUCUUCCUAGAUCUGUUGGAAUCUCCAGCCAAUGUCGGGCCCCCAGCAAUCACCCUUACUGUAGGCUGCUCGUGCCUCAAAUUUCUGCCACUCUGCUCCCCUUCACAUGUCGAGGCCACCAUCGGGAAAGUCCCAUCUACAAACUCGUCCAGGUACCGAUUUCUCACCAAAUCUUCAACCUGGGUCUUGAGAUCUUUGCAUUCUGCAGUGGUAUGGCCAUGAGUGCCAUAGAACUUACAAUGGCGUCCCCUAUCCCUCCUGCUGGGUAGCUUUGUUAUUAGGGCAGGGAGGUACAGCAAUCCUCGGUCCUUUAUGGCCUCGUAUACUUUGUCCAGGGACAUCUUCAAGGAGGUGUAUCGCCCAUACUCCUGGUUUUGGUCAAUCAGGUGCACAGCCCUUUCUCUAUUUGCUCCGUUUUGAGUUGGAGGCGAUGGCAGCAUUUCUGGUCUGCUCCCUCUACUACUGUGGGAGUGUUGAUGAAGACCACCAUAUGCCGAAUCAUGCCUUCUCCAAGGCUCCCUAGCUGGGGAACGAGGAGGGUGCGCCCUGCUGCGCUGAUACUGUGGUGGCCUCUGAUGAGGCUGGUGAGCUGUUAUCCGACCUCCUGUUCCACUACCUGAGGCCUGGAGGUCCCUCCUCCUGAUCGGCCCAUUUCCCGGUAAUGCCCUCUUCUCUUUCUUUUCCAGCCCCUCCAGCUGGUCUGUCUUAAUCCGACCUGCCUUUUCUUCCUCGAUCUCUAUGUCUCUUUUAGCCUGCUCGUAUGCGGCUGCAUACGUCUGAAUAGCUGGGCUUCUCAAGUUGUACCACAGCCUUCCUAUCUUCACUCCCUCUUUCAAUCCCCUUAGUGCCUGAGGAUGGUCGAAGGCUCCCAAAUCGAGGACAGCACGAUGAAACCUCUUGAUGAAUUCCCGAAGGGUUUCUUGCUCCCCUUGCUUCAUGCUUUUCAGCUCCAUCAUGUCAUCUUCUGGUGCCAUUGCCCCACGAAACUGCUCUGCAAACUCCUGGCACAUCUGCUCGAAGGUUUUAAUGCUCCCCCGAGGAAGUUUCUUGUACCACUCUCGUGCACGUCCCUCAAGAGAUAGUGGGAACACCCUGCACCUUUGGGAUUGAGAUAAUCCUUGUACCCCAGUUAUGUCGUUGAAACGCUCUAUGUGCACCAGCGGAUCCGUUCGUCCCGAAUACCUAAGGUCUGGGAGGCGGAAAUCUCUCGGAAUAACUGCCCUCAUGAUCUCUGCUGCGAGCGGUGAUUCUCCGUCCAGCAUUAUCCUCCAACCAGGAGCUCUGCUCCUUCCUUGCAUGUCGUCAAUUAUCUGCGCUAGUCUGCGCACUUCCUCCUCCAGCUGCACUGCGCGACUAGGGUCACGUGCUGCAGCUUGAUCCCGCUCUUGCUCUACAUCAAGCAAGUGUUGCCUCAACUCUGUUUCCUCUGCAUUUGCCACCCUGUCCACUUUAAAUCUGGUGUGGUUAAUGAACAUUUUGAGGUCACAAAAUUUGCACUACUGGAAACAAUAAAGGAAGCAGUACCAGAGAUAUGGUCACCAGAAAUGAAGAGUGCCUGGUCCGAAGCUUGCGAUCAAUUGGUUGCAGCCAUUAAGUUAGAGAUGAAGCCCUCCUCUUAGAGUUUCCUGAACAAAUUUCUCUUCCCUUGUAAUAUUAAAGAAUUUCAACAAGAUCAUUGUUUAUUUGUUAAUCUUUGCAUUGGUACCCAUGUGUGUUUCUUAUGCCUUUUUGUAUCAAUCCUUGUGUUCAACUCUUAAAUCUUAAUAAUAAAAGUUUGUUCCUAAUAUUUGCAUUUAAAUAUUAACAUGUGUGUUAGAUGAUUUGCCUCUUUGAUUCUGUUGCUUCAUUCCCGUGCAUCUAUCCAAUUAUACUGAUUAGUCCUAAACUGGUUUCAAUGCUCUUAACAAGGAAAAGCUUCAAAAUAAGCUCUUCUUUUUUAGUUGUAAGUGUGUUCUCUUCUGUUGAGUUAUUAAUGGAUCAGUGAAAAGGGCUAACAAUUCUUUUGGAAUGUGUUUGCACUAUGUAUAACAACAAUAAAUGAACUCAAAAGAUUAACGUAUAAUGAAGUUAACUUUCUAUAAUGAAGUUUGUUGUGUUUAAUUUAUAUCAUAUUUGUUCUUUUCUAUUGAUAGUGAUCCAGUUGAAAGAAAAGCAGGGGAAGAAAAAAUGGACAACAUCCAAGAAGCAUCUCAUGCCUUUAAGCCGGCAAAAAUUUCGUGCUUCUAAUGUUUUCUUGCUGCUGAAUUCUUGAAUGUAGAAGUUCAACAGUCAAUUCUCACGAACCAGUUGGCGUUUUGCAGCUUGGAAGCUCUAUACUUGAGGUUUUGCAGUUUGCAAUUUGCAGUCUGCAGAUUGUAAGUUUUGAGGGGAGUGUUAUGGUUCACGCUUGCGCAAAUAGAAGGAUAAAGAGAAUGCUCACGUGCUGCACAGGUGGAAUUAAAAGGAAAGCAAUCAAAACCAAAAAGCAAUCAAAGCAAAAGAAAAGUAAUCAAAGCAAAAAGAAAGCAAUCAAAGCAAAAUGCACCGUUUUUACCAAUAUUCCGGGGGCGGAUUCAGGGUUUAAUUCGGGGUAAAUAGCUUUUUCCCUAUUAUAAACACCUGAAGUCAAAGUUAAUGUUUUAAUUUCUUUAGUUUGGUAAAGACUGCUUAAGCUGACUUGAAAAGCUCAAAUAUAAGUUCUAUAUUAACAAAUGCCCGCAGCUUGUGAAGACAUAGAUAAUUGAAGCCGAUGAGGCAUAUUUAACAGAUGAUAAUCAAAACUAAUGUGAUUAAAAUUAUAAUUCAAUAAUUAAGCACAUAAAACAACAAGUAACUAGUUGUAUAUAUACCAAACAACAUUUUGAAGUUAAGGCGUAAAACAGCAACAUAGAACAAAUUAAUUAAAUAUACCAGCACCAAUACUCUUAUUAUUAUCCACAUAGAAAAGAACAAUAUAUCAAACAAGGAAAAUGAAAUAUUGUUAAUAACUCAAAAACCACUAGUGUCAAGGACUAGACUAAUAAGUGAAACCCAUAAUUGGAGGAUAAUUAUGUGCACAUGAGUUCGCUUAGCAAAAGUCCGCCUAGGCGUGGAGUGCGCUUAAAAGCGGGAUGCACUUAGAAGUGAGAUGCGCUUAGCAAAUCAUCCAAGCCCAACCCAAGAUCUAGAACUCUCUGUAAAUUAUUAAUAAGCUAAAGUUUUUAUGUUUCUCCAUGUAGGUCCCUAGGAUAUUUAUGGAAGUUGCUAGGAAGUUUCCUCCCCUAGAACUCUAAUACCUAUAAAUAGGGGUGGGCCGCCUCAUUUGCCCACCAAUCACACCACACACACAAACACUCCAGCACACACACACAAGCUCUCUAGCUUUUGCAAAAAACUCUCUUGUAUAUUCUCUCUUUGUGAGUAAUAAAAUCAUAUUCAGCCAUAUUGCUCUACAUAAAAUCAUAUUCGGCCAUAUUGCUCUACUUCUCUCUAGCAUUUUCCGCAAGUGUUCUUGCUUUGCUAGUUUGAGGAGUGGUCUAGGCUUGCUUAGCAACUUGUUUGCUACAAGGACAUCUUGGUCACAAAACAUGGACAUGCAAGGAAAAAAAAAUAUUGAUACGUUCUAAAAAUAAUACGCAUUCUUCUACAGUGAACCAAAAAAUUUAGGCUAAUGGUAGCAAGUGAAGGAAUUGUGAUUUCACGUGCAUUUUGUUGACAUGAAGGUAAAGAACUUUUUUAUAGUUUAUAUUGUUUAAUAUAACAUUUGAAUUGCAAAAUAGGGGUACAAAAUUGAUACACGAAGUGAGAAAACUAAGCUAAUUAUGAUAAAUAUUGAAUUAAAAGAUUUAGGUUUAAUCAUAAAGACAUAAGUGGCCCACAAAGUCAUGAAUUGAUAUCAUCCACGAUGCAAGUUCAAAAAACUGCAUAAUAAGUUGCCCCAAGCUAAACUAUUAAUCUAGUAACUAUUCUAGUCGAUGUGGGAUAAUUUUCCUAUCACCAUCUAUCACGUGCAGGCCGAAUUUGUUGCUUGGUCCUUACAUGUGGUAAGGUAAUAUGAAUCCACUUGCGCAUGAAUUUGGCUCCGAUAUUAUAUAGAAGCCUAUGACACAAAAUUAUACUUAAAGGUUAUUUCAAGAUUUGAGGGUUGCCUCAAGCUAAUAUUAUUAUUAGCCUGGUAACCCUUUUUUUUUUUGUUGAUAUGUGAUAUUUUCCCUAUAACUUUUAUUAAUCUUUAUGCUUAUGUUUUGUCAUUUAUCCCAAAAUAUAACAAUAACAAAAGUUCCAAAAUUUCCUUCAAGAGAUAUAUUUGAGACAAGUAAUUUGUGCAAUAACUUUGUGAAUUGAUGAGCAAAUUCAGAGAAAAGAAUAUAUGUGCCAAACGUAACGUUUAUUAUUGUGUUUAUUUGUAGAGCUAUUUAAAGCCCAAAAAAAAAAAAAAAGCACCGGUCCGCUAUUAUUUCAAAUAAGUUCAAGCCCUAUGUCAUUAUUGGUACAAAAAUGUAUUAGAAUGGUUAAAAACUAUUUUUAUUUAACUUAUAAACUUAGGAAAUUAUCAACUGUUCACCCUUAAAUUGCAUUGUUAUAAAAAAUAUUACAACAUUUUCAGGUUGUAUCAUUCAUCUACCAUAAAUUUACAAUUUGCAUCAUUUAUCCACCAAAUCAUUAACUUCGUUAAAAAGUGAUAGACGUCACAAGGGUAAUUUAGACAUUUAACACACAAAAAAAAUAAAAGAGAAAUUAUCUAAGCUUACCAUGUUAUCAAAAUUGCUACAAAAUUUUAAAUUUAUUCAAUUUUCCAAUCUAAGUUUAUGACCUCCAAGAUGUUAAUUGCAGUUUGUAAUUAAUGACUUCAUAAGGAUAAUUUAGACACUCAAUAUGCAAAAUAAAAAAUAAAAUAAUGGCUUAAAACAUUAAAACAAAAAACUACUUUUUAUAAUUGAUAUUCAAUUAAAUACACAUAAACUCUAUUUUUUUCUUAAUUAAAAAAAUUCUAAUUUAUUUUCUCAAUUUAUCAUCAUAAAUUUACAUUAAUAAACUAAAUCCACAAAUUACCCUAAACCCUAAUUCAUAAAUGCCCAAUCAAUCUAAUAGUUUAAUUCGAUUUCAUAAUUAAAAAAGCUAAAUUUAUUAUAUUAGUUGUGGUGCAAAGUCAAAAAUGCCCUUAAAUUCAAGGUAAAAUAACAUUUUAUGUAAAUUCUAUAAAUUAUUCUAACAAUGUUAACAUUUUGGUGGACGGUUAAUAUAAGUUACAAACUUAAAAUAGAAAAUCAAAUAAAUUCAAAAUUUCAAACUAUUUAGGGCAAAUUUAGGAUAUAUGGUUAAUAAUUUUCCCAUGUCUUUUUACAUUGGUUGAUAUAAGUUACAAACUUAAAAUAGAAAAUCAAAUAAAUUUAUAUUUUCAAACUAUUUAGGACAAACUUAGGGUAUAUGGUUAAUAAUUUUUCUUUAUCUUUUUACGUUAAAUUGAGUUUCAAAGGUAAAAUGAUCAAUUUAUUAUAAUUCUAUUCAUUUUUUAGUGGAAGCAAAUGAUAUAAUGGACGAGUGAUAUAAAUUGUAAAAUUCUAUUCAUUUAAAGUGCAUGAAUGAUACAACUUUAAAGUAUUGUAGUAAUUUUAAUAAUAGAACAAUUUAAGGGUGGAUUGGCAAUAAUUUAAACUUUAAUGAAGCAACUAAAAAAAUUUGUUAACAAAGAAAAAUAAUUGAAUGCUUGGUGAAACCAAAAGUAAUUGAAAAGCUUUAAGAAAAAUAAAGGAAAUUAAAUAUCUUUAUAAAAACAUAAUUGAGUAAAAUCAUUUUACAAAAUGCUCUUUCAAAUGCACAUUCCACAAGCCAGGGAGAACGGGUGGCUAACAAAAAUGUCACUUUUUAUGAGUUUAUAAAAUCUCACUUUCGCUAAAUUAAAAAAUAACCAAUACUAAUGACACAAAAAAUAAAAAUUAUUGCUGUCACGACAUUACACACUUUCUUCGCAGUUUAGAAAGGUGGAACAUUUUGAAGUUCCUCAAUACAAAAUGCGUGCUACUACUAAAUUGGCCCAAUUAAUGCCCAUCGAAAAGGCCAUCAAUUUAGCCGCCAAUUUUGUCAAAAUUUCAACAAUUGAAGAAAUAAUGAGCACAAAUGGAAAAAAAAAAUCAUAAAGCUACCAAAAGGAACCACAAAAUCAUCAAUAUUAUCGUUUAAUAUGGGGAACGGCCUGCGCAUCCAAAUUGUGCGAACUGAACACGUUGAAAUGUGUUUUUUUUUUUGGAUUUUUGGAAUUUUUUAAAAUCAUUUAUGUUCGCUGCCAUCUUUUUCUUCGCUGGCGUCUUCAUUGGCAUCCCUCUCUUGGCUGGCAUCUGCCUCGUCUGCAGUUUGCUGUGCCUAUAUAUCCAACCAAUAAAUUGGGCAUUAAAUACGAAUGAUGAAUAAAAUGAUUAAAAACAAACAGAGAAAAUUAUAAUAUAACACAUAUAUAUUGAAAGAGAAAUUUUGAUUUUAGGAUAGAUCAAUUAGCUAUCACAAACGAAAACAUGUACCAACUAUGUAUAGAGUCAAUUAACUAAAGUUCUCAAGAGUUGACCUGUGCUCCUGAAUCCUUGGAAUCAUCUAUCUCCUUCUGAAUUUCCACGAAGCCUGGGACAAUCUUGAACAACAACGUUAAAGGAUGGAAUUGAGAUCUGAUAACCCGCAGGCCAAAUGUUGGUGAGGUUUGGUAAGUUUAUCAGUUCCACCCGAAGUUCAUUCAUAACAAUUUCAUUGUAAUCCGUGACGUCUGCUCCAUCUUUAUGCCAGAAUACUUCUUCUAAUUCAUCAUUAGCUGCUAUGUUUAGGUUCUUCAGUUUUUGAAGACUUGGAGCUACGCUGAUAUGAAAUAGAUGCUUUAGUUUGGGGCAAUAAGCGACAGUGAUCUCUGUGAGUUUUGGGAAACAUACAGGUUGGAGAUGAUCCUCAUCCUCAUCCUCAUCAAUGAUUUGCUCUAAUUCCCAGCAAUUGCGAAUGUAUAACUCCUUCAAACAUGGGAAUAGUUUGUUUUCUGGUCCCUCAGCGAUAAUAGCUUCCAAUUGAAAUACCACCUGUACUCCAAUUUCCCUAAUAUGCAAUUCUUCCAAAUUUUUUAAUCCGUGCUUCAACAGUGCUGGAAUCGUGUCACUCAAAUGGGAACAAUUGUCCACAUCUAGAGUAUUUAAGUUCUGAGACAAAUAAAUAAAUAACUUGAUGCAAUUAAAAUUUAUUAGCAGCUAGGAUUAUCACAUGAUAAGUGAUGAACACCGCAAAAAUAUCAUAAUACAUAUGUAAACUAAUAAAAUAAUUAAAAAGUAAUGGAUUUAAAAAAAAUGAAAUUAGUUAAAAGAGAUCAUGUGAAGUGAUAUAAAUGUGACAGUAGAUUGUUUUAGAAAAAAAUAUUAUUCUAUUAAUUUAUAUGGCUUGAUAAACUAUUUAAUUGAAUUUGAAUAAUAUUAUAUACACUUCUGAAGUAUUUGCAUCAAUUCUUUCUAAACCAAAAUGAGAUAUGACUUUCAUUUGAAGAAUGGUUUUAGGCCCUAUAAUAAAGAAAUUUUCCUAAGAUAUCUGAGCAUUAUUAUUAUCAUUACCACAUCCACCACCACCAUCAUCAUCUCCAUAGGAUCAAAUAAUUGUCAAAAGUCAUGGCUGGCAUCGGCCAUCUAGAUGGCCAGUGCCAUGCGAUUCAACACGGCCCACCAUUAUUGGUGGUGCCGCGUUGACUUAUUCUAUAAAAAAAAAAAAGGAGCCAAAAUUUUGGCUAUAUAAAGAGGGCUUCCCACCCUCAUUUUGCAUUCCAUUACGAGAGAGCAAUUUAGUAGUUGAGAGAGAGUUUAGAGAGCUUGAAAUUAUAAAGCUUUUGUUAUAGUGAUUUAGAGAGUUUGGGUGUAUUGAGAUUUUUGGGAAGUGAGCUAAAAUACUACAAUACUUGUAACUCCUUUUCACUAGUAAAAUAUUUCCUUCUGUUUUUGCCCGUGGACGUAGGCUAAAAGCCGAACCACAUAAAUUCUGGUGUCCUCUAUUAUGCUUGUUCUUUAUUUUCUUCCAAUUUCACUUUAGCUGCUUGUCUGCUUCACCCACCAAUUUCCUAACAGUGGUAUCAGAGCUAUUGGUUGUAUUUUUUUGAGUCGGGUACUGUUCACGUAAGGGGUACUAUUCACGUAUACGGUACUAUUCACGUAUACAGUACUAUUCACGUAUACGGUACUAUUCAUGUAUACAGUACUAUUCACGUGAAACGGUGGGAGCGAUCCAAGAAUUUUACGGUGCAAAGCAGGGAAUAGUGGUGUGAGUAAAACAACUGUGUGGUUUUGUACAUGUCUAGGAAAGUUAUGUCACAAAGGCGAUAAGAGCUUAAGGAGUCUGGGUUUUAAGUGGGACCAUUGUGACCCCUCCAGUCUUUCCUGGGAACUUUCCUGGUGUGCAUUCUCACACAUACUUACAACUAUUCAAGGUGGUACACUAGUUUGUGUGCGGUAUUUAUCAACAAAAUGGCGGCAAAGUAUGAAAUUGAGAAAUUUAACAGAAACAAUUUUUCGUUGUGGAAAAUGAAGAUGAAAGCUGUAUUGAGGAAAAAUAAUUGCUUGGCAGGAAUUGGAGAAAGGCCCAUGGAGAUAACUGAUGACAAGUGGAAUGAGAUAGAUGGCAACGCCAUUUCUGAUCUACACUUGGCACUUGCAGAUGGAGUAUUAUCCAGUGUGGCAGAGAAAAAUACAGCGAAGGAAAUAUGGGAUACUCUUACAAAAUUGUACGAGGCCAAGUCACUACACAACAAAAUCUUCUUGAAGAGGAAACUUUAUACUCUUCGAAUGACGGAAUCUACAAUGGUGACCGACCACAUCAACACCUUGAAGACUCUAUUUUCACAACUCACAACGUUGGGUCAUAAUAUAGAGGAGAAUGAACGAGCAGAGCUUCUACUUCAAAGUCUAUCAGAUUCGUAUGAUCAACUCAUCAUCAACCUAACGAAUAAUAAUCCAGUGGACAAUCUAGUUUUCGACGAUGUUGCAGUCUCCGUAUUAAAUAAGGAGAGUAGGCGGAAAAAUAAAGAAAACAGACAAGCAAGUUCACAGCAAGCGGAGGCGCUAUCGGUGACGAGAGGGAGAUCAACAGAACGUGGCCCCAGUGAGAGCCACAAUCAUGGUAGAUCAAAAUCCAAAAGUAAGAAGAAUAUUAAAUGCUACAACUGUGGCAAGAAAGGGCACAUCAAGAAAAAGUGUUGGAGUAACCAGAAGAGAAGAGAGGGCAAAGAACCUGAGUAAUCAAAUGCUCAGGGUUGUGUAGCAAGUACCUCGGAUGAUGGCGAAAUUCUCUACAGUGAGGCAACAACUGUUUCAGAAGGCAGAAAACGACUAUUUGAUGUCUAGCUUAUAGACUCAGGAGCUACCUGGCAUAUGACCUCUCGGAGAGAAUGGUUCCACACAUAUGAACUUAUCUAAGGAGGAUCUGUAUAUAUGGGUAAUGAUCAUGCCUUGGAGAUCGCUGGUAUUGGUACUAUCAAAAUAAAAAUGUUUGAUGGUACAAUUCGCACAAUUGGGAAGGUACGACAUGUCAACGGCCUGAAGAAAAAUCUAUUGUCUUUGGGACAAAUGGAUAGUUAUGGGUAUAAAACUCAUGUGGAGAAUGUAAUUAUGAAGAUCGUUAAAGGAGCGCUUGUAUUAAUGAAGGCAUAAAAGAUCAGUGCUAAUCUAUUCAUGCUUAAAGGAGAAACACUACAGGAGGCUGAUGCGUGUGUCGCAUUUAAUGGAGAAGAAUCAACGAUGAUGUGGCAUCUCAAACUUGGCCACAUGUCAGAACAAGGUUUGAAGAUUCUCUCUGAGCGAAAAUUGCUUCUGGGGCUCAAAUCGGUAAGUUUACCAUUUUGCGAUCAUUGUGUUACAAGUAAGCAGUAUAGAUUAAAAUUUAGUAGAUCUAUUGCUAGAAGUAAAUGCAUUCUAGACUUGAUUCAUUUUGAUGUUUGGGAAUCACCGGAUAUAUCCAUGGGAGGUGCAAAGUACAUGGUGACUUUCAUUGAUGAUUAUUCCAGAAAAUGUUGGGUGUAUCCAAUUAAGAAAAAGUCAGAUGUAUUUCCAGUGUUUAAAGAAUACAAAGCGCGGGUGGAACUUGAAUCUGGUAAAAAGAUCAAGUGCUUGAGGACAGAUAAUGGUGGAGAGUAUACAGACGGCGAGUUUCUUGCUUUCUGUAAGCAAGAAGGUAUUCAGAGACAGUUCACGCUAGCAUACACUCCUCAACAAAACGGAGUGGCGAAGCGGAUGAACAGAACUCUUACAGAAAAAAUAAAAGCUAUGUUGAGGACUGCUGGUCUACCCAAUUUAUUCUGGGCAGAAGCAGCCAAAACUGCUUGUUAUAUAGUAAAUCGGUCGCCAUCUACAGUUAUUGGGCUGAAGACAGCGAUGGAGAUGUGGACUGGAAAGCCAGCUGAUUAUUCAUACCUACAUGCAUUUUGAUGUCCUGUGUAUGUGAUGUACAAUGCCCAAGAAAGAAAAAAACUGGAUCCAAAAUCUAGAAAAUGUAUCUUCUUGGGAUAUGCUGAUGGAGUAAAGGGGUAUCGUCUGUGGGACCCCACUGCCCACAAGAUCGUCAUCAGCAGAGAUGUUAUAUUUAUAGAAGAUCAACUGCAAAGGAAAGAUGAGGAUGAUAGCACUAUAAAAGAAAAGUCAGAGACUGUACCGGUAUAUGUGAAAAAUAAUCCAGAAGAUUCAUAUUCUUCUGAAGCAGCACCAGAGCACGAGGAACAAGAACCAGUCGAGUCCGAGGCUCAAGAAGUUCGUCGAUCAACUCGUGAGAGACGACCGCCAACGUGGCACUCGGAGUAUGUUACAGAGAUCAACGUUGCAUACUGUCUUCUAACAGAGAAUGGAGAGCCUUCAACUUUCCAUGAAGCUUUAAACAACUCAGAUGUUACUUUGUGGAUGACAGCAAUGCAGGAAGAAAUUGAGGCUCUACACAAGAACAAGACAUGGGAACUUGUACCACUACCACGUGGAAGAAAAGCCAUUGGAAACAAAUGGGUCUACAAGAUCAAACGUGAUGGCAAUGACCAAGUGAAGCGGUAUCGUGCGAGAUUGGUGGUGAAAGGAUAUGCUCAGAAAAAAAGUAUUGACUUCAACGAGAUAUUUUUACUGGUGGUUCGACUCAUAACAGUCAGAGUAGUCUUGGUGAUGUGUGCUACAUUUGACUUACAUCUUGACCAGUUAGAUGUGAAAACUGCAUUUCUUCAUGGAGAACUUGAAGAAGAAAUAUAUAUGCUCCAACCAGAAGGUUUUGCAGAAACAGGAAAGGAGAACUUGGUUUGCAGGUUGAACAAAUCUCCAUACGGUCUUAAACAGGUGCCGAGGUGUUGGUAUAAGAGAUUUGAUUCCUUCAUUGUGAGUCUUGGAUACAAUAGACUCAGUUCAGACUAUUGUGCAUAUUACAAGAGGUUUGAAGACAAUGAUUUCAUUAUUUUACUGUUGUAUGUGGAUGACAUGUUGGUAGCAGGCCCCAACAAAAAUCAAAUCCAAGAAUUGAAGGCACAGUUGGCUAGGGAGUUUGAAAUGAAGGACUUGGGACCAGCAAACAAGAUUUUAGGGAUGCAAAUUCACCGAGACAGAAAUAACAGGAAGAUUUGGCUUUCGCAGGAGAAUUACUUGAAGAAAAUAUUGCGGCGCUUCAACAUGCAAGAUUGUAAGUCAAUUUCUACCCUACUUCCUGUUAAUUUCAAACUAUCCUCAAGUAUGUGUCCUAGCAAUGAAGCAGAGAGGAAGGAGAUGUCUCGAGUAUCGUAUGCAUCAGCAGUGGGAAGUUUGAUGUUCGCUAUGAUAUGUACAAGACCAGACAUUGCACAAGCAGUGGGAGCAGUCAGUCGAUACAUGGCGAAUCCUAGUGGAGAGCAUUGGAUAGCUGUGAAGAGGAUUAUGAGAUACAUCAGAGGAACCAUCAGAUGUUGCAUUAUGUUAUGGAGGAUCAGAGUUUACUGUCAGGGGCUAUGUGGAUUCAGAUUUUGCAGGAGACCUUGAUAAAAUGAAAUCUACUACUGGUUAUGUGUUUACACUUGUGGGAGCAGCUGUAAGCUGUGUUUCAAAACUGCAGACCGUUGUAGUUUUAUCUACGACAGAAGCAGAAUACAUGGAAGCUACACAAGCUUGCAAGGAAGCUAUUUGGAUACAAAGGUUAUUGGAGGAGCUCGGGCACAAACAACAGAAAAUUCCUGUGUUUUGUGACAGUCAGAAUGCCUUGCACAUUGCAAGGAAUCCAGCCUUUCAUUCCAGGACAAAGCACAUAGGAGUUCAGUAUCACUUCGUUCGUGAAGUAAUGGAAGAUGGAAGUGUGGAUUUGCAGAAAAUCCAUACCAAAGAGAACCUAGCAGAUGUUUUGACCAAGCCGAUAAAUACUGAUAAGUUUGUUUGGAGUAGAUCUUCUUGUGGCCUAGCAGCAACAUAAGCAACAUGACUACGACGAAGCAGAAAGGAUAAUGUGGAGAUUGAUUAAUUCUCAAUCUAAUCUCCAAGUGGGAGAAUGUCAAAAGUCAUGGCUGGCACCGGCCAUCUAGAUGGCCAGUGCCAUGCCAUUCAACACGGCCCACCAUUAUUGGUGGUGCCGUGUUAACUUAUUCUAUUAAAAAAAAAAAGGAGCCAAAAUUUUGGCUAUAUAAAGAGGGCUUCCCACCCUCAUUUUGCAUUCCAUUAAGAGAGCAAUUUAGUAGUUGAGAGAGAGUUUAGAGAGCUUGAAAUUAUAAAGCUUUUGUUAUAGUGAUUUAGAGAGUUUGAGUGUAUUGGGAUUUUUGGGAAGUGAGCUAAAAUACUUGAUGGGUGUCGAAGCCAACAAAAAUAAAUUCCUACUCUAAAUAAAUUGUGUAUAGUGAUUGAGCAGGGUCGUGUCCACAGAGAUCGGUAAUUAUUUAAAUCCUUUUGAAACGUAAAACGUAAAAUGGGGGAAUUGUAGACAAUAAUAAAAAUCAAAUUAAAUAACAAGAAUGCAAAUUAAAGUUGUAAUUCAAAUUGGAGAAAGCUCUGGUUGAAGGAAUUAACUAAGCUUGAUUCGACUACUGAUCAUUGAUUCAAAUAUAGAUUAUUAUUACUCAUGAAUAGACCGGUUAUAGCUAUUGAGACCCUCUAAUAGCCAAUCUCUCCUUAACUAGUCGAUAACCAAGGUACGACCGUUAGUUAUUUCCCUAAUCAAUAGACAACCCUAGAUACGAUCAUAUGAUUUAAUCAAUUGACAGCCUGAAAAACCAGAGAGACCCAAAUCCUAAUCAACACAUAUGAUGAUUCAUUUAAAUUAGAUUGUUUAUUCUCACAACACAACUCUCUGCUAUGUUAUUUGUCACAAACAUUAAAUUCUUAAUACGAUGAAUCCUUUAAUUGACAAUAGAUUAAGUUGAUAAUUAAAUAGUGGUCAAUUACCUAAUUAACAAACAUAAUCAUGAAACUAAUUCAGAGAAUAAACAAAUACCCAAAAAGUAAUAAAACAAUUAAAGCAUAAGAAAGAUCUCACAGUAGUGAUGAAUCAAAGCUUCAUUAUCCUUCAACCAGAAAAAUAGGUUUAGUUCUUCAUAGAGAGAAGAGAAUCUAGGGUUUCUUUCUUCUUCUUCAAUCCAAAAAUCCCCCUUUUUCACAAUAGAUUCCUCCCUUAAAUACUCUCUCUCUCUUCUCUUUUAGAGUUCUAUUUAAAAUAAAAUACUAAUAUCUGAAAUAUUAAAUUUGUAAUUACAAAAAUAACCAAAAAUACAAAAUACGUUAAACUAAAAACUGCAGGUCCGUAGUUGACAGCACGCGCCCACGCCUUAUCAACAAAGUUCUUCUGACGCUCAUAAUUUCUCCAAGAGAACAAUCAUCAUUAAAUAUCAUCUUGUAGCUUAAUUUUAUCACCAAUCAAUAGAAUUGCACCUACAAAAGUAAAACACAAGUAAAUCACUAUUAUUAAGUGCAAAACAUCGAUAUUAAGGGAAGUAAACAAUGCAAAACUAGUGCUUAAAUUGCACUCUAACAAAUUCCCCCAUACCAAGAUGAUGCUUGUCCUCAAGCAUAUAACUCAAGACUAAUCCCAAAUCUCCACUCAAUUCUCAUCUCAACUCAUCCAAAAACAAUUUUAAGCAAGUAUACCUCAAGAAAUUAAGUCGAUCAACAUUCGAGAGACAAGGAUUUUAAAGCAUAGAAUCUCAUAAGAUAGAAUAAGAACAUUCAACCACUAAGAAGAUCCAUUCAAAAUUCAAGUGCAACAAGAUUUAAUAGCCCUCUCAUUGACUUCACUCCAUGCACUCAAAGUGUUUAGGGUGUCAUUUAUUCACUCAAAUCAAAUCAAAGAAUGCUAUUACCAUAAGCUUGCUUAUAUAUCACAUCUCAAUCCACAAAACAUGAAUUAAAUGCAAAAAUCUAAGGGUCUUAAAAGGUUGUAACGGGGUUAAAUGGGUUAAAUGAAAAAGAAAGGUUUAUGAAAGAAAAAGAGAUCAAAAUGAGAAGAAUGAACUCAUUGAACGAACUUUAUGAUAUCGAAACGCUUAUUUCUACUCAAGUCACCAAGAAUGUAAACAUUUUUUUUUUCGAUCUUUCUUUUUCUUUUUUCUUUUUUUCUUUUUUUUUUCUCUUUUUUUUGAAUCAAACAAAAGAAACGAACCUUGCACAAUUUAAUUCAAGCAUAAUGCUUGUUGAUCUAAUUGAGAAACUUUAUUACAAGGUAGAAAAAGCAACAAAAUAUAUCCACACAAUGAGUCCAAAAAUCUCCUUAAAUUGAGGCUCAAAAAGAAGAAAAAUGGUUAAGUAGACGGAGAAAAUUAGAUGGGUAAUGGUUAAGGCUCAAACAAAGAUAGCAAAUAAAGGUCUUCGAGUAGAGAAAAAAAAAUGCGAGAAUAGAAAAAUGGAAAAGGGUUUGCCCUUAUCAUUUUAAUGCAUAAAAUCCCGUAAUGCGGCUUCAACAUGCAUAACAAAGCAAGUUCUAGAAUAAACAAACUAAGAUUGAUAUUCACAUAACAAAAAUAUUAGAGCAAAGUGGUUGCUCAUAGGCUCAAAUCCUCACAAAGUUGGUAAAUUUGCCAUCAAAUCAUGUACACUCUUCAAAUGAAUCAACCAUCAAUAGUGGUGUAGAAUGAGAAGAAGGUAUGAGUGAAGGAAAGGUAAAAAUGAUAAGAAAUGAGAAAGAUGUAUGUAGUAAUAUGAAAAGUGAAAGAUAAAAUGUGAGUGAUGAAAGAAUAUGGUAAAAUAAAAAUAGAUAUGAAUAAUUUGAAAUAGAUGGGAAAAAAGUAGUGAGAAAGCGAGGAAAAGAAAAUUAAUAAUAUAUGAAGCAUACUAACUCCAAAAUCAUUUAAGGAUGAGUAGAGUGAAAAUAGAUGAGUAGAGUGAAAACAAUAAUUUCAGACAUCAAUAAUGCAAAAAUCCCUCCCCCACACCAAGAACUUACAUUGUCCUCAAUGUAAAAUAAUCAAAGCUCACAUAAAAAUUAAAGCGUAAAGAUAAAAGAUUAAAGGAAAAAAAAACUUCCCUGAAUUGUGAACUUUGAUCCACAUAACGUCUAUGGUUGCGUUGUGAUUGCUGCUCGGCUGGAGCUUGCUUGAUGGACGCGGGAUGGAGCUGAUUGUGUUGCGCGCGCGCGCUGGGGCUGCUAGAUCUGCGCGCUGCGUGGGCUGUGUUGCGCGUGAGAGCUGGGCUGACGCUGGUUCUGCGCGCUGCUGGGCGAAGGCUGGAUCUACUCACGCGGGUUGCUGCUCGCUGGACGCGGGAUGCUGGUGCUGCUGGUUGCGUUGCGCGCGCGGGACUGAUGCACUGCGCGAUGGUGAUGGCUGGAGCUUUCUGCGCCCGGGCUGGUUGCGUUGCAGGUGGGACUGAUGCGGCUGCGUUGCGCGCGCGAGAACUUGCGUUUUCCGGCGGGCUAGUUUGCUACUGGUGUGCUGCAAGCGGCUGGAGAAGAAAACAAGAUCUGGAAAAUUAGGGAUUUUGUGAACAAUAAAUUUUUUUUUUUUUUAAACAAUGAUGAUUUUUUUUAUUAUAAAUAAAUAAAUAAAUAUAUAAAAGAAGAACAAAACAAAAUCUCUUUUUUUGUUUUUUUUUUUAAAUAAAAUUAAAUUAAAAAAAAUUUUUUUUUUGAAUCACUUUGAGACACCAAAAAUUUCAAAAGUACUUUUUUAAUAAGCACGUGGGCAAGCCUUAAAACUAUUUUACUUUAAAAAUUACAGAAGUACUUUUUAGUUAAGACGUGGGCACGCCUUAUCGAAAAUUUUCUUUUGGCCAAAAUAAGCAAACACAUUAUUUUUUAAAAAAAAUCGGAAUCAAAAUUAAAAGAAAAUAUAACAAAAACCAAAAUAAAUAAAUCAUUUGGGUUGCCUCCCAAAAAGCGCCUUUGUUUUAUGUCUUUGGCUAGACACAUUGAUGCAUCAAUCUCCAUAAUUGGGACUCUCGAGAGCCACAUCUUCCACAAUAUUUACCGAAAAACCUUCAUAAAAAGGUUUUAAGCGAUGACCAUUAACCUUAAAAACUUUGUCAGAGGUCGGACUCCGAAUCUCAACUGCACCAUAAGGAAAAACAUUAGUAACAAUAAAAGGUCCAACCCAGCAAGAACGUAAUUUACCCGGAAAUUACGUCAUGCAUAUCCAUAUGGCUACAUCAUGGCUUUACUAAGAGAGCAUGCUGGCAUUGUUGUUGCUAAUUCAACCUUGAUUGGUGUUUCAGAACGAGUUGCUGAUGAAUGUAAGGGGCUGCCUUUAGCUAUUAAAGCUGUUGGAAGUGCACUAAAAGGUAAAGGAUUUGAUGAGUGGAAUCUAGCUCUAGAUAAACUACAAGAUGCAAAACUCAAUACAAUCGAAGGUAUUGGCAAUGAGGACCAAGACGUUUACCAUUGUCUCGAAUUUAGUUACGAUUAUUUGAAUGGUGAGGAUUCCAGGUCGUGCUUCUUGUUGUGUUCUUUGUUUCCAGAGGAUUGUGAGAUAUAUUUGGAUGAUUUGGUUGGAUAUGCAGUGGGGUUGAGAUGGUAUCGAGCUGAGUCAAUUGAAAAAGUCAGGAGCCUACUGAGUGGAACGAUGAAAGAGGUCAAAGCUUCUUCAUUGCUGUUAGACACUGGCAAUGACAGAUCUGUGAAAAUGCAUGACGUAGUCCAUGACGUAGUCCAUUACAUAAUUUACCUUUUAGUGCACUUCCAACAGCUUUAAUAGCUAAAGGCAGCCCCUUACAUUCAUCAGCAACUCGUUCUGAAACACCAAUCAAGGUUGAAUUAGCAACAACAAUGCCAGCAUGCUCUCUUAGUAAAGCCAAUCCUUCUUCUCGCUUUAGAACACCUAGUUGAAUCCGCGUGUCACAACCCAUGCGAUCACAAACUGGCUGCAGGCGAGUGGUUAUAAGGAUUUUGCAACAAUUGUCUUUAUCACCAACAGGAAUACCUACUGUCUCCAAGUCGAGUUCAUUCCAGACAUUAUAAGAAGAAGAAAUUAAGAACCAUAACAAAUUUGAUGAUUCUAAUUUGCUAGAAAUAUUGCAAUCCAAAACUAAGAAAGUUAAAACCAAUUAUUUGAAGAAAAAAGUAGGAUAGAAGCUCCCAGAAUAUUGUUAUGUGUUGUAUGUUUUCAGUUUGUAUUUCCCAAUCAAUAAGGAAAAGUAAGUACACAUGUUACAAAAAUUUAAUAAAAAAGAUUGGAGGUGACAAAACCUAUCAAUCUUCUAAUUAACUUUCUCUCCUUUCGAAUUUCCUGAGUUUGGUAGAGAUUGCUUAAGUAGUGUAUCUAUUAUAAACAGGCAAAACUAUGUUGCAACAGUGGUAUGGUACUACUGUUGCAACCAGCCAUUGGAUCUAUAAUUGUUCAGUUACAUUAGCAAGAUCCAAUGAUUGAAAGCAACAUUAGUACCGUAUCACUGUUGCAACAUAGCUGGACCCAUUAUAAACACCUGAAGUCAAAGUUAAUGUUUUAAUUGUUAAGAAAAGUUAGAAGAAGAAAUUUUUGUAUAAGAGAAUUGGGUUUAAAUUUAGAAUUCUUUGGGAGGAAAUGAGUCAAAAUUCCAAUAAUAUAAUUCAGCAGUAUUUAUAUAUAUCAUUAGUUGGGUGAAAAAUUAAUUUCCCUCCUUUGAUGUGAUUUUCAUAAUUUAUUUUCAUAUGAUGGUAAUUUUUUGUUUAGAGUGAAGUUAUUGGCACCCUUUCAUUAUCCUUAUAAAAUCCUACUUCAAAUAAAAUUACACUUAAAGACAAUAGAAUUAAAUAACAUAGUUUUUUUUUUCAAACAAAUUACUCACAUUCAUAAUUUUUUUUCUUCUAAUUUUCUACAGGUUGCUUUGUAUCUAACUAAAAUAAAUUGUACAAAUUUAGAAUAAUCUAUUAUUCUUUUUAAAUUUCUUAUUGAUUAAAUAUUUGUGUGCUUAAGGUAGCUUUAAAAUUAUAAGAUAAAAUAUAUAUAAUUUAAGCCAAUGAUUAACAUUCAAAAAUUUAUCUCUCAUAAAAGUUUUUAAUUUGUGCGUAGGGUAAUAAUAAAAUUGCAAAAGAAAUGAAAAAUAGCAUAGCACUAUUUUGAGUUUAAACAAUAAAAAUUUAAAUGAAAAAUUAGAAGUGUAUUUAAAAAAAAGGAUAUUUUUAAAAAUAAAAUAAAUAUAAUUAAAAAAAAAAGAGUUUCAUGAGGGGUGCAAUAGUUCAACUCUUUUGUUUAUAAGUUUUAAGAUGUUGGUAUCCGUAGCUUAGCUUUUCCCUAAUUAUUAUAUUAAAAUGUAACAACAAUGAUGAUCAACCCUAAUUUCGUGGAGGUCAAAGAUUUUGGUCAUGCCGCAUUAAUUAGUUCGGUCAUACUUUCUACAAAUUUAUUUACAUUUAAUAAUUUGACCAAGACUACGUAAGGCGCCGCCUGGAGUCAUAGAAUUUUAUAUGUCGUUUAAUAUGCUCAUUUUGUAUUUUUUUUAAAAAGUUUUAUUAAUUUUUUUUUGUUUUUAAAAAUAUCAUUUAUUUAUUUAAAUUUUUUUAAAGGUAAAGAAGUGGGUAAAGUUUAAAUUCAAUUUUUAUCCCUUACAUCAUGGCCCCUAAGAUUUGAACUAAAAUCUUAAAAAUGAAAUUGUAAAGAAAUCCCAGUUCGUAUAAAAGAAAGAAAACAAAAUUAAGGAAAACAUAAGCACAACAAAAUUUGACUGAUUAUUAAAAAUGAGAAAUGAGUUAUAAUGAGAAUUUUAGCUUUGUCGUGAAAUAAAUUGGGAAGUAUCCAAAGUACGCAUGUAAAUAAUGUAAAUGAUAAGAAGACGAAGGGAACAUAAUGAUAAUAAGCAAGCCAAAUAUUAAAAUGCAGAUUCUACGCUUCCGCCCCCAUACUUCAAGUUAGUGUCUCGCUAAUCAUUUUAGAUGUAUCAAUUACAAAGGGAGGCCAUCUAUUUAUGGUAAGCGUACGCCUCUAAUGCUUUGCCAAGUGUCCAUUGAUAAUAUCACAAGGGAAAUUAAAUUGGUGUAUGUGUAUUACACCUCCUAAAGUCAUGUUAAGAUAGUUAGUGAGCUGAUAAAGUUUGUUGCACGUGUGAGUUGGUUAAAUCUGCUAGAAAUGCAAACGUGUAAAGCUGAGUUAGCAAGUUAGUUAAGGUUGUUACGAAUUCUUAGAUUCAGCUCACGUGUAUUGUAUGUAAUACUUAGAUUCAGGUCAUGUAGAUUGUGUAAACAACUUUCUAAUAUUCUUUAGAUCUCAAUAUAAAUACUUGUAAUCAACAAAUACAAUAAUAAGAGUCAUCAUUCUUCAUUUUCUCUCUGUUUCUCCAUAUUUUCUCUACAUCCAAACACAAUAUUCUCAGUUCUUGACUUGGUAUCAGAGUUGCAGUUUAAUUGUCAUGGCUUCCUUAAGCACAAAUUCAAACACAAAUCAGUCUCCUUCAUUCUUUACCCUCACAAAUGCGAUCAAACUGGACAGAUCUAACUAUACGAUCUGGAAAUCUCAGAUCCUCUCUUCAGUGCGUGCCAAUGGACUUGAAGGCUUUCUUAAUGGAACUAAAAUUUGUCCAGAUCAGUUACUUACUCAAGAGAUUGAAAGUUAUGGUGUUGAAAAUACUGGUGGUGAAAGCUCAGCUGAUAGAUCUCAGGAGAAUCCAGCCUUUGUUGCUUGGAAAAGGUAGGAUCAAUUAUUAUUAAGUUGGCUCAUGUCCUCCAUCAGUGUUGAGAUACUUAGUCUUGUGGUAAAUUCUGAUUCUUCUCAUAAACUUUGGACUAAUCUUGAAGAAAAUUUUUGGAUUAGAAACUAUGGCUAAGAAAGCACACUUAAAAAUGAUGUUAAGCAAUCUCAGAAAGGGAUCAAUGACAAUAACUGAGUAUUUUGCCAAACUUAGAGCUGUAACUAAUAAACUUGCUGUAACUGGUAGCCCUGUUUCUACUCUAGACUAUAUUACUCAUCUAAUAUCUAAAUUAGGCCAGCCAUACUACCCUGUUGUUUUGUAUAUUGAAGCUAUUGUUUUGUAUAUUGAAGUUAAUAUGAUGAAAAUAUUUGUCAAUGAAGCAUAUUCUAUGCUUUUAACUCAUGAAGCAAGAAUUAAAGCUAAUCAUCCAAGUGCAAAUAAAGAAGCAAAGUUGAAUUAUGCUGCUAACAUAGCUUAGGCUGGACCUAGUACUAAAUAACAAUAAGAAGUCUAGUAAUCAAGCUAAUUACUAUCAGGGCAACCAAGGUAACUGGAAAAGAAAUGCUCAUUGGUGUGGUAACAAUGGAGGAAGAGGUGGCUUUGGCAGAGGUUUUUCAGGGCAAGGAAGGGGUAAUUAGAAUAAUGGUGGUCAUUGGAACAAUGGACCUUGGAGUAGUAGUUGAGGAGGCUAUAAUGGUUCUGAUAUAAACAAUAUGACAUGGUUGCUGGUGAACCUGUAAACAUAACCAAAAAAGUAAGAAGGCAUAAUUUUUUUAUAAGAAACUCAAAAAUAUAUUAAUGAUGAAAAUUUUAAAACAGAUAGUGGACCAGCUGUCCAGUAAGAAAACAAAAAAUUGAAUAUUUGUGCUAUAAAAAGGCACACCCAAUCUCACCCCUAUAAAAGGCUAGAAUCAGCUACAAAUCCCUAUCUCAAAACCCCAUCCCAGUUUAGAUGAAUGAAGAAAAAAGAUGAAUCUUGAAACUCCUUAGAAACUGAAUCCCAAAGUGAAGCAAGAAGAUGAACUCUAUCCCAAGCAAGCAAUAUGGCAUAUUUCUCCAUUAAUGGUUAAAAUAGGAUAAAAGCUCGUUUCAUCCUUAUAUUUUAAUAUUCGUGCCUAUUUAGUCUCUGUAUUUUAAAAAAUACCUCAAAACAUCCUUAUCCUUAAAUUAUUGACAUUUCUGCUGUUACUUUUUGUUUUUUUUAACUUGCUUUUACAAUAUUACCCUCUUACAAUAAUGUUUCUUUUUAUAAAGUUAAUAAAAAAAUUAAAUUAUCAAUUUAACCCCAAAAAUAAAAUAAAAACAAAAAGAAUAUAUUAAUUUUUGUGAAAGCUUACAUGUGUCUAAAAAUUUUUUUAUUGUAAAAAUAAUUAAAUUACCUUGUUUUUGGACAUUGGUAAUAAAAAAAUUAAUAUAUUAAUUCCUCAGCAGUGUGUUACAAAAAAGUAACAUAUAUUAAUUUUGUUUCUAUUUUAUUUUUUGAGAUUAAAUUAAUAAUUAUUUUUUUUCUUUUUACUAAUGUCCAAAAAAAAUAUUAUAAGAGGGUAAUAUUGUAAAAAUUAAGCCAAAAGUAACAAAAAGUAAGAGGAAAUGUGCUAAUAAUUUAAUGUCAGGGAUGUUUUGAGGUAUUUUAAAAAAUAUAGGGAGUGAACGGGUACUAACCUCAAAAUAUAGGGACUAACCGAGAUUUUACCCGUUAAAAUAAAGUAGAUGGCUGUCUUGAUGAAUGGGAAAUUGUCAAGAUCAAUAUUCAAACUCACGCAAAGUAAACGGACUUAAUUCUCAGGGGCUACUCAUUCUAAGUCUUAAAGAAAAUUUUUCUAAUUUCUAAAGAUUAUAUGGGGAAAAAUCAUUAUUUUCUAACAUGGAAAAUUUGAUACGGUGUUUAAUGUCUGAUCACAAUGAUAAUAUGAGUACUAACAAAAACAUCUUUAAUCGGCAUGGUGCGAGUAAAACACCUUUGCAAUCCAAUCAGCGAACGCCUUUGCAUUAGGCACAGUACCCGAGAGGAACACAAAUCGGGAGUCCUUUGGAGCCAUCACAAUGCUCUCUUCCCAUACCACACCUCUCUCACGAUCACGCAUGUAAUGUACCUCAUCAAAUAUAGCCCAAGCCACUUCACGCGUAAUCUCUGAGCCUUUGUACUGCAUACUACGCCAGAUUUCAGUAGUCAUCACCUGAAAUUAAACUUCAUAUAAGCAAUCCACAAAUCAAAGCGCUGCAACACCCAAAAGAUGACACUACCAAGUUGACCUACCAAACAAGAAGCAUUAGGGUCAAUUGUGACAUCCCCAGUCAUCAAACCGACAUCUGAAAACUCUUCUUUAAACUCCCUGUACUUCUGAUUGCUGAGUGCCUUAAUCGGUGAAGUAUAUAUCACACGUUGCUUAUUCCGCAACGACAUAGCAAUAGCAUACAAUGCUACCACAGUCUUCCCAGCAGAUGUAUGGUUCGAUACCUUUCAAAUAAAUGAAAGGCAAUUAAAAAAAGAAAAGAAAAAAAAAAACUAUUUUUAUUUUCACACAAGAUAACACUUCAUGCAAAACUUCUUAAUUCUUAUCGGUGAGCUGAAAAGCAGAGCGCUUUGUACAAAAGCACUUCCAAAUUCGAAUUAAAUUUUUUACAAAAAAUUACAGCUUUAUAUAUAUGUGUGUGCGCGUGCGUAUAAUAAUAAUAAUUAACGAACCGUAACGGACUGGCCGUUGUCGAGGCACUUGAUAGCUUCGGACUGGAAUGGGUCGAGAGUGAAAAGGAAUUCCUUAGCAGGUUUAGCGUCAGCUUCAGCCACUUGACCAAGACCCAUUAAACAUAAAACGCGGCGUUUUCAUGGACUAGUACAUUCCAUGCUUCGAAAGUUUUAUGUUUUAGACUGAUUGGUUUGAUACAUUAUUUGUUUAUUGCGUUUUUCUUGCUUUAAAUAUUAUGUUGGAUUGAUAAGUUUUGUACACAUUUAUAUUGCUCGCAGUAAAUAAUUUAUUACAUUUAAAAAACUAUCAACCGUCUAUCGAAAGAUUUCUACUAUAAAUAUAUAUACACAAAAAACUUUUAAUUUGGUCUAUUUGUUCUCUUAUUUAUUUUUGCUCUAUUUCUCUUUUUCUUUCCUUUCAUUUUAUUGUUUUAUGGUACAAAAAAAAAUAACCUUAAAAUUUAAGGGUAAAAUACUCAUUUUACUAAAUUCCGUUUAAUAUCAUAAUGCUGUCAAUGGACAAUGGCAAAGUACACGAGUGAUACAAAUUAAAAACAAAUAAAUUGAAAGUUUUUAUGUAUUUUCCUUUUAUUUUUUUAUAGCCGAUUGAGAUUUCCCUUCGUAUUCUUAAAUUCAAUACGUUUAGACCGUUUAAAAAAUUUUAAAUUAAAAAAAACCCGUGGUGUAAUAACAAACUCACAUCAAAUCCUGUCCACUGUCAUCCCUAAUAAUAUUUACCACUUCAUACUCAAGUGUGAUAAUAACUGUGUAUCACAAUUGAUUUUACAUACGGGUAAAAGUUCCAAGUCCGGAUAUUUAGUUAAUGAAAUUGAUGAAAAGGGCAUGAAAGAAAAUAAGAAAUUAAAUAAUACAGGUAUUAAUCAUUACAUAUUUAGUUAAUGAAAAUUGAUGAAAAUAUUUCUGCAGACAUGAGCCGUAAUUAUAAUACCGUUAAGAAUGAAGCAGCAGAGUUUCCCCAAACAAGCUAAAACACGGCACCUGAAUUUAAAGAAUUUUUAUGUCACAGUAUCGGGACAAAAAGUUUAAUGCAACAACAUACAUUAAGUUAAUUCCAUAAUCUAUCACCAAAGAAAGACAAACACAAGCUUAUAAGAUUAAAACUUUGGAAAACAUUGAAGAGUCGGACAAAAUUGUGUAACCUUCAGAGUUUAGAGCCUAGUUCAUCCAGGAAAGCAAAAGAAAAUAAUAAUAAUAAUAAUAAUAAUGGUGGUUUGAUCUCAAAAGGUGGCAUCAAAGUGGUAACUUUGAGGUAUUGGAAGCAAUAACGUCUUCAACUUUGUCCUGAUUUCGAAGUCCCUUAACCCAUCCGCCAUCAAUGGAUUGAAUGCUUCCAUUCAACCCAUCAUCCACAAAAUCACCAACCCGUUUCACCUUCAUCUCCUCCGCUUAACAGGGUACUUCCCAGAGAAGCUAGCAUAACAAAAAUUCUGAGAAUCAUUGCCUAACAACUUGUUCAAGAUGUCAAUCGGCAGAAAAGCAAGCAAAUCACACCCAAUAAACUCCCUGAUUUCCUCGACGCUCAUCCUGUUGGAAAUCAACUCCUCAGUACUCGGAGUGUCCACUCCAUAGUAACAAGAAGCUAUGAUUGGUGGGCUUGCAAUUCUCAUGUGAACCUCUUUAGCUCCAGCCUCCUCAAGCAACCUAACAAUUUUCGAUGAAGUUGUUCCUCUCACUAUCGAAUCAUCGACAACCACAACUCUCUUUCCCUCCAACACUCCCCUUACAGGAGAGAGCUUAAGCUUGACACCAAAGUCCCUAAUCUUCUGGGAAGGCUCAAUGAAAGUUCUCCCAACAUAGUGUGACCUUAUCAACCCUUGUUGAAAUGGCACCCCGGCUUUCGCAGCGUACCCAAGUGCAGCCACCACUCCAGAAUCUGGUACUGCAAUCACGACAUCACACUCAACAGGAGCCUCGGUAGCAAGUACUUCCCCAAAAUGAUUCCUCGACUCAUAAACAGACCUUCCAAAAACAACAGAAUUAGGCAAAGCAAAAUAAAUAUGCUCAAAGAUGCACUGCUUAGGUUCAGGGUGAGGCAUCAAACAAAGUGAUUGAACCCCAUCUUUAUCCACCAUCAAAACUUCUUGGGGAUGUACCUCCUCAAUCAAAUAGUGCACAAGUCUCUGACGCAAAAACCACAGCACCAUUACUCCUCCUACCUAUCACCAACGGCCUAAACCCGUACGGGUCACGAACCGCAACAAGCUUAUCCUCAGUAACAAACACCAUUGAAUAAGCACCCUCAAGCUUCUCACAAGCAUCCACAAUCUUCAAAAAGAACGGCCUAGCUUUCGAUAUCGCAAUCAAAUGGAGAACAACCUCAGUAUCAGAACUAGUAUUAAAAAUGGAACCAUUAUCUUCAAGCUUAGCCCUCAAAGUAUUAUAGUUAAAUAAAUUCCCAUUAUGUGCAACACCAACAAAACCAAACCUGUACCCAGCAACAAAAGGCUGCACAUUCUUAAGCAUGCAGUCGAAUAUCUAACAUGACCAAUGGCCAUAUCGCCAGGCAAUUGAUCAAGUUUAGACUGAUUAAACACAUCCGAGACUAAACCAACACCGGUAAUAGACUGAAGAACUUUAUUAUUCACAGCAACUAUAACUACACCUUCUUGGCCGCGAUCUGCAGAGCGUGCAGCGCCAAAUAGCACAAACGCGAGGCCUCUGGGUCACCGUAUGAAACGACCCGCCCCGAAUCCCCCGUGCGAGUCAAUCUAGUCUCAUCAAAACGGAUUUGAUAAUAAUCUAAUUAGUAAGGAUUCUGCCGAAAAUUCGGCAGAGUCUCCUUUAUAUAUAUAACACUCCCAAUCUACAAAUAUGAAUAUAACACUCAUAAUAUAAUUCAAUAUACAACAAACUCCAGUGAUCAACAUCCUCAACCAAAAUGCUGAGUUUUAUAUCUCCAGAGUCUCAAAAGAUAAUAUUAUAACUAAUAUUAAUAUCUAAGUUUAUUCUUAAUCCCAAAAGAAUAAUAUAAAAAAAUUAUACAAUCCCAACAGGACGAGAUAACCAAGAUGUCCUAACAAAAACAUUUAUAUUUUCUAACACCAUCACGUGGCCAAGACUCAAAAUAUAUUUACAGUCGCUGGGUCGGUCUGGUGUACCUGCAACCUCCUGGUGAGGGGGGGGGAAAUAUAAUAAAAACGGGGUGAGUUUAAAACUCAGUGAGAUCAAUGAGUGGAUAGUAGUUUUUGAAAAUUAAUGCUUACUUUAAAAGAAAUAUUCAUAUAAUUUCCAAACACGAUUUCAUCAAACCAUAUGCAAGAAACCAAUAGUAAAUCAUUUAACAUUUAAAUCAGAUUACUAACCAUGAAAAGCAUAUAUAAUAUCGUACCAAAUAACCAUGGAAAUCAUAUUACAAUAUCAUAUAUAAUACACAAAUUUGAAAAUCAUCACCAAACAAGUACCCAGAGAAAUAAUCUCGUCAUAUCCGGACAUCAACGGACGUGCAAUGACGUACUAUAUGGGUACCGUCACGCCCCGGAGCUACACGGAUAGACAGGGAAAUAUAAUCUCAUAUCUCAUCAUAUCUUAUCAUAUAUGUGCAUGCAUAAUCUAGUCCCCAAAGGACAAAAACGCCCAAGCACAUGGCCCAAAGCCUCUGUGUGUACUCAGACGGGCCCCAAAGGCCUGUAUCUCAUCUGUAUCAUCUGUAUCUCAAUAUCUGUCUGUAUCUCAUAUCUGUGUAUCUGUAAUCAUCAUACCGCAUGCAUAUGCCCUCAAAAGGCAAAAACGCCCAAACACACGGCCCAAAGCCUCUAUGUGUGUUCAAACGGGCCCCAAAGGCCUCUCAUCUCAUCUCAUCUAUAUCACUGUAUCUGGAGGGGAAGGGUACUGUCUAGUGAUUUCAAAAACAAUCAUUAUACUCAUAUUCACAUACUUUUUUAACCAUAUUUUAAAUCAUACCACAUUUGAAUCCACUUUUCUUAUCUUUAAAAUACUAUCAUGCUUAUUCAAAGUCGAUACGAAAAAUCAUUAACCAAACAUUUUAAUAAAAUACCAAUGCGUGGACAAAAUCCAUUUCGAGGUAAUCAUUAAAUCAGAUCAUUUAAAAUACUUAUUUCGCAAACAUACUUUACUAUCAUAAUUAACUAUGAAAAUAGGUUUUGUAUAUUCCACUCACAGUGACGGUGUUCACGCUCGGUUAUCGUCCACGUCCGCGGACCUAUUCUUGCUCGCGGAUCCUCCUAAAUCAAGGAAACGACAUAAAUAUUUUCCGUAAAACAGAAUUAAGACUAAAUUUAUGCAAUAAACUCGAAACGAACAUCUAUCCAUAAUUUACAACUCCCGUGUCGCUAAAAUUACUAAAAUGCCCUCGAGUCCGUAAAUCAGUAAAAUACUUCGAAAUCGGAAAUCACCGAAUCACCCUCGGAAUCGUAAUUACACCCAAUCCUCACUUCUAGGAAUUACUAAAAUAUCAAUAGGCUCAGAAAUUACAAAAUUGCCCUCAUAGUGUGAAAUUACCGAAAUGCCCUUGUGAUGGUUGUCGAAGCCAACAAAAAUAAAUACCUACUCUAAAUAAAUUGUGUAUAGUGAUUGAGCAGGGUCGUGUCCACAAAGAUCGGUAAUUAUUUAAAUCCUUUUGAAACGUAAAACGUAAAAUGGGAGAAUUGUUAACAAUAAUAAAAAUCAAAUUAAAAUAACAAGAAUGCAAAUUCAAGUCGUAAUUCAAAUUGGAGAAAGCUCUGGUUGAAGGAAUUAAUUCAGCUUGAUUCGACUAUUGAUAAUUGAUUCAAAUAUAAAUUAUUAUUACUUAUGAAUAGACCAAUUAUAGCUACUGAGACCCUCUAAUAGCCAAUCUCUCCUUAACUAGUCGAUAACCAAGGUACGACCGUUGGUUAUUUCCCUAAUUAAUAGACAACCCUAGAUACGAUCAUAGAAUUUAAUCAAUUGACAGCCUGAAAAACCAGAGAGACCCAAAUCCUAAUCAACAAACACAUACGAUGAUUCAUUUAAAUUAGAUUGUUUAUUCUCACAACACAACUCUCUGCUAUGUUAUUUGUCACAAACAUUAAAAUCUUCAUACGAUGAAUCCUUUAAUUGACAAUAGAUUAAGUUGAUAAUUAAAUAGUGGCCAAUUACCUAAUUAACAAACAUAAUCAUGAAAAUAAUUCAGAGAAUAAACAAAUACCCAAAAAGCAAUAAAUUAAUUAAAGCACAAGAAAGAUCUCACAGUAGUGAUGAAUCAAAGCUUCAUUAACCUUCAACCAAAAAAAUAGGUUUAGUUCUUCAUAGAGAAAAGAGAAAAUUUAGAUCUAGGGUUUCUUUCUUUUCUCCAAUCUCCCUUCUUUCACAAUAGAUUUCUCCCUUAAAUACUCUCCCUCUCUUCUCCUCUAAAAUUCUAUUUAAAAUAAAAUACUAAUAUCUGAAAUAUUAAAUUCGUAAUUACAAAAAUAACCAAAAAUACAAAACACGUUUAAACUAAAAACUGCAAGUCCGUAGUUGACAGCACGCGCCCACGCCUUAUCAACAAAGUUCUUCUAACGCUCAUAAUUUCUCCAAGAGAACAAUCAUCAUUAAAUAUCAUCUUGUAGCUUAAUUUUAUCACCAAUCAAUAGAAUUGCACCUACAAAAGUAAAACACAAGUAAAUCACUAUUAUUAAGUGCAAAACAUCGAUAUUAAGGGAAGUAAACAAUGCAAAACUAGUGCAUAAAUUGCACUCUAACACCUUGCCGGUCAACGGUCACCGAAAUUUGGUCAACGCUGGCCGGGAAGCUCAAGUCUGAAAGUUCCAAUCACGCUAAGUUCAAUGGUACCGGCGGUGAGCUCCAACGCGCAACAACGACGUCGGAAUCUAGCUCGGCAGCCGUGAAUUCCAACAAUUGACCGGCGGCGAAACAGUGACUCCCGGUGACUAUGGAUGGUUGGAAAUGGAAGAGGGAGUCGUGAGGAACAAAAUCCAACCGGUGGUGUCACCCAAAACUGGUGAAAAUCCCGGCGGAACAAAACGAUACAGUCGCGGGUUUUCAAACUUUGAUUGCCGGCGUUCCGGUUGGUUUUCGGCGGCCAGGAUGGCAGGGGAAUGAUGGCUGGCUUCUAAGUUUCAGAUUGGUACUAAGCUCGGCCGAAAUAGUGGCCGGAAAUAGAAGUUAUGGCCGGGUCAAUUUCGCGGGUCGGGUCGGGUUUUCCGGGUCAGUUGAUAGCUUCUGUUACUCUCACACGUGUGUGUAUAAGUUCCAUGUUUCUAACUUAUUCUAUUAUUUUUAAUAAAGUCUUUAACCGCCUCAAUUUCAUUUUUAAUUCACAUAUGUUACAAUCCUCCCCCCUUAUAAAAAUUUUGUCCUUGAAAUUUACGUACCUGAUAAGAAAAGAUAUGGAUACUGAGCUCGCAUUAAGUCCUCGCGUUCCCAGGUAGCCUCUUCCUUUGUAUGAUUCCUCCACCAUACUUUUACUAGAGGAAUGGUCUUAGAACGUAGAACUUGGUGUUUCUCUUCCAAUAUCUCCACUGGUUCCUCUUCGUAAGUCAAAUCUUCCUUCAACUGAAUUGGUUGCUUCGAUAACACAUGACUCGGAUCAUAUAUGUACUUCUGGAGCAUUGAGAAAUGAAAUACAUCGUGGAUUCUGGAUAACUCGGGUGGUAGUGCUAAUUGAUAAGCUAAUGGACCGAUGCGCUCAAUGAUCUCAUAUGGCCCAAUGUAACGUGGACUUAGCUUCCCACGUUUCCCAAAUCGAAGCACCCUUUUCCAAGGAAAUAUCGGUAUGAAAACUCUAUCAUCAACUUCGAAUUCAAGUUCCCGCCUACGCUUGUCUGCAUAGCUCUUUUGUCUAUCUUGAGCCACCUUUAAUCUAUCCCGGAUUAAUUGUAUCUUCUCGUUAGUAUCCUGGACAAGUUCUGGACCGAAUAACCUCCGCUCACCAACCUCAUCCCAACACAUUGGAGUCCUGCAUUUUCUACCAUACAAAGCCUCAUAUGGUGCCAUCUCGAUACUAGCUUGAUAGCUGUUGUUGUAAGCAAACUCCAUCAGAGGUAAAUGAUUGUCCUAAUUACCUUUAAACUCCAUAACACAAGCUCGCAACAUAUCCUCCAGAGUUUGAAUAGUAUGCUCUGACUGUCCAUCAGUCUGUGGAUGAAAAGUUCAACUUUGUGCCUAAGGCAUUUUGCAAGCUAGUCCAGAACUUAGAAGUAAACCGGGAAUCUCUAUCUAAAACUAUAGACACGGGUACUCCGUGAAGUCGAACUAUCUCAGCCACAUAAAUACUCCCUAACUUGUCCAUCGAAUAGGUGGUUUUGAAUGGUAAAAAAUGAGCAGAUUUUGUAAGUCGAUCAACGACCACCCAAACACUAUCAUAUCCUUUCUGAGUACGUGGAAGUCCUGCUACAAAAUCCAUGGUGAUGUGCUCCGACUUCCACUCAGGAAUAGGAAGCGGCUAAGAACACCCUGCAGGCCUCUAGUGUUCAGCCUUAAUCUGCUGACAGACUAAACAUCGAGAAACAAACUCUGCUAUCUCUCUCUUCAUACCCUGCGUCCAGUAAUGAUCCAUCAGGGUACGAUACAUCUUCGUACUACCAAGAUGCAUCGCAUAUGCUGAGCAGUGAGCUUCUUCCAUAAUCUCUUCUUUCAGAUCUUUAAUAUCAGGUACACAAAGUCUAUUACCCAUGACUAAGACUCCGUCGCCUCUCACCGUAAAAUCGGUUCGUAAACAUUUUUGCACAUCCUCUUUCAACUUCAUUAACUGUGGGUCCUGAGCUUGCAUCUGGUGAACUUUGUCCAUCAAAGUCGGCCUAACUCGAAAAUUAGCUAUCAAAACUCCACAAUCGUCAGCGUUCAACUCGACUCCCAAAGAUCUCAACUCGAUCAACAGAGGCAUCUAUUUCACUCGCAAGUGAGCUAUAGAGCUGGAAGACUUCCUACUGAGUGCAUCGACUAGAAAAAAACAUACCUCUUUGAGAUACUACAAAUUGGCUUUAAUUCAGUACUGUUGAUGGUCAAGUUGGGAAAGUAAUGAAGCUGUAACUCUUCCAAUGCUGUCCAAAUUGAACAAUAAUUUUCUGAACAGAAGCUAACGAGUUCUGGGAGACUUCGAAGUGUUAAUUCUCUUAACAAAGGGAGGGCGAGCAUCGUAUUUCCAUCUCUGACACUUAUUUCCCCUUCAUUGUGAUCAAACUUUGCUUCGACAAUACAUUCCAGCCUGUCGCAAUAAGUCACACUGAGACUUUUAAGCUGCUCCAAACUUUGAGCUUGUGAUAACGUGAAGAUAUAUGUCAAAUUAUGGCAGCCAUACACACUCAAUUCUGUAAGAGUUUGGAGGCUGAUCACAUGUUGGGCAGGCGUCUUCCAUAUCCACUUUGCUAAUCUUGAGAGCACCUCAUGAUUCCCACUCUUUCCAUGCGGCGACUGAGAGGCAUCCACUAUGCAUUCUAAAUCUUCACAAUAGUUGACAAAUAGAUGAGUCAACUCAUUUAAGCCCCCUUAAUCUAUGCUUGGAACAAUAUUAUGGAGACCUAUUAUCCUCCUCAAAUUAAGAAAUUUCAGAUUUUGACACAAUGUCGAAAAAAUACUGAGCGAGGCCGCUUCACAAUAGUUAAUCAUUAAGCACCUGCUCCGUCCAAAAAAUUCAUCUUCUUUUUUCAUUCAAACUUCAAGUUUGUUACAGUUACUGACGAAGUACAUUUGCAAUUUUGGAAAUGUAAAGUCUUUUGAAAGACGUACAAUUUUUUGUUCAAUAUGUAAAGUCUUUCCAUCAUCAUCUUGGAUUUCAUCACCGUCGGGUUGGGAGUUCAACUCAGUAGCCCUAGCGUAACUUUCUUCUGAACUCAUCCCUUCAGCCUCCCAAUCUUUUAUCCGACCAUAAAAUUCUUCUAAUUGAGGAAAUUUUUUUAUCGUAAUAGGAGAAAUAGAACCAGAAUCAAUGAAUAGAAGAAGUUUCAAUCUACUAAGUUGAUCCUCAAAUUCUUCAGGAAUUUCAAUGGGAGACCCCUUGACACAAAGAAUUUGAAGUCUCUUCAACUUUCCAAGGAAAGACGCGUCACUCACUUUACAUCGAAUCAACUGCAGAACUUGGAGGUUGGUGAGGAAUUGAAGCGAUUUAAGUGAAAGGACUCCACCUAUUAUAGUAAGAACUUUUAAUGCUGGCAUCUUUUCGAAAAAAUAUUCUGGAUCUUGCAAUCGGUCGCCAUAUUUAGCAUUCUCCAAUCGCAAAAUAUGAAGGUUAGGGCAUACCAAACCACUUGGAAGCUCUUCUUUUUCAUUUCCCAUCAAAGAGAUUCCUUUGUAUUGUUCCACUGCCUGUUCCGCCAAUCCAAUGCCAACUUUACUAGUAAAAUAUUUUUUCUCCAUUGAGCCUAUCCAUAAGGCUACAUCACGAACAAUGUCAUGCAUUUUCACAAAUCUCUCAUUACCAGCAUCUAAUAGCAGUGAAGAAGCUUUGAGCUCUUUAAUCGUUCCACUCAAUAGGCUCCUGACUUUUUCAAUUGACUCAGCUCGAUACCAUCUCAACCCCACUGCAUAUCCAACCAAAUCAUCCAAAUCUAUCUCAUAAUCCUCUGGAAACAAAGAACACAACAAGAAGCACGACCUGGAAUCCUCAUCAUUCAAAUAAUCGUAACUAAAUUUGAGACAGCGGUAAACGUCUUGGUCCUCCUUGCCGAUACCUUCUAUUGUAUUGAGUUUUGCAUCUUGUAGUUUAUCUAGAGCUAGAUUCCACUCAUCAAAUCCUUUACCUUUUAGUGCACUUCCAACAGCUUUAAUAGCUAAAGGCAGCCCCUUACAUUCAUCAGCAACCUGUUCUGAAACACCAAUCAAUUUUGAAUCAGCAACAUCAAUGCCAGCAUGCUCUCUUAGUAAAUCCAAUCCUUCUUCUGGCUUUAGAAAACCUAGUUGAAUCUGCGGGUCACAACGCAUGCUAUAACAAACUGGCGGCAGGCGAGUGGUUAGAAGGAUUUUCCAACAAUUGUCUCCAUCACCAACAGGAAUACCUAUUGUCUUCAAGUCGAGUUCAUUCCAGACAUCGUCAAGUAUUAUGAGUAUCUUGCUGCUUUUACUCUCAGAAAACAUCAAGCGCAAUCGGUCUGCUCUCUCUCUUUCAUCUUUCUCAUUUAGUGCCCAGCCUAACGACUUUGCCAGCUCACCUUGAACCUUUAUUAUAUCUGGAUCCUGAGACACAGUGGCUAUCCCCACCUCAUCGAAAAUCUUUUCUUGUCGAAGUUGAUUGCCCACAAAGUUUGCCAAAGUCGUCUUUCCGACACCACCGAUACCAUACAAUCCCACUAUCGUCGUGCUAUCUCUUUUUAGUCUUCAAUAAUCUGAUUGCAAGUCGAUUAUGUAGUCCCGAAAGACAUAAAAUGUCUUGGCAUAUGCAAUUCUUUGUCUGAUGGUAGAGGUUUAGGAAGGGCAACUGAGCUGAAUUUGCCGCAUUUCUUUUGUAGAUCAGACAACUCGCUAGUCUUCUUUGAUGGUUUUCUACCUAGCCAACAUCGCCAACCCCAAUUAGGACACCAUCCAUUAAGACAGCUCUUCUUUUCAUCUAUCUUUGCUUUCAAAUUUCGAACAUCGACCAUUUCUUUGUCUACAUCCUUCAACCACUUCUCUACAGAUUUCUCGAUUACAAUGGCUCGGUGUAUUUGUCGUUCUUGUUCUAUUUUUUCAUUGAUGCCAUCUUUUGCCUCCUUCAAAUUAGUUUCUUUAUCCUUAAGUUCGUUAAUAAUGCUGUUGAAACAGAGCAGAUAAUGAGCUUGGUUUAUGGUUGCUUCCACCAACAAUUCUCCAAGCUUUGAUGCAACACUUGAGCAAAUUUCCAUGCUAUUUAUCUGCAAUUAAUAAAGUUGAUCUCAGUAUGCUGUAAGCAAAACAACGAGGCUUGAUUACAAGAUCGAACGAGAAAGUUUAAUUACCUUUUUCUAUUAUGUGAAUGCACGUUUAUUGACCCUAGCUUUGACCAAUAAGAGCAAAAUGCAAACGCCGAGCUUUAAGUGGCCUUUAGCUGCGCAAAACAAAAGAGAAGAAACAAGGUAGCUUAUUAUUAUUAUUAUUGUUUUUAAGGACGGAUAAAGAUUAGCUAGCUUGCGGACAAAUUUACUAAAAUCAAGAUAAACCUAAGAGUUUUCCUAAUUUGUUCAAACAUAGAAUAAGCGUUUCUCAACAUUAUAUCCAUAAAUGCCCCAGCAAACGUAAUAUGUGGUGGAUUAUAUUUAAAUUAGUUUAUUUUAGAAAAUUUUAAAUAAAAAAUGUCAAACAACAAAGAAAUCUAAUAGAAUCUGGAUAAACACCGAAGAGUUCCUACAUGGGAGAAUAUGGUAAAAUUGAUGAACUUGGUUCAAAAAAUUGCAAUUCUUAUUGAGAUUAGAACCAAAGAUUUUAACUAAGGUCUCCUAAGCCAUAAAGCAUAACUCUUACUACUAAAUUACAAGUAUUUUGUUACAUUUGAAUGUGGUCUUAUUUUUUUAUUGUCUGUUUUAGAAGGGACUCAAGGUAUGUUUAAAAGAAAUAAUAAUGGUUCGGAUGGGGCUGAAGCCCACUCAUGAAAAAUUUAAAGGCUUCAACAUAAUUACCAAUUGUUUCUUCAUCCAAUUUUCUAAUAGAAUAUUGCCAGAAUUCUGAAAUAAUAUCUUAAUAUUUUUCUUCAAGUGUUUACGGCACCCUCGUAUUGGAUUGUCAAUUUAAUAACUUGUUAAAUUAUUUAAUACUUCAUCUCACGAUCUAAUGGAUAUAAAUGCUGGAGAAGGAUCAGUUCCCAGACGUUUUUCUCUCACUAGUCUUUUGGUGAAAUAAGUGACUAAGAUUAAAUUUUAAUUUUUGAUAUUGACAAUUAAAUUGGCUUGUUUCACAUUAUUAACAAUUAAGCUAGCUUUCUUUUUUUCCCCCAACUGGAUUUGGAAGGUUAUGAGGGAGUAGGAGAGAAAACACGAGAAGAACGAGAUCCUAAUUCAUAAAUAGUACCUUACUUGGGAUGGUAAAGAAUUUAAAGAUUGGGGUGAAUUCCAUUUUAGUCUCUAAAAUUUUGACUUGCGAGUAACCAUACUUUUAGUAUUUUUAAAAAGAAUGGGAUUAUUUACAUUGUAAAAUCUAUUUUGAACACUCUUUUACUUAACACAGUCAUUCAACAAAUUUUAAAAAAUAAUUUUUACUAGGGUUCGCAAUAAACUCUAGAUCCGGCCCAGAUCCGAAAUUCGGAUCCGAAAAAAUCAGGAUCGGCAUGUUAAAAAAUGCGGAUCCGGAUCUUAAAAAUCAAGAUUCAUACGGAUCUGGAUCCACAUGCAAGUGCAUCCGGAAAACCGGAUAUCCGGAUCCGCAUUAUUUUAUAAUUAAAUUAUUUAUUUAAUUAAAUUUUAAUUGAAAAAUAUAUAAAUUAAAUUAUUUAUUUAAAUGUAUAAGCAUAAUUAACUCUAAAAUCUUCAUUAAUUAUGAAAAAUAUGUUAAAAUAAUAAUAAUAAUAAUUAGAGAAUAUUGUAAUAAAUCGGUUUACCUUAGAUUUUUUUUAUGUUUGAUUUAUAUUAUGAAAUUAUUGUUUGUGAAUUUAUGGUGUUGAAUUGAUGUUAAAUUGUCGAUUGUUAAGUUAUAAUUGAAUUUUAUUUAAUAUUAUUAUGUAAAUUAUUAAAUUUAAAAUUAAAUUUAAAUUUAUUAUUAUGCGGAUCCGAAUAUUCGGAAUAUCCACCCACAAUCCGUGCGGAUAUUACCCGCAUCCAGAUCCGCAUAUUUUUUUUUACGGAUCUAAAUACAGAUCGGGAUGCCAAAAGCUUAAUCUAGAUCCGAAUUCGGAUGCACCUACAUCCGGAUCCGGAUUUGGAUUUUGCCAUCCCUAAUUUGUUACUUUACACACUAUUUCAAAUGUCAAAACUGUCCUUCAUUAGGACCAUUCAUUAACUAAUUAUUUUCUAUAAAAUAUUCAUCAUUCUUGAGCCAUGUGGCGUUAAUUAAUGAUUCCUAAGCAUUAUCAAGGUUCAAGAUUUAUGUUGAAACUCUUUCAGUUGAGAUUUGAGCCUAGGCACUAGCUAUAUACAUACAUACUCUUUCAAAUGCAGUUCUGGGAAUAUUUUGUGACUAAUUUUAUAAAAGUGUUUUAGUUACAUUAAUGCAGUGAAACAAUAAAGAGUACGUGGCUUGAUGAUUUCCAAAUCAAGUUGGGGAAAAAACAAAGCAUUUUCUUUUAUAAUGGAUUAGAUUAGACGAUGAAGGGAAAAUUAUUUACGAUUAUUACUUGUUUGUGUGUUUAGAGUAAUAAUAUUUUCUUAAAUUAUACUAAUGUCCCUAGUAGUAAAUUUAAUUAAGGUUAUUUUCGUAAUAUAAAUUUUAUUAAAAUUAAAGUGUCUAAAAUAGAAUUUAGAGUGAAAAUAGCUCUUAGACGUCCAUAUCAUUACCUUUAUAACUAUUGAAAAUAUGAAUUUUCAAAUGUAAAAUAACAUUUCUAUAUGAUAUAAAUUAAAAUUCAAUCAAAUUUAUCAUGCAACAAAUGAAAAGUAAAGAAAAUUAAAUAGGUUUUAAUAGAGACAAAAUAAGCUUCUAUGUUGAAUUUAAAAGUAUUAUAUUAGUAGUAAUCAUAUACGUAUCGAACUUUUUAAUAAAAUUUAUUUAGAAAUUGGCCAAUUGGGUUUUAUGAAGAAAAUAGAGGGGCACGAAUGGCGCCACUUUUAAUUAUUGUUGCUGUACAACUGAAAAUUGAAAUGUUGUAUUUAAAAAGUACUUGUUAGAUGUGUAAAAUGCACCAACUUGAAAUGGCACGAGAGCAUAAUGGAAUUUUGUUGGGAAAUUUACAAAAAUAACCAUAAAACUUUUACUAUUUUCACAAUUAACCCUCUAAACGUUUUUCUAUCAACAUUAACCAAACACAUGCUUUUCUCCCCAAAUUACCCUUGUAUUUGCUAACCAACCUGUCGCACAUAGUUUGGUGCGACAGGCACCUGUCGCACGAAGCUAAGUGCAACAUGCACCUGUUGCACUGUUAUAGUGCAAUUUAUGCACUAGUUUUGCAUUGUUUACUUCCCUUAAUAUCGAUGUUUUGCACUUAAUAAUGAUGAUUUACUUGUGUUUUACUUUUGUGUUAUGAGCGUCAGAAGAACUUUGUUGAUAAGGCGUGGGUGCGUGCUGUCAACUACGGACCUACAGUUUUUAGUUUAACGUGUUUUGUAUUUUUGGUUAUUUUUGUAAUUACGAAUUUAAUAUUUCAGAUAUUAGUAAUUUAUUUUAAAUAGAAUUCUAGAGAAGAAGAGAGAGAGAGUAUUUAAGAGAGGAAUCUAUUGUGAAAAAGGGGACUUUUGGAGAAGAGAAAGAAACCCUAGAUCUAAACUUUUCUCUUCUCUCUAUGAAGAACUAAACCUAUUUUUCUGGUUAAAGGAUAAUGAAGCUUUGAUUCAUCACUACUAUGAGAUCUAUUUUAUGCUUUAAUUGUUUUAUUGCUUUUUGGGUAUUUGUUUAUUCUCUGAAUUAUUUUCAUGAUUAUGUUUAUUAAUUAGGUAAUUGGCCACUAUUUAAUUAUCAACUUAAUCUAUUGUUAAUUAAAGGAUUCAUCGUAUGAAGAUUUUAAUGUUUGUGACAAAUAACAUAGCAAUGAGUUGUGUUAUGAGAAUAAACAAUCUAAUUUAAAUGAAUCAUCGUAUGUGUUGAUUAGUAUUUGGGUCUCUUUGGUCUUUCAGGCUGUCAAUUGAUUAAAUCCUAUGAUCGUAUCUAGGGUUGUCUAUUGAUUAGGGAAAUAGUCAACGGUCGUACCUUAGUUAUCGACUAGUUAAGGAGAGAUUGGCUAUUAGAGGGUCUCAGUAGCUAUAACCAGUCUAUUCAUAAGUAAUAAUAAUCUAUAUUUGAAUCAAUGAUCAGUAGUCGAAUCAAGCUGAAUUAAUUCCUUCAACCAGAGCUUUCUCCAAUUUGAAUUACAUCUUUAAUUUACAUUCUUGUUAUUUUAAUUUGAUUUUUAUUAUUGUCAACAAUUCCCCCAUUUUACGUUUUACGUUUCAAAAGGAUUUAAAUAAUUACCGAUCUCUGUGGACACGACCCUACUCAAUCACUAUACACAAUUUAUUUAGAGUAGGAAUUUAUUUUUGUUGGCUUCGACAACCAUCAAAUUUUGGCGCCGUUGCCGGGGAUUGGUGUCAUUUAUUUAAUCCUUUUUACGUUUUACUUGGUGUAUGGUUCGUUCUUCUCGUACAUGUAUACUUUCGUUUGAUCCUGAAAUUGAGAAGACAACUCGCCAACUGAGACAGCAGACGAAGCGAGCUAAGCAAUGAUCCUCGUCGCCUUUGCUUUCUGAAACAGAUAUAGUGCCUAAUUUAGUUGAAUCAUCUAGUGAUUCAGAAGAACAAGUGAUGGAUAGACCUGCACCUGUAGAAAGAACCCUUAGAGAGUUAGCUGAACCAGACUUGAAUCAACAACCACUCUGCAUUCAAUAUGUAGACUUGGAGGUAAAUUUUGAAUUAAAGUCUGGUCUUAUUCAUUUAUUACCCAAGUUUCAUGGUUUUGCAGGUGAAGAUCCUCAUAAACAUCUUAAGGAGUUUCAUGUUGUGUGUUCAAGUAUGAGACCACAAGGCGUGACUGAAGAGCAGAUUAAGCUGCGUGCUUUUCCUUUCUCUUUAGAUGGACUAGCUAAAGACUGGUUGUACUACUUGCCUCCUGGAUCAAUUACAACGUGGAAUGGUUUGAAGAAGCAAUUCCUCGAGAAGUACUUUCCUGCUUCAAGAGCUGUUAACAUCAGAAAAGACAUUUGUGGGAUCAGACAACUUCCUGGGGAGACUUUGUAUGAGCAUUGGGAGCAAUUCAAACAAUUGUGUGCCAGCUGUCCUCAGCAUCAGAUUUCUGAUCAACUUCUUAUUCAAUAUUUUUACGAAGGACUGUCAUUGAUGGAUAGGAGUAUGAUAGAUGCUGCUAGUGGAGGCGUGUUGGUGAACAAGACCCCUACUCAAGCAAGGGAGCUGAUAUCAAAUAUGGCUGCCAACGCACAACAAUUUGGCAGCAGGUAAGAUCUCACUUCAAGGAAGGUGAAUGAGGUAAAUAUUUCUUCUGUUAAACAACGUUUAGAUAAACUUACUUCUCUUGUGAAAAAGUUUGUUGUAGGUAAUGUGCAACAGGUGAAGACUUGUGGCAUUUGUUACAAUAUGGGUCAUUCAACUGAUAUGUGUCCUACACUUCAAGAAGAACCCGUUUAACAAGCCAAUGCAGUUGGAGGAUUUCCAGGCAUGCCUUAGAGGAGGUAUGAUCCUUAUGCACAAACAUACAAUCCGGGAUGGAAGGAUCAUCCCAACUUCAGCUAUGGAGUUAGGCCGUCAGGAUUCCCACAACAGUAUCCACCAAGACAACUAGCACCUCCACAGUCAAACUCCAAGUUAGGUAUAUCUCUUGAAGAAAUUGUUAAAUCACUUGCAACUAACACUCAACAAUAUUAGCAGGCAACUAUAGCAAGCAUUCAGAAUUUGGAGAACCAAAUGAGUCAAUUGGCGACUACAGUGAGCCGUCUGGAGUCUCAAGUAUUAGGGAGAUUGCCUUCACAAUCUGAGGUGAAUCAAAAGCAAAACGUUAGUGCUGUCAUCCUUAGAAGUGGGAAGGAGUUGCAAGAGCCUAGUAAGAAAGUGACAAAGCAUGUAGAAGAUGAGCUUGAGAAGAAUGAAUUGAUGCCUAAAUCUCAAGAUGCACAACUCACCAGAGCGAAACCCCUACCUAUUGUGAUACCUCCUCCUUUUCUAAGCCGGUUUGCAAAAUCCAAGAAGGAGGAACAAGAGAAAGACAUCCUGGAGACAUUUCGCAAGGUUGAGGUAAAUAUUCCUUUAUUAGAUGCUAUAAAACAAAUACCUCGAUAUGCUAAAUCUAUUUUUUAGCCCCUACCUCCUUGGCUAAGAUCUAACUUGGGUGGCAAAUUAAAUAAACUUGUUUGAAACUACUCAGCCACAUCUUUAGGGGUAUUAUUGUUAGUUGCUUAACUACUAAAUUAAUAAAAUUUGUAAUAUUUUCAAUAAAGAUUUUCCUAUAAUAUUGUAUAAGCUUUUAUAGUAUUAAUAAUGGGACUAUUGUGGACCCAUGAAUUUAAGUGUUUUAUGGUGCAUUCAGUAUUGUUUUCAAAUUUCAUUUUCUGUCUUCUAAAUUCAAGAAACAUCAAAUACAUGUUUGGUAGAUUGUUUCUAAAUAUACCUUUGAAAAUUUAAAAUUUAUUUAUACUUUUAACUAAGAAAAUAAGAAAACAACAUUUUCUUGUUUUCUUUGUUUCCCAAUUCAAUUUAAGCUUCAAUAUGAAAAAUUUUCUUCCGCCAUCUCUCAAAAUAAUAAUGACAUCAACAACAACAAAGACAACAACAACAACAUUGUUGUUGUUGUUGUUGUUAUUAUUAGACCACCUAAAAAUCAACUUCCAUUAUAAUAAUCUUUUCUUCUUUUAUGCAUUAUAAUAUUUAUGCUUUUAUAUAUUAAUUAAAUCAAGUAUGCAUAGUUUAUCAUUUUUCUUUAAACAAAAAAAGAUCACCUAAUUUAUUCUUAAAGUUAAAAAAUCAAACUAAUUAAACAAUUAAAAUCACCUAAUUACACUACUUAAUAUUAAGUUUAUGGAAAUUAUUCUAAUAAUAAUUAUUUAAGCUAUUCCUAUCGAGCAUGUUUUUCUUUUUUCUCACGUUCAAGAUUAUUUUCGAAAAUGAUAUCGAACACAUUUAAAAAUUUUUAAAAAUAAAUUCGAAAAUAGCAUUUUCAUUCUCAUUUUUUUUAAUGAAAACAACAAUUGAAAAACAAUACCUAAAUAUGAUAUAAUGAUAAAAAUUUAAUGAAAUAUAUAGUAGUGGGUAAUCUUCAGGUUAUAAGUGAAUGUAGAUAUAUAUAUAUAUAUUACUUUCAACUAAUAGAUAAAAGAAAUUUUCUAUGGUGUUGGGAUGAAAAUCCCAUUAUCAAUGAUGAGAUUAUUAUUGAUCAUUAGAUUUAAAUAUUAGAAUCUUCAACCUUAAUUUAAUUUUAAUAGUAAGUAAUUGUGUAACAAGUAAUUUGCAUGUUGUGAUAUUUCUUUAUACAUUAAUUUAUUUUUAUCCAAUCAAUUGAUAAACAUUUUUAGGUCACCAAAAAAUUGUAAAAAAAAGUAAAAGUAAUUCUGAAAUUAAAAACGUUAUAUACUGCCUAUAGCUAUAUAAUUUUACUGUUUCUUCUUUCACAAUUAAUAUUCAUAUAAAAAUAGCUUCUAAAUAAAUGUAAUAUUACUCCAACAAUAUUUUAUAGGGACAAUGACACCUAUACCCUACAGUUUAGGGAAAUGUUCACAAAUAUCUCUAAGUUUUCAGGAAGGGACAUCAACACCCAUUUUAACCAUAAUGCCCUUUGAAUUUAAUAAUUAGAAAAUUGACUUUAAGAUUUUUUAAUUGACAAAUUUAAUAUAAAUAAUAUAAUCUAUCAAGUAGACUAAUAAUACUAAAUUAUUUUUAACAUUUAAAAUAAUAUUAAAAUUUUAAAUUAUUAUAUUUAUUUUAAUAAUAUAUUUGUAUAUAUUAUAAACAUUUUAAAUAAAUCUUGGGUUAAAUAGAUUUUACAAUUAAAAAAAAUACCCCUAUUAAUAAUAUGAAAAUUAUUUUUACAUAAUAUUUAAAAUAAUUUUAAUUUUAAUUCAUUUAUUUUAAUAUUAUGUUUCUAUUUGUUAUUAAAAGUUAAUUUAUUAUCUUAAAUUUGUAUUAAUUAAAAAACUUUAAAGUAAAUUUUCUAAUUCCUAAAUUCAAAGGACAUUACGAUUAAAAAGGGGUUUCGGUGUUCCUUUUUGAAUACCUGGAGAUCUUUGCGACCAUUUCCCCAUACCUUAGAGGUGUAAGUGUUUUUUUCCUUACUUUAUAUAAAGAUAUUUCAUAGAUCUUAUAAUAAUUUAUACUGUAUGAAUUUAAUCAAAUGACCAUUAAUACUUAAACAUUAAUAAUUAUAGAAGGUAUUGUAAUAAAUUAUUUGAUAUAUAUUAUUAAUGAUACUAUAUAUGUGUGUAUAUGACUACAUGAUGGCUUGGAUAUAUAUUUUUAGUAGUAAGUAUUUUAACUUAAAUUUUUAAAACAAAAUUUAUACUAUUGAUUUCAUGUAAUUCAAUGGUGGAUGAUUUAGCAUCAUAAAAUAUUGUUUUGAUGUUUAAUAUAAUCAUUAAAUUGUGAGAGAUUAAUUUCUCAAAUUUUGUGUUAAAAUUUUAAGUUAAAAUAUCCCAAACCAAUUGUUUUAUGAAAAUACAAAAAUAUAUAAAGAAUUUUUCUCAUUAAUUUUCAUAUGAAUAUUAUUAUAGGUAAUAUUUUAUAUAUUGUCACCAUUAAUUACCAUCAUUAAAAUAGUGACUCUUAGUAAUAUAGAAUUUUAUAAUAAGUUAAUUGCAACCAAAGGAUACCAACAAAUAAUAUUUCACGAUUCAUAAACUAAAGCUAAUUAAGAAUAUAUUUUAGGUUUAACUUUUAUGAAAUCAACAAAAUGAUAUUAGAAAAUAAAAUGAAAAUAGACUAGUGAAAGCUUUGAGUAAUUUUCUGCAAUGAAAGAAUAUUAAUUGUAAUAUAAACCAUAAUUUCAUCGUAUAGCUACGCUAAAUGGGAGUAACAAAUAAUAUAUACUUUACGAUCAACUAUUAAAUGGUCCUUAAUAGCAUAUAAAGUAGUGGGUAUUUUAAUAUAUACUAUUAAACUUUUUUAAAACAUAAGUAGUUAAGUAUAUGAUUUUUAGGAUAUAAACAAUCACAACCAAAUGUUUAUUGAUGUAAAUUAUAUGGCAUUCAGUUAAAUGUACAUACUUAAUUCUAAUUGGUUAAACAAUUCUCUUUCUUUCUUCGCUCUCUUACGACUUGAGGCACAUAACUAAACGCGUGGCUAUUAGCAUUUGCCACCAUGUAUUUAACAACCCCAAAUGAAGAUAUUAAUUUUUUUAGUUUAAUUGCUGCUUCAAAAUGGGGUACUGCAUUUGGAUUUUGUUAUUCAAAUACCAAAAUGUUCCCACAUUGUGUUGGACAGUUUUUGGUUCUAAAGUUGAUGACUGGUUUUGCCAAUCAGGCUUCAAAUGAGAACUUCUAAACAAUAAGACAAAUGGGUUUUGAGUUUAUAAUCUUGUAAACUUUGUUCUAUUGUAUAAGUUAUGAAAUCGUUGAAACAUCACUACAGCUACAGGUCUUUAUGUGUCAAUGAACUGCAGAAGCUGAUGAUCUACUUGUAGUAGACUUCUAUUGCCCCUGCCAUUCUCGGAAGACAAACAAGUUCAGGAACUACUUCUGGACCAAACUCAUAAUAUUGCCACUGCUUUGUGCCAAUCUGAGACGGAAAGAAGAUUGAAGUUCCUAAAUAAGGCACAUCAUGAUUUAAUAGAAGUACCACUAUAAGGAAAAAUUGAUUUCAGGAAAGCACUAAAAUAUGACAUAAUCUCCCCCUAAUGGUCUAAAGUAGUCAAAAAAUUAUAUCAACCAAGCAAAAACACAUAAACUAGUUGAGAUACAAAGUUAUCAUAAAAGUCAAUUUUGAUCACAAAUCCAUUAAAAUUAAAAGACAUCAGAAAGUUAGAGAACAUUAUAAUUUAGGACUCAGCUAAGUUGCAGAUUCUGUAACUAACAGCUGAGUCCACAUUGGCCUUGCAUCAGCUGAGUUUGGGUUGCUUUCCUCUCUCCUGCAACGCGUGGAAGCGUCCCAUUUGCUGUGUUAUAUACAGAGUCGGUACCGUAGCAAGCUCCUAUAAUUUAAGUUUGACUACUGUGGACAAUAGUCUGCCUCUGUUCAAAAGCUAUGCUGCAAGAUAUAGCAUCUUUGCAAUGUUAUACUUUCUAAAAGUAAUAAGAAAUGAAACCAAGGGGUAAAUCGAACACCAAAAGAAAUUUAGUCGGCCAACCACAUUAUGUUCCCACACAGUCCACCAAUUAAGUUAAUAAUUAAAGGGAAUCAAAAUCUAAGAAAUCUCAUCUUCAAGCAAAAUACAAACACACCGGGAUUGAAAAUCAUAAAAUCAUAAAAAGAAGCUGACUUGAAAAGCUCAAAUAUACGUUCAUCAGCCUCUCAACUUAUAUCUAAGAACAAAUGCCUGCAGCUUGUGAAGACAUAGAUAAUUGAAGCUGAUGAGGCAUAUUUAACAGAUGAUAAUCAAAACUCGUGUGAUUAAAAUUAUAAUUCAAUAAUCGAGCACAUAAAACAAGAAGUAACUAGUUGUAUAUAUACCAAACAACUUUCUGAAGUUAAGGCGUAAAACAACAACGUAGAACAAAUUAAUUAAAUAUACCAGCACCAAUACUCUUAUUAUUAUCCAAAUAUAGAAGACCAAUGUAUCAAACAAGGAAAAUGAAAUAUUGUUAAUAACUCAAAAACCACUAGUGUCAAGAAAUAAACUAAUAAGUAAAACCCAUAACCAGACACGACCACUUCAAAAUCUCUGAAAAUUGAGGUCUAAACAUUGAAAACAAUUAGACAUAUAUAACAGUCAAUCGAAACAAAGCCUCAAAAUAAUAAUGAACUACAAUAAGACAGAAACUAAAUUGUAAACAACCGCAUACCCAAUAACAGUAAUCAAGUAACGAGUCAAAACCAGAAUCAAACGUAGAAUUUGAAAUCCAUACGAACUCUAACGUAUUAGAAUGAAAGAAUAAGGACGAUCGAUAAACUAGACUAAAAAAAAAACAUGCCCAGUUAAAAAACGAAGGUAAAUAAAUAAAAAUGGUAUAAAACUGCGAAAAAAAUUAAUUAAAUGAAGAGAAAAUCACAGGAAUCCUAUGAAAAGGAAGGUAAACAAAACCUUCGGGAGCCGAGAAGAUGCCUUUUUUUGUUCACUUUUGUGCCUAUACAUACAUUUUUUUUUUUUGUUGGUAAUUUUGAAGAAAGUAUUGGUUAAAUAUUGUUAGAACGAAAUAUUAAUAGAUGCUGGAAAUUUCAACAAGGACAAUCUUCGAUUCAAAUGUAUCCCUAUGAUAAAGAAAAAGCCUACUUGGCUAAAUUUUGAGCACCACAUUACAAGAUCUAGGUGUAUGUAACCAUGCAAAAUGAAACAUCUAUUAAUUGUAAGUCCCUUGACCUCUGGAACCAGCCAACCAGUCUCUUUCCUGCUAGACAACCUUCCAUCGAUCAGACUAAUAAUAUUUACUAAAUCAUGUUCUACAGUUAAUGGAGUUGGACCCAAGGCAAUUGUUAGAAGUCCGCCUAGACAUAGAGUGCGCUUAGAAGUGGGAUGCUUAGAGAUGGGCCGCCAACACAACCAGCCAACCGUAGUGUGCUUAGCAAAUCACCCAAGCCCGGCCCAAGAUCUAGAACUAUCUACAAAUUGUAAAUAAGCUAAAAGUUUCUAAGUUUCUCCACAUAGGUCCCUAGGAUAUUUAUGGAAGUUGCUAGGAAGUUUCCUCCCCUAGAACUCUAAUACCUAUAAAUAGGGGUAAGCCCCCUCAUUUGCCCACCAACCACACCACACACACAAACACUCUAGCACACACACAAGCUCUCUAGCUUUUGUAAAAAGCUCUCUUGUAUAUUUUCUCUUUGUGAGUAAUAAAAUCAUAUUCAGCCAUAUUGCUCUACUUCUCUCUAGCAUUUUCUGCAAGUGUUCUUGCUUCGCUAGUUUGAGGAGUGUUCUAGGGUUGCUUAACAACUUGUUCGCUAGAAGGACAUCAUGGUCACAAAACAUGGACAUGCAAGAAAAAAAUAAUAUUGAUACGUUCUAAAAAUAAUAUGCGUUCUUCUACAGUGAACCAAAAAAUUUAGGCUAAUGGUAGCAAGUGAAGGAAUUGUGAUUUCACGUGCAUUUUGUUGACAUGAACGUAAAGGACUUUUUUUUAUAGUUUAUAUUGUUUAAUAUAACAUUUGAAUUGCAAAAUAGGGGUACAAAAUAGAUACACGAAGUGAUAAAACUAAGCUGAUUAUAAUAAAUAUUGAAUUAUAAGAUUUAGGUUUAAUCAGAAAGACAUAAGUGGCGCACAAAGUCACGAAUUGAUAUCAUCCAUGAUGCAAGUUCAAACAACUGCAUAAUAAGUUGCCCCAAGCUAAACUAUUAAUCUAGUAACUAUUCCAGUCGAUGUGGGAUAAUUUUCCUAUCACCAACUAUCACGUGCAAACCGAAUUUUUUGCUUGGUCCUUACAUGUGGUAAGGUAAUAUGAAUCCACUUGUGCAUAAAUUUGGCUCAGAUACUAUAUAGAAGCCUAUGACCCAAAAUUAGACUUAAAGGUUAUCUCAAGAUUUGAGGGUUGCCUCAAGCUCAUAUUAUUAUUAGCCUGGUAACCUUUUUUGUUUGUUGAUAUGUGAUAUUUUCCCUAUAACUUUUAUUAAUCUUUAUGCUUAUGUUUUGUCAUUUAUCCCAAAAUAUAACAUUAACAAAAGUUCCAAAAUUUCCUUCAAGAGAUAUAUUUGAGACAAGGAAUUUGUGCAAUAACUUUGUAAAUUGAUGAGCAAAUUCAGAGAAAAGAAUAUAUGUGCCAAACAUAACGUUUAUUAUUGUGUUUAUUUGUAGAGCUAUUUAAAGCCCAAAAAAAAAAAAAAGCACCGGUCCGCUAUGAUUUCAAAUAAGUUCAAGCCCUAUGUCAUUAUUGGUACAAAAAUGUAUCAAAAAGGUUAAAAACUAUUUUUAAAGGUUAAAAACUAUUUUUAUUUAACUUAUAAACUUAGGAAAUUAUCAACUGUUCGCCUUUAAAUUGCGCUAUUAUAAAAAAUAUUACAAUAUUUUCAGGUUGUGUCAUUCAUCUACCAUAAAUUUACAAUAUGCAUCAUUUAUCCACCAAAUCAUUAACUUCGUCAAAAAGUGAUAGACGUCACAAGGGUAAUUUAGACAUUUAACACAAAAAAAUAAAAGAGAAAUUAUCUAAGCUUACCAUGUUAUCAAAAUUGCUACAAAAUUUUAAAUUUGUUCAAUUUUCUAAUCUAAGUUUAUGACCUCCAAGAUGUUAAUUGCAGUUUGUAAUUAAUGACUUCAUAAGGAUAAUUUAGACACUCAAUAUGCAAAAUAAAAAAUAAAAUAAUGGCUUAAAACAUUAAAACAAAAAACUACUUUUUAUAAUUGAUAUUCAAUUAAAUACACAUAAACUCUAUUUUUUCUUAAUUAAAAAUAUUCUAAUUUAUUUUCUCAAUUUAUCUUCAUAAAUUUACAUUAAUAAACUAAAUCCACAAAUUACCCUAAACCCUAAUUCAUAAAUGCCCAAUCAAUCUAAUAGUUUAAUUCGAUUUCAUAAUUAAAAAAAGCUAAAUUUAUUAUAUUAGUUAUGGUGCAAAGUAAAAAAUGUCCUUAAAUCCAAGGGUAAAAUAGCAUUUUAUUUAAAUUCUAUAAAUUAUUCUAACAAUGUUAACAUUUUGGUGGACGGUUAAUAUAAGUUACAAACUUAAAAUAGAAAAUCAAAUAAAUUCAAAAUUUCAAACUAUUUAGGGCAAAUUUAGGAUAAUAAUGGUCAAUUUAUUAUAAUUCUAUUAAUUUUUUAAUGGAAGCAAGCGAUAUAAUGGAUGAAUGAUAUAAAUUGUAAAAUUAAGGUGCAUGAACGAUAUAAUUUUAAAGUAUUGUAGUACUUUUAAUAAUAGAACAAUUUAAAGGUGGAUUGGCGAUAAUUUAAACUUUAAUGAAGCAACUAAAAAAUAUUUUUAACAAAGAAAAAUAAUUGAAUGCUUUGUGAAACCAAAAAUAUUUGAAAUGUUUUAAGAAAAAUAAAGGAAAUUAAAUAUCUUUUUAAAAAACAUAAUUGAGUAAAAUCAUUUUACAAAAUGCUCUUUCAAAUGCACAUUCCACAAGCCAAGAAGAACGGGUGGCUAACAAAAAUCUCACUUUUUAUGAGUUUAUAAAAUCUCACUUUCGCAAAAUCCAAAAAUAACCAAUACUAUCACACAAAAAAUAAAAAGUAUUGCUGUCACGACAUUACACACUUUCUUCGCCGUCUAGAAAGGUAGAACAUUUUGAAGUUCCUCAAUACAAAAUGCGUGCUAUUACUAAAUUGGCCCAAUUAAUGCCCAUCGAAAGGCCAUCAAUUUAGCCACCAAAUUUGCCAAAGUUUUAACAAUUGAAGAAAUAGUGAACUCAAAAGGAACAGAUAAAUUUUGAAGUUGAACAAACCUUAAGGUACAUACAACAAAGCCUUGAAACUUUAGUCUUCACAAUUUAAGCACGCAAUAAUAUUAAGUAUCCACCUAAAAAACAAGUAUAGAACAAAGCUUGUUAGCUUCUUGGGCAUUAACUAUGAAUGAUGAGUAAAAUUAAAAAAGCAAACAGAGAAAAUUAUAAGAAGAAGAAAAGCAAACAGUUAAAAAAAAAUUAUGAGAAGGAAAAUUUUGGUAGAACUCCGCGGCUCAUCUGUGAAAUUAAUGUCAAUAUGUAUUUUUAUGUAAAUAGGGUCUCUGGAUUUUAGGAUGAAUCAAUCAGCUACCACAAACGAAAACAUGAACCAACUAUAUAUAGAGUCAAUCAACUAUAAUUAAAGUUCUCAAGAGCUUACCUCUGCUCCAGAAUUCUCGGAAUCAUCUAUUUCCUUCUGAAUUUGCGCGAAGCUUGGGACAACUAAGAAAGCGUCCAUGUGGAGCUGGGAUCUGAUAACCCGCAGGCCAAAAGUUGGUGAGGUUUGGUAAAUCUAACAGUGUCAAGUUCCAAAAUCCAUUCAUAACAAUUUCAUUGUAAUCCGUGACAUCUGCUCCAUCUUUAUGCCAGAAUACUUCUUCUAAUUCAUAAUUACUUUCUACCCAUAGUUGAGUUAGAUUUUGAAGACUUGGAGCUACGCUAAUAUGAAAUAGAUGCUUUAGUUUGGGGCAGUUGUAGAAAGUGAUCCUUCUGAGUUUUGGGAAACAUACAGGUUGGAGAUGAUCCUCAUCCUCAUCCUCAUCAAUGAUUUGCUCUAAUUCCAAGCAUUUCCGAACAGAUAACUCCUCCAAUUGCAACAGAUUUCGAGCAAGUGUCGAUGAGAGGAGACGUUUCAACUUAGAGCACCGGAUCACGAGUAAACGGGUAAGAUUUUGCAGGCUAAAAAUAUGCGUGGGACCUUCAUGAUAUAAUACUUGCAGUUCUGGAAGAUUUUUCAAUUGCAACGACUUCAAACAUGGGAAUAGUUUGUUUUCUUGUCCCUCAGCGAUAAUAGCUUCCAAUUGAAACACCACAUGUACUCCAAGUUGGCUAAUUUUCAAAUCUUCCAAAUUUUUUAAGUCGUGCUUCAACAGUGCUGGAAUCGUGUCACUCAAAUGGGAACAAUUGUCCACAUUUAGAAUUUUUAAGUUCUGAGACAAAUAAAUAAAUAACUUGAUGUAAUUAAAAUCUAUUAGCAGCUAAGAUUAUCACAUGAUAAGUGACGAACACCGCAAAAAACAAAAAUAGAAACAAAAUCCAUACAAAAAUAUAAUAAUACAUAUGUAAACUAAUAAAAUAAUUAAAAAGUAAUAUGGAUUGAUCAUGUGAAGUGAUAUAAAGGUGACAUUAGAUUGUUUGAGAAAAAUUAGUAUUCUAUUAAUUUCUAUGGAUUGAUCAACUAAUUAAUUGAAUUUGAGUAAUAUUAUAUACACUUCAGUAAGUGUUUCUAUCAAUUCUUUCUAAACCAAAAUGAGAUAAGACUUCCAUUUGAACAAUGAUUUUAGGCCCUAAAAUAAAGAAAUUUCCCUAAGAUAUUUGAGCAUUAUUAUUAUCAUCACCACAUCCACGAUCAUCAUCAUCUCCAUAGGACCAAAUAAUUAAUGGCUGAUCAUAAAAUUUAUUGCUAAAUUAUCAUUUUGAGUAAAAUUGAAGGAAAAGAAAAAAUGUAAACACAAACAAACAUACCUCUUCAAGAUACUGCAAAUUGGCUUCAAGUUCAGUACUGCUGACGGUCAAGUUGGGACAGUGCCUAAGGUGUGACUCUUCCAAUGCUGUCCAAAUUGAACAAUAAUUUUCUGAACAGAAGCUCUUGAGUUUUGGGAGAUUGUGAAGUGUUAAUUUUGUCAACAAAGGGAGGGCAAGCAUCGUAUUUCCAUCUCCAACACUUAUUUCCCCUUCAUUAUGAUCAAACUUUGCUUCGACAAUACAUUCCAUUCUCCGGCAUCCACUUACAUAGAGACUUUUAAGCUGCUUCAAACUUCUAGCUUGUGACAACGUGAAGAUAUAUGUCAAAUUGUUGCAUCCACACACAGUCAAUUCUGUAAGAGCUUGGAGGCUGAUCACAUAUUGGGCGGGCGCCUUCCAUAUCCACUUCAGUUCUGGUAAUUGCCACAUAGAUAACUCUGCUAAUCUUGAGAGCAUCACAGGAUUCCCACUCUUUCCAUGCGGCGACUUAGAGGCAUCCAUUAUGCAUUCUAAUUCUUUGCACUCGUUGACAGAAAGACAAGUCAACUCAUUUAAGCCCCUUGGAUCUAUGCUUGGCACAAUAUUGUGACAACCUAUAAUCGUUCUUAAAUUAAGAAUUUCCAGUUCUUGAUACAAUGCCGAAAAAAUACCGAGAGAGGUUGCUUCACAAUUAUUAAUCUUUAAGCCCCUUCUCUGUCCAAAAAUUUCAUCUUCUUCUUGCAUUAGAAAUUCAAGUUUGUUACCAUUACUGACGUGGUGCCUUUCCAAUUUCGGGAAUGUAAAGUCUUUUGGAAGACGUGCAAUUUUUUUGCCAGUAUGUAAAGUCUUUCCAUCGUCAUUUUCUUCUGAACUCAUCCCUUCAGCCUCCCAAUCUUUUAUCCGACCAUAAAAUUCUUCUAAUUGAGGAAAUUUUUUUAUCGUAAUGGGAGAAAUACAACCAGAAUUAAUGAAUAUAAGAAGUUUCAAUCUACUAAGUUGAUCCCCAAAUUCUUCAGGAAUUUCAAUGGGAGACUCCUUGACACAAAGAAUUUGAAGUCUCUUCAACUUUCCAAGGAAAGAUGCGUCACUUACUUUACAUUGAAUCAACUGCAGAACUUGGAGGUUGGUGAGGAAUUGAAGCGAUUUAAGUGAAAUGACUCCACCUAUUACAGUAACAACUUUCAAUGCUGGCAUCCCUUCGAAAAAAUGCUCUGGAACGUGAAAUUGAUAGUCAUAACCACUAGGAAGCUCUUCUUUUACAUAUCCCAGGAAAGAGAUUCCUUCGUAUUGUUCCAUUGCCCGUUCCGCCAAUCCAUCUGUAGUAACAACUUUCAAUUUGUAGUUAUAUACAGUAUUCUGCAGUUGCAAAAUUUGAAGGUUAGGACAUACCAAACUGGUAGGAAGCUCUUCUUUUUUAUUUCCUACCAAUGAGAUUCCCUUGCAUUGUUCCAGGCUUUCUUCCACUACCCGUUCUGCCAAUCCAAUGCCAACUUUACUAGUAAAAUAUUUCUUUCCCACUGAGCCUAUCCAUAAGGAAACAUCACGAACAAUGUCAUGCAUUUUCACAGAUCUAUCAUUACCGGUGUCUAACAGCAGUGAAGAAGCUUUGAGCUCUUUAAUCGUUCCACUCACUAGGAUCCUGGCUUCUUCGAUUGACUCAACUUGAUACCAAUCCAACGCCACUGCAUAUCCAACCAAAUCAUUCGAAUCUAUCUCAUAAUCUUCUGGAAACAGCGAACACAACAAAAAGCAUGACCUGGAAUCCUCACCAUUCAAAUAAUCGUAACUAAAUUUGAGACAAUGGUAAACGUCUUGGUCAUCCUUACCAAUACCUUCUAUUGUAUUGAGUUUUGCAUUUUUUAGUUUAUGUAGAGCUACUUUCCAUUGACCAAAUCCUUUACCUCUUAGCGCACUUCCAACAGCCUUAAUAGCUAAAGGCAACCCCUUACAUUCAUUAGCAAUUUUUUCUGAAACACCAAUCAAGGUUGAAUCAGCAUCAAUGCCGGCAUGCUUUCUUAGUAAAGCCAAUCCUUCUUCUCGCUUUAGAACACCGAGUUGAAUCUGCGUGUCACAACCCAUGCGAUCACAAACUGGCUGAAGGCGAGUGGUUAGAAGGAUUUUGCAACAAUUGUCUCUAUCACCAACAGGAAUACCUAUUGUCUCCAAGUCAAUUUCAUUCCAGACAUCGUCAAGGAUUAUGAGGAUCUUGGGGCUUUUACUCUCAGAGAACAUCAAGCGCAAUCGGUCUGCUCUAUCCUUCUCAUCUUUCUCCGUUAAUGCCCAACCUAACGACUUUACUAGCUCACUUUGAACAUUUAUUAUAUUUGGAUCCCGAGAUAUAGUGGCUAUCCCUACGUGAUCGAAAAUCUUUUGUUGCCGAAGUUGAUUGCCCGCAAAUUUUGCCAAGGUCGUCUUUCCAACACCACCGAGACCAUGCAAUCCCACCAUCUUUGUGCUCUCUUUUUUCAGUGCUUCAAUGAUCUGAUUACAAGCCAAUUCUGUAGUCUCGAAAGACAUAAAAUGUCUUGGUGCAGGCAAUUCUUUGUUCAAUGGUAGAGGUUUAGGAUGGGCAACAGUGCUGAAUUUGCCGCGGUCUAGUAGAUCGGCCAACUUGCUAGUCUUCUUUAAUGCUUUUCUUCCCAGCCAAUAUCGGCAACCCCAAUUAGGACACCAUCCAUUAAGACAACUCUUGUUUUCAUCUAUCUUUGCUUUCAAAUUUUGAACAUUGGCCAUUUCUUUGACUACAUCCGCCAGCCACUUCUCUACAUCUUUCUCCACUACUACGGCGCGGUGUUUUUGUCGAUCUUGUUCUACUUUUUCAUUGAUGCCAUCUUGUGCCUCCUUCAAAUUAGUUUCGUUAUCCCCAAGUUCUUUAAUAAUGCUGUUGAAGCAGAAUAAAUAGCGAGCUUGGUUUAUGGUUGCGUCCGCCAAUAAUUCUCCAAGCUUUGAUGCAACACCUGAUAAAAUUUCCAUGCUAUUUAUCUGCAAUUAAUGAAAUUGAUCUCAGUAUGCUAUAAGCAAUUAAAACAACAUGGCUUGAUCGCAAGAUCGAACGUGAACGUUUAAUUACUUUAAUUUUUUUUCUUUUGGCUUAUUAACGCCAGCAUUGAUCAAUAAGAGCAAAAUGCAAAACAAAGGAGAAGAAAUAAGGUAAACGUUAUAUAUGAUGGAUUACAUUGAAAUUAGAUUACUUUAGAAAUUUUUAAAUAAAAAUUUAAUAGAAUCCGGAUAAACCUAAGAGUUUGUUGUGCAUUGCGAGUGAAGACAGGCAGUUGCAUGGGGAAUAUGAUAAAAGUGAUGAAUAACUGAAAAGCCACCCAUAAUAACAAUUAAAAAGAGUAUUAGAGAUUAGAGGAGUUCAACAUUCUAUGCAAGCCCACUCACGAUAAAAUUUGAAUGGUUUCAACAGGAUUACCAUUUUUUGACCUUUAAUAAAUAUUCUAAUAAAAUAAUACCAUAAUUCCAAACAAUAUCUGAAUUUCUUUUUCCUUCAAAUGUUCAUUAAACUCACAUAUUGGAUAAUUAAUUUAAUUAUUUUUUAAAAUUAUUUAUUACCCUAUCUUAUUGUUCAAUAGAUAUAAAUGACACCUUAUUUGGUAUGGUAAAAAUUGGGGUAAAUUUUCUUUUAUUCUCUAAAGUUUGGACCUAUUACCAGUUAUAUAUAGUAUUUGUAUUUUGUAAAAUUUUACCUAAAACGUCCAUGUCAUUACUUUUAUAGCUAUUGAACCUGAAUUUUCCAGUGUAAGAUAUUAUUUUUGUCUAUUAUAAAUUAAAAUUCAAAUAAAUCUAUCAUGCAACAAACAAAACGUAAAGAAAAUUAAUUAGGUUUUAAUUGGAAACAAAUAUAAAAUAUCGAUUUUUUUAUUAAUUUUUGUGAAUUCUUUUAUUGUUCGAAUUAGAAUUGAAUAAUUUGUAUAAGGAUAAUUUAUAUGAAGAUAAUCUGCAAAAUAAGCUUAUAUGCCGAAUUUAAAAGAGUUAUAUUAGCAAUCAUAUAUUUAUCAAAAUUUUUAAUAAAACUAUUGUUUAAAAAUUGGCCAAAUGGGUUUCAUGAAGAAAAUAGAAGGGCAUGAACAAUUUAAAAGACGUAUUAAAUGGACCAAUUUGAAAUGGUAUGAGAGCACAAUGAACUCAUGUUGGUACCUGGGUAGGCAAAUUAAUUUUAUUUUUAAAGUAUGGUUAACAGUACUGACUUGGAGGUGAUUGACGUUAAGUUAAAUUAAUGCAAACAAAUGGUAAAAAUAAUUUAAUGAAAAUUAAUUAAUAAAAAAAUGCAUUAAAAAAUUAGAACUUAAGUUCUUGAUCAUUUUGUCCGUAUGUUUUUAAUCCAACGCUCAGAAUUGGCGUAAAACUAGCCAUUGGAAGUAAAACACAAAAAUCGAAUUAAGGGCCUAUGAAACAAUAAGAUCUCAUACCUUCUUCGUUAUAAAUCCUCAAUUACUGUUGAAAGCUCCAGUUAAGAGAGUCGCACAAGUUCGGAGAAAAUUAAAAAGCUGCAUAUGGCAAUAUAAAUAAACAUCAGAUCAAAACGAUAUAGGAUAUAUCUGGCUAAUUAACAUCUUAUAUAAGUCCUUGUUCUCAGUCAAAUCUUUCAUACUUAGAAAAAAAAAAAGAUUGAAAUAAUAACUGUAUGUUUUUAAUCCAACGUGCAAAAUUGGCAUAAACAAACUAAUAUAGCAUAAAACAAACAUCAAAUUAAGAGCCUAUGAAAUAAUAAUAUCUCAUACCUUCUUCAUUAUAUAUCCCCAAUUACUACUGACAGCUCCAGUUAGAGUGGCAUAAUUUCCGAGAAAAUUAAAAGCUGCAUCUAGCAAUAUAAAUAAACAUCAGGUCAAAACAAAAUAGGAUAUAUCUAGCUAAUGAACAUCAUAUAUAAGUCCUUGUUCUCUAUCAAAAUCUUUCCUUCUUAAAAAAUAAUAAUAAUAAUAACAAUAAUAAUUGAAAUAAUAACUGUGGGUGACACAUGAAGCAAAAGUAACAUACCGAAAUGAGAGCAGCUCACAUAUCUGGUGACUUCCAAGAGAAUGAAAAAUGAAUGACCUUCGGCAGCAAGAUCCAAAUCAAGUAUCACAAAUUGCUACUGACUUCGUGGCUUCACUUUCCUUUUCUUUUUCUUUUUUUUUAUAUCACAGUGUGAAUUGAAAGGUGAAAAGUGAAAUGGUACACAUGCGUAUGAUGAGGGGGUAAUUUUUAGACACCUGCCCGAGGUUUAAGGUCUUCUGAAUUAGAUGGAUUGUAUUUUCGUAUUAUCAAAUACCUCCCCUGCCCGUUUUUAUUCCAUUUAGUAUUUUCUAAAUGGCUGAAGGUAAAUUGGUAAAAACUCAUUUAAAAUAAAAAAAAAUCAAAGAAAUUCAAGAAGAAGCUUUAUAUCUGCCAUUUGUAUUUGGGGUAUCUUUUUGGUUGUUGAGUGAAUGAGCUUAAAUCUUAAAUAUUUAUUUUCUUAUUAUAUAUUUCUUAUUGGAAAGAAUUUGAAUCUUAUUCUUAUUAAACUUAUUCUCUUUAAAUAAAAGUAGAUUUCUCUCCAUGUAUUUAGUGUGUAUUUUGAAAUUAAUGUUCAACAUAUCUUUAGAUCCUAUUAUAAAUAUUCAUAUCUAAAAUCUCAACAGAUUCCAACAUAUAAAUAUAUAUAAAGAGAGAGAGUAACGUUCUAAUAAGAAAUUUUUUAAAUUAUCAAAUUAAAGGAUAAUUCAAAAGAUAAAAAAAUACAUAAUCUAAUAUAUUAUAUAACAAAAUAUACUAUAUUAAAAUAUAUAUUUUGCUUAAUUUUUUAAUAUAUCCCAUAAUAACUUAAGAAAUCCUUUAUUUACCUGAUAUAUAUAUAUAUAUGUAUAAUUUUUUACAAAAUAAACAAUUUAGAGUAAAACAAAGGACAUUCUGGGGCCUUUUGCUAGACUACCAAUCUACCAUUUUGGAUUGCAAUAAAGUGAAAAUACUGGACUACCAAUCUACUAUUUUGGAUUGCAAUAAAGUUAAAAUGGGUUACACCAAAAAAGUAAAAAAAAAAAAAAAGUGACAAUCAAUCUUGUCGGCCAAUACAUCGAGUUUUUUGCCGGAUUAGUAUCACCGUCAAAAACAAAUUAUUGCAAGCACUAGCAAAAAGCAAUCGAUGAUUUCGCAAUUUGGUUGUUAAAAAGCAAACUAGAUCACGAUUCCUCAAUUCAAAAUGGGGCAAAAUUAUGGUAUCACAAUGUUACCGUACUACAGCUGGAUCCAGCUUACAGUUACCAUCAUAAUUGAAUCUAACAGUUGGAUCCAUCUAUAGUAUGGUAUUACUGUGGUACCAUAGCUGGACCCUUCAAAAAAAUGCUUUUUUUAAUUAAAUAAGUGAAAAUUAAACCUACAAUUCAAAAUAGAAGACUGUAGAUGCGUAUAAAUUGAAGAAGGUAAAUUUUGUGUGUGCGUAAAUAUUUUAGUCAACAACAAAAAAUUCUAACAAGUUAAUAUAAGAGUAUCAUAGCAGUACAAGAGAAUUUUUUUUUUUUUUGGAUGUUAUGAGUUAUCGAGAUACCCAAUAUAUAUGUGUGUGUGAGAGAGUGGGGAAGAAAAAAAAUAUUAAGAAUAGUUUUGGCAUUUUGAUGGGUUUUAUAGAGUAAAAUCUAUAUUUUCAAAUAUGAUAAUUCUUUAAUUUAAUUUUUUGUUAUGAAAAAAAAGGGCAUUUUAAAUAUGUUUUAAGUUAUAAAUAACUCCAUCCAAAAUUUAAAAAUGAAAUCUUAGGGGGGAAAAUUUUUCACCCAAACUAAGGCCCAAAGUAGCCGCGGCAUUUUUCACCAAUUCUCCAAUUCCCAAUGUGGUCUAAUUAUUUACAAGGAAUAUGAGUAGGGGUGGGCACGGUUCAGUCCGGUUUGGUUAGAAUCUAAAUUAAGCAGAACCGAUUUAAAUAGGUUAUUUUAUAAAAAAAACUAAAUAAGAACCGAACUCAAUAAAAAUUGGACAUAAACGGAUCUUUUCAGAUCGGUUUGGUUCGGUUCGGUUUUUUCGGUUUUGGGCGUAUUUUGAAUUUCUAAAUUUUAGCCCAUUAGGCCUCAUGAAUGUAAUGAUUUUAUUCAACAAUUAAUUUAUCCUAAUUUCAUUACAAAUAUUAACAAUAAAUACAAAGUAUUCAAAACACAUUUUAUCACUAAUAUCUUACUAACUACUAAUAAGGUACUUAUAAAAUAUGAAAUAUUAAGAUUUCAAAAUACAUAAUCAAACUCCAAUACUCCAUCUACAUAAACACAAUGUUGUAACGACAAAAAAAAAUAAUAACAACAAUUAAAACUUACAACACAAAAUAAAAAGAAAAUUUGGAAACAAACACUAACAACAAUUUUUAAAUAAAUAAAUAAAUAUAUAUAUACUCGUAAUUGUGUGUGUGCAUGUCUAUUUUAGUUAUCUUACGCAACCAAUUAAAAUUUAACAUGUGUCUAUUUAAAUAAAAUUCCAAGAAUAACUCGGUUUUUCGGUUCUGUUUUUUGGUUCAGCUGAGUGAACCGAAUACCGAACCUGUAUUUUAGUUUUUUUUACAAACCAUAUAUUUCAGUUAUUUUUUAAAAUUAAAACCAGUCCAAACGGAACGGAACGGUUCAGAUCGAUUUUCUCUAGUGCACGGUUUUUUUGCCCACCCCUAAAUAUGAGAUUCUCUACCACUCCAAUUUAUCCCAUUGUUAGCAAUCCUAUUAGAUGUUUUAUAUCCUAUUUUUAUUAUGCUCCCCAAACAAAUAUGUUUCACCUAAAGGUGCCCAACGGGCUACACCGUCCGUCUGAAUGAGCGCACGAGAGGCUCCACAGGCGUGUCUGAUAUGCUCUUUCAAGUCUACAUACCUAACGUUCUUUUUUUAAGUGCAUAUAUAUUUUUUAAAGCUCAUGUGAAAUUCAGUAGUAAGAGAAUGCAAUACUAGUUAAUAAGUUAGAGCCUACAAAAUAAUAAUAAUAAUAAUAAAAUUUUCUCUAAGGGUUAACAUUUUAUUGUUAACUUGAAUUUAUAUACAGUUAUCGAUUAUAGUCCAUAAUAAUAUUAAUACUUACAAGUUUCAAAUUAAAAUUUAAUAAUUAACAUUUCAUUAACACAACUAUAUUAUCUAAUUUUGCAAUAACCAAUUAUAAUACAACAAUACAUAAUUAUAAUUUCAUAGACCAUGGUAAUAAAAUCUCUACGUUAAUGAAAAAUUUUAUUUUGAUAUAUGUUGGUCUGCUUGCUAUUGAUGGCCGAUGGUCGUAUGCUAGCCUGCUAAUGAAACGUGUUUAUUAUUGGUUUUUUAACAUGUCUUGCUUUACCACAUCUCUAAUCAAAUUGUGCUCUUAAAAUCCAUAGCCUAACCUAGCCUCUGUGUGUAUCCUGCCGUGCCAUACUAUACAAACAUGUAUCUGGUACCAUGCCACGUACCGGUCGGCCCUUAGCCAUCUCUAGUUUCACCCCUAAAUAAAAUCUAAACGGCUACUGGCAAGUGAGAAAACUUGUUAUUCUUUAUUUUGAAAAUAAAGGGAAUUGGCGAAUUGCUUAGUUUGAUAUUGUUUUUGGUAAGUCAUUUUUUGUUUUGAAACAUUUUUCUGAGAUGUUGUUGUAUUUGGUGAAAAAUAAAUUAUUUUAUUUUAUACUUUUAAUGAAGAAAAGUAGAGAAAAACAUUUUGUUGUUUUCGACAACAUUUGCCUUAUAAGUGCACCCGUGCCACUUUUUUCUUGUUUUAUUUGUAUGAUAAUUAUCAUGGACCCACGUAACUUUCUUUUGCAUUUAAAAUUUCAUAAUAAAUUAAAUUAGACAAAAGAAAAGAGUCCCACAAAUAAUUUAUUUUAUAAUUUUUUAAAUAAUACUAUUUUAAAAUAAAUUAUCAAAACAAAUUUCAUAUUCACUAAAAUUAAUCAUAUUCAUAUUAUAAAAUUAAUAUAAAAACAAUAUCUGAAAAGUAAUGCUAAAUACACUGUUAAAUUUUAUAAACGGCAUUAGAAUUGAUGAACAAUCUGACAAAGAUGCUGCGAUUUAAGUAGGGAUGACAAUUAAAGCCGUAUUUGAAAAAUUUCGUCUCCAAAUUAAAAAAUAUGGAUUCGGAUAUGGAAAUUUGGAAUUCACAUAGAUCCAUAUAAAUUUUAUUUUAAAUUAAAAAUAUAUAUUAAAAAUUAAAUGAAAAAUUAAAAAAUAAAUUUUAUUUGUGAUUUUAUGAUGUUGUUGUAUAUUAUUCAUGUUGAAUUAUUAAUGGUUGGAUUAUGAUUGAAUUUUAUUUGAUAUUAUUAGGUAAAUUAUUAAUUUUUAUUUAAAAUAAAAAAUAUAUAUUAAAAAUUAAAUAAAAAUAAAAAAUUAUAUUUUAUUUGUAGAUUUAUGAGAUUAUUGUAUGUUAUUCAUGUUGAAUUAUUAAUUGUUGAAUUAUGAGUGAAUUUUAUUUGAUAUUAUUAGAAAAAUUAUUGAACUUUUAAAUUAUAUAUUAAAUUAUUUAAUUUUAAUUUUUACGGAUCUGGAUAUCCAGAAUAUCCUCCGGUAUCCGUUGCGGAUAUUACCCGCUUCUGGAUCCGCAUUUUUUUAUACAAAUUCAGAUAAAAUAUGAAUGCGAAUCCGAAUCUGGAUUUUACCAACCUUGAACCUAAGCAUGAAUGGGCCUAAAGUUUUUACAACAAACAUGGAUCAUUCAAUGACACGAGAUGUUUUACAGCUCUCACUAGUAUAAUUAAAUAAUUAAUUCAUCUCUAUAUUCAACUUACUCCGUCUCAAAUUGCAUGCAAAUACGAAAAUACACUUCUGAAUCGUUCACUUGAGGAAAAUUCCAAAUUCUCCACGUAGAAUUUAGAUUCAAACCAUAGCAAAUUAGACAUAAUUCUAAUUUAUAUGGGAAAUAUAAUUAGCGAAGACACUCUUUAUAUAAACAUUAUUGUCAUAGGAUGCCAAACCUAAUAAGAUUCAAGAUCUUAACAUACUUCAUAUGAAAUUUGAUCUUGACGCGUACCGACAGGCAUAACAUCAAGACUCUACUUCAUAUAUUAUAAUGUAACUUCAUGGAUUUUUCGCUCUCUUGGGGGUCUAUCGUUUGUUUGCAAACUUUUCCAUUUUAAAUUGACAAUUAUAGGCGCUCUCUUGUGGUACAUAAAAUAAACGUUUAUUUUUAGAAUAUUAUUAUUUAUCUCAAUUUUUUAUUUAAUAGUUAAUUUUAACCAAUUCUUAAACUGUCAUAAUCAAUUAAUUUUUUACAUUAUGGCGUCUUAAAUAAAUUUUGGAUCUGUAAUAAAUAAAAACUGGUAACGUUUGUUCUUUUAAAACAUAAAACAACCGUAACAUUGGUUUUUACAUUUUGAAUUUUUCUUGCAUCACUAUUUAGAAAAAUGAUGUUAAAUCAACUCACAAAAUAUAUCAAGCCAUCUAAAAUCCAAAUAUUAUUACAUUUGUAUUGCAUUGUUAAAUUGUUGGAACGACGGCAAAGCAAUUGAAAAGAUAUUAACAAAAAAAUAAAGAUUGGCCAAGGAUUAUUCAUGUUUAGGAAAUGCCUUAACUUUUGAUAUAAUCAUUGUUAUAAUUAUAUUGUAGAAAUAAUCAAUUACCUAAUGUUUGUGGUGGUAAAUAUUAUUAACUUGUUUUACUAUACCCGUGUUUAUGCUGGUCUCCUUUUUGUCCAUUUCUGUACAACGAAAUAUUUGCAUGUGUUGAUAGAAAUUGGUUUAAAUGACAUUUAAAAUAGUAUAUCCCCAGACAAUUAACGAAAUAUUUGGAUGGUAGGAUGAAGUAAUAAAUAGUUUUACAAAUUACCAUAUUAGAGGUAAAAAAAAUUCGAGAGGUUACUUGACAAUUAUGACGUUACUAACUACAAAUUUAACACAAAAAGUUUAAUUAACUUUUCUUUUUGAGAUGGCAAAAUCUCUGGUGUUGAAAACAAUGAGGUUUGAGGUUCAAGCUUGAAUAUCAAGUUACAAUUAAUAGAUGGUCUUAGGACAUAUCAAAGAUUUCUUUAAAGACAAAAUAAUAAUUACAAGCAAUAGGAAUUUAUGGUAUUCAGAACAUUUAUAUCUUCGCACAUGAAGCUUGAAUCCAGAACAAGAUGCAGCUAGCCAAUCCUUCCAAAACCCCACAAAACCUCUGUCAACAUAUCUGCUCUACUUCAAUAUUAAGCACAUUCAUAGCGGUAUCAACAGCUUACAGCGCCAAAAUAUUUUCCCCAAAAAGAGUGAGAGAUUUCACUGAAGCUAAGUUGUGACUUGUGACUGCCCAAAUGUUCUAUAACACGAUAUGAUUAUUCUAGUAACACAAAUCCAAUAGCAUGCAACAUAAUCUACUCUCUAACAUUGUGCAUUAGUAAAAUAAAACAGAGUAAAAAGAGAAACCAUGCCUGUGAAUCUCUUCUUUUCCCCCUGCCACCCCUUUUUUUGGUGAAGUCCAUCAAAUGAAAAUGCAGCAUGACCACGUUGGCCACUGCCACUGCCAUUACUUCUUCAACUGUGCCUUUUGUUGCAAGAAAUAUUCAAGUGAAAGAUUGGAUUAUAUAAUUCAAGAUUCCAAUAGACCUGAGCUGCAAAGGUUGCCUUCCACUAGCCUAUCAGAGACUAUGCUUUCUAUUUUCCUAGUUUGUUAAUCAAAAUUUUAUAAGAUUUAUUUAUGGAAAUCUUGGACAAAAUUUUACGUAAGAUACCACAAAGCCAAAUGCAAUCAUUGUAAUUCUCAGCAGCAACAUUUAAAGUGAAAAAUGGAAGCCAUAUAAACAUAACUAUGUUUGCUACGAGGAACAAUUAUUUCAAGCUUUCAGAAAUGCUAGCAAGAAAUUGUAAGAGAACUUUACCUAGUCACAGAAUAUGUCAAACAUACUACCACCGUCUUUAGCACGAUUGUUAUGGAAGUAGCUUUUGAAUCGGAAGAUUCCAGCUUCCACCAGGCACCAUUUUUUUCAUUUUUGAUACAAUCUGCAUCACUGGCAUUAGUUAUACCAUCAACAUUUGCAUCCUCACUCUCAUCAUCCCAAUCAAGGCUUCUUCUCCAGCUCUGGAUUAUAAGUCCACUCCGACAUCUUCGAACACCUCGGUCCUUCCAUUUGCCAACAACCGAUAUGGCUUCCUUCCUUGCCUUCCCCAUUAAUAUAUCACUCGAAGGCAAAAAAAGCAUCAGCAAUUCUCUUCAACGCCUCAUCGUUUAUAACCCCCCAAAAAAAGGGUCUUCAGACACCUCAACUUUGCCUUCUGCAAAACCUCCACAAAAUCUGAAUUAUCCAACACAACAGCCAGACACUCAAUCCUUCUUUUGUCCAUCAUAUCCACCGUAUGAUUCCUCAACAAAAUAUCUACAGCUUGUGGCUUUUCUAACACUGUCUUGAUCCAAAACCCUGCUCUUUUCAACUCAUCUGCCAAACCAUAACCCACUUUUGGAGUCAAAAUUGUCCUUGCAGCCCUUUUAUAUUUUUCCAUCUCCAUCGAAUACUUGCCACUCAAAUCGAAUUACCAGACAGGAAUCCCAGUAACAAGUCCACUCAACUUCUUCUCAUCUGAUCCCUCUUUCACUCUGGCGGAAACAUUAAUAACCAUUCACCAGCCACAAAUUACCCAAGUAAGUAUUCGUGUCGUCAACACUUACCCUUCACUUCAUCUACGCAAACAAGAAUUCAAAUUGCUUAUUAGCUAGUGCUCGAGCGAAAGCCAAAAUAAAUUAAAUAUGUGUGUGUGUGUGUUAAAAGAGAAACGGUAGCGAAGUUAUUACACAAUAAAGCAAACCAAAAUAAAUUCUACACUCAUGUGGGUGUUUCGCUCGCAAAAUCUGGACAAGAAAAAAUAAUAUUGAUACAAUCUCCAAAUAAAGAGCAUUCCUCUUGGUAAAAUAGACAAAUCCUAUAAAUUUUGAUUAAUGGUGCCAAAUGAAAGAGUUGUAAUUUCAUGUACAUUUUGUUAACAUGAAUAAGGGUACAAAAUAGAUAACAAAGUGACAAAAACAAAGCUAAUCACAAUGAAUGAUAAGGUUUAGAGUAAACAUAAAGUUAUAAUCUUGAACAUAAGUGGCGCUCAAAGCCAUGAAUUUGAUAUCAUCCAUGAGGGGAGUUCAAACAACACCAUGUAAGAAGCAACAAGUGUUGAGAAAAAAAAAAUUCAUUCUAACACAACAGAAUAAAUUGUAAAGAAAUCCCAGUUUGUAUAAAAGAAAGAAAACAAAAUUAAGGAAAACAUAAGCACAACAAAAUUUGACUGAUUAUUAAAAAUGAGAAAUGAGUUAUAAUGAGAAUUUUGGCUUUGUGGUGAAAUAAAUUGGGAAGUAUCAAAGUUUGCAUGUAAAUAAUAUAAAUGAUAAGAAGACGAAGGGAACAAAAUGAUAAUAAGAAUGCCAAAUAUUAAAAUGCAGAUUCUACGCUUCCGCCCCCCCAUACUUCAAGUUAGUGUCUCGCUAAUCAUUUUAGAUGUAUCAAUUACAAAGGGAGGCCAUCUAUUUAUAGUAAGUGUACGCCUCUAAUGCUUUGCCAAGUGUCCAUUGAUAAUAUCACAAGGGAAAUUAAAUUGGUGUAUGUGUAUUACACCUCCUAAAGUCAUGUUAAGAUAGUGUGCUGAUAAAGUUUGUUGCACGUAUGAGUUGGUUAAGUCUGCUAGAAAUGCAAACGUGUAAAGCUUAGUUAGUUAAGGUUGUUACGAAUGCUUAGAUUCAGUUCACGUGUAUUGUAUGUAAUGCUUAGAUUCAGGUCAUGUAGAUUGUGUAUACAACUUUCUUAUAUUCUUUAGAUCUCAAUAUAAAUACUUGUAAUCAACAAAUACAAUAAUAAGAGUCAUCAUUCUUCAUUUUCUCUCUGUUUCUCUCAUAUUUUCUCUGCAUCCAAACACAAUAUUCUCAGUUCUUGACUUGGUAUCAGAGUUGCAGUUUAAUUGUCAUGGCUUCCUUCCUUAAGCACAAAUUCAAACAUAAAUCAGUCUCCUUCAUUCUUUACCCUCACAAAUGCGAUCAAACUGGACAGAUCUAACUAUACGAUCUGGAAAUCUCAGAUCCUCUCUUCAAUUCGUGCCAAUGGACUUGAAGGCUUUCUUAAUGAAACUAAAUUUUUUCCAGAUCAGUUACUUACUCAAGAGAUUGAAAGUUAUGGUGUUGAAAAUGUUGUUGGUGAAAGCUCAGCUGAUAGAUCUCAGGAGAAUCCAGCCUUUGUUGCUUGGAAAAGGUAGGAUCAAUUGUUAUUAAGUUGGCUCAUGUCCUCCAUCAGUGUUGAGAUACUUAGUCUUGUGGUAAAUUCUGAUUCUUCUAAUAAACUUUAGACUAAUCUUGAAGAAAAUUUUUGUAUUAGAAACUAUGGCUAAGAAAGCACACUUAAAAAUGAUGUUAAGCAAUCUCAGAAAGGGAUCAAUGACAAUAACUGAGUAUUUUGCCAAACUUAGAGCUGUAACUAAUAAACUUGCUCUAACUGGUAGCCCUGUUUCUACUCUAGACUUUAUUACUCAUCUAAUCUCUAGAUUAGGCCAGCCAUACUACCCUGUUGUUUUGUAUAUUGAAGCUAAUAUGAUGAAAAUAUUUGUCAAUGAAGCCUAUUCUAUGCUUUUAACUCAUGAAGCAAGAAUUAAAUUUAAUCAUCCGAGUGCAAAUAAAGAAGCAAAGUUGAAUUAUGCUGCUAACAUAGCUUAGGCUGGACCUAGUAAUAACAAUAAGAAGUCUAGUAAUCAAGCUAAUUACUAUCAGGGCAACCAAGGUAACUGGAAUAGAAAUGCUAAUUGGUGUGGUAACAAUGGAGGAAGAGGUGGCUUUGGCAGAGGUUUUUCAGGGCAAGGAAGGGGUAAUUAGAAUAAUGGUGGUCAUUGGAACAAUGGACCUUGGAGUAGUAGUCGAGCAGGUUAUAAUUGUUCUGAUAUAAACAUUAUGACAUGGUUGCUGGUGAACCUGUAAACAUAACCACAAAAGUAAGAAGGCAUAAUCUUUUUAUAAGAAACUCAAAAAUGUAUUAAUGAUGAAAAUUUUAAAACAGAUAGUGGACCAACUGUUCACUAGGAAAACAAAAAACUGAAUAUUUGUGCUAUAAAAAGGUCACACCCAAUCUCACCCCUAUAAAAGGCUAGAAUCAGCUACAAAUCCCUAUCUCAAAACCCCAUCCCAGUUUAGAUGAAUGAAGAAAAAAGAUGAAUCUUGAAACUCCUUAGAAACUGAAGCCCAAAGUGAAGCAAGAAGAUGAACUCUAUCCCAAGCAAGCAAUAUGGCAUAUUUCUCCAUUAAUGGUUCAAAUAAAGUGAAUGGCUUUCUCUGAUGAAUGGGAAAUUGUCAAGAUCAAUAGUCAAACUCACGCAAAGUAAACGGACUUAAUUCUCAGGGGCUACUCAUUCUAAGUCUUAAAGAAUUUUUUUCUAAUUUCUAAAGAUAAUAUGGGGAAAAAUCAUUAUUUUCUAACAUGAAAAAUUUGAUAUAGUGUUUAAUGUCUGACCACAAUGAUAAUAUGAGUACUAACAAAAACAUCUUUUAUCAGCAUGUGCGAGUAAAACACCUUUGCAAUCCAUAAAUGUAAGACGCCGCCUGGAGACUGGAGUCAUCGAAUUUUAUAUGUCAAAAGCGCGUUUCAGUUCAAUAAGCCAUAAAUGUCGUUUAAUAUGCUCAUUUUGUACUUUUUAUAUAAAAAAAAUUAUUUAUUUUUUUUAAUAUUGUUUAUUUAUUUAAAUUUUUUUUAAAGCUAAAGAGGUGGGUAACAUCUAAAUUCAAUUUUUAUCCCUUAUGUCCUGACCCUAAGAUUUGAACUAAGGUGAAUAGCCAAAUGUAUAAUAACAGGUAUUUCGAAUUUCAUUUUAAAUGAUAUGCAAUUCAUUAAGUGAUUGUUAAUUUUUUAUAAGAUCAAAAUGAAUUAAUUGUAUUAUCUUACUAACUAAUUGAUGAGUGCCCUAUUAUUUGGGAUAACUUUUGAAUAAAAAAAUUUUGAUGGAUGAAAUAUUCUUUUGAGAAUUUAUUGACUUAUCUCAUUUAUGACUUAUUGUUGCAUUUAAGUGAUAUUGCAAAAAUUAUUUUGCAAUAAUAUUAUUGUUUUGACGAGUAAGUUUGGAGUAAAUAAUACAUAUGGCAAGUAAGAGGUUCGUUAUUGCAUUUAUUUUGCGGACCUAUUUUAAAGCCAAAAAAAGACAUUUCGAUUCAUUAUGAUUCCAAAUAAUUUCAAGCCAUAUGUCAUUAUUGGGAUAAAAAUAAAGUAAAAUGGUUAAAACUAUUUUUAUGUAAUUUAUAAAAAUUAAUGAAGCAACUGCACAAUUUUUUAACACGAAAAACAAUUGAAAUGUGUGUGGAAAAAGAAGAAAAAAAGAAGGCAUUUAAAUAUCUUUAAAAAAAAUAUGAUUGAGUAAAAUCAUUUUACAGAAUGCUCUUCCAAAUGCAAUUCCACUUUUUUUUUUAAUUGCAUUGGGAUAUUCCAAAAUUGGCACAAUUCAUUAAGAAUUCGGCAACUCAAAUUUUAUUUAUCUCUCUAUGCAUUUGACAAAUUAAAAAGAAAAAAAAAAUCAUAUAUCUUCUGUUCAAAAGAAACCUUGGUAAAUAUUGUAAAACAAAUUACCAAUUUUUUUAAUUUAUGCCAUUAUAUCGUCGCUAUUUUCUCGCCCACUUUCUAUCAAAUGAAAAUGUAAUUAUAUGGUUCAGGAUACCAAUAUGCCGGAGCUGCAAAGGUUGACUUCCACUAUGCUAUCAAUGUCUAUACUUUCUAUUGAAUUUCCUUGUUUUUUUUUUAAAUUGCGAGAUUUAUUUUUGGAAAUCUUUGACACAUUUUAUGUAAGAUACCAUAAAGCCAAAUACAACCUUUUUUAUUCUCAGCAGCAACUUUUUUUUUUCCUUUUAAAAAAAGGAAGCCAUAUAAAUAAUGCUUAAAACAUUAUUUGCAACAAGGAACAAUUAUUUCAUGCUUUCACAGAAUAUGUACUGCUGUUAGCCCGAUUGUUAUGAAGUGGCUUCUGCAUCAGAAGAUUCCAGCUCCCACCAAGCAUUGUUAUCUCUAUUCUAAAUACAAUCUACAUCGCUGGGCAUGAGUUAUAUCAUUAAUGUCUACAUCCUCACUUACAUCAUCCCAAUCAAGUGCUUUUUCUCCACAUCUGGAUUAUAAGCCCACUCCAAUCUCUUCAAAACAUCCCAGUCCUUCCAUCACAACUGAUACGACUUCCUUCCUUACUUCCCCAUUAAUAAAUCGCUCCGAGAAAAAAAAAAAAAAAAAAAAAAAAAAAGCAUUAGCAAUUCUCUUCAACGCCCCAUCAUUCAUAUCCCCUACAACAACCAUCUUCAGACACCUCAACGUUGCCUCUUGAAAGACCUCCACAAAAUCCAAAUCAUCCGACACAACCACCAAACACCCAAACCUUCUCUUGUCCACCAUAUCCACCAUAUAAUUCCUCAACAAAACAUCGGCAUCUUGUGGCUUAUCUAACACCAUCCUGACCCAAAACCAUGCUCUUUUUAACUCAUCUGCAAAACCAUAACCCACUUUUGGAGUCAAAAUUGCGCUUGCAGCCAUUUUAUAUUUUUCCAUCUUUGUUGAAUAGUUGCCAACCAAAAGCACUCUCACCUUCCCUCUAGCUGAUUCUAUUUGAUUCGACCUUUUCUUUUAUUCGCCCUCAUGAAUUUGCUUAGAAUGAUUAACAAGCUUGUCAUUAUUAUAAAAUCUCCUUCCACAAUCACCAAUACAUACGGCUUAGCAGGCCUAAUUACACCCUUGAUUUCUAAUUGGUUAAACAAUUCUCUUUCUUUCUUUGCUCUCUUACAACUUGAGGCACAUAACUAAACUCGUGGCUAUUAGCAUUUGCCACCAUGUAUUUAACAAUCCCAAAUGAAGAUAUUGAUUUUUUUCAGUUUAAUUGCUGCUUCAAAACGGGGUACUGAAUUUGGAUUUUGUUAUCCAAAUACCAAAAAUUUCCCACAUUGUGUUGGACAGUUUUUGGUUCUAAAGUUGAUGACUGGUUUUGCGAAUCAGGCUUCAAAUGAGAACUUCUAAACAAUAAGACAAAUGGGUUUUUGAGUUUCUAAUCUUGUAAACUUUGUUCUAUUGUAUAAGUUAUGAAAUCGCUGAAACAUCACUACAGCUACAGGUCUUUAUGUGUCAAUGAACUGCAGAAGCUGAUGAUCUACCUGUAGCAGACUUCUAUUGUCCCUGCCGUUCUAGGAAGACAAACAAGUUCAGGAACUACUUCUGGACCAAACUCAUAAUAUUGUCACUGCUUUGUGACAAUCUGAGAGGGAAAGCAUAUUGAAGUUCCUAAAUAAGGCACAUCAUGAUUUGACAGAAGUACCACUAUGAGGAACAAUUGAUUUCAGGAAAGCACUAAAAUAUGACAUAAUCUGCCCCUAAUGGUCUAAAGUAGUCAAGAAAUUAUAUCAACCAAGCAAAAACACAUAUACUAGUUGAGAUACAAAGUUAUUGUAAAAGUCAAUUUUGAUCACAAAUCCAUUAAAAUUAAAAGACAUCAGAAAGUUAGAGAACAUUAUAAUUUAGGACUCAGCUAAGUUGCAGAUUCUGUAACUAACAGCUGAGUCCACAUUGGUCUUGCAUCAGCUGAGUUUGGGUUGCUUUUCCUCUCUCCUGCAACGCGUACGUGGAAGCGCCCCAUUUGUUGUGUUAUAUACCGAGUCGGUACCGUAACAAGCUCCUAUAAUUUAAGUUUGAUUACUGUAGACAAUAGUCUGCCUCUGCUCAAAAGCUAUGCUGCAAGAUCUAACAUCUUUGCAAUGUUAUACUUUCUAAAAGUAAUAAGAAAUGAAACCAAGGGGUAAAUCGAACACCAAAAGAAAUUUAGUCGGGAAACCACAUUAUGUUCCCACACAGUCCACUAAUUAAGUUAAUAAUUAAAGGGAAUCAAAAUCUAAGAAAUCUCAUCUUCAAGCAGAAUACAAACACACCGCGAUUGAAAAUCACAAAUUCAUAAAAAGAAGCUGACUUGAAAAGCUCAAAUAUACGUUCAUCAGCCUCUCAACUUAUAUCUAAGAACAAAUGCCUGCAGCCUGUGAAGACAUAGAUAAUUGAAGCUGAUGAGGCAUAUUUAACAGAUGAUAAUCAAAACUCGUGUGGUUAAAAUUACAAUUCAAUAAUGGAGCACAUAAAACAACAACUAGUUGUAUAUAUACCAAACAACUUUCUGAAGUUAAGCCGUAAAACAAAAACAUAGAACAAAUUAAUUAAAUAUACCAGCACCAAUACUCUUAUUAUUAUCCACAUAGAAAAGAACAAUGUAUCAAACAAGGAAAAUGAAAUAUUGUUAAUAACUCAAAAACCACUAGUGUCAAGAACUAGACUAAUAAGUGAAACCCAUAAUCAGACACAACCACAUCAAAAUCUUUGAAAAUUGAGAUCUUUGAAAAUUGAGGUCUAAACAUUGAAAACAAUUAGACAUAUAUAACAGUCAAUCGAAACAAAGCCUCAAAAUAAUAAUGAACUACAAUAAGACAGAAACUAAAUUGUAAACAACCGCAUACCCAGUAACAGUAAUCAAGUAACAAGUCAAAACCAGAAUCAAACGUAGAAUUUUGAAAUCCAUACGAACUCUAACGUAUUAGAAUGAAAGAAUAAGGACGAUCGAUAAACUAGACUCAAACAAAAACAUGCCCAGUUAAAAAAUGAAGGUAAAUAAAUAAAAAUGGUAUAAAACUACGAAAAAAAUUAAUGAAAUGAAGAGAAAAUCACAGGAAUCCUAUGAAGAGGAAGGUAAACGAAACCUUCGGGACCCGAGAAGAUGCCUUUUUUGUUGACGUUUGUGCCUAUACAUAUAUAUAUUUUUUUAUUUUGAAGAAAGUAUUGGUUAACAAAACGAAAUAUUAAUAAUAGAUGCUGGCAAUUUCAACAAGGACAAUCUUCGAUUCAAAUGUACCCCUAUGAUAAAGAAAAAUCUUGAGCACCACAUUACAAGAUCUAGGUGUAUGUAACCAUGCAAAAUGAAACAUCUAUUAAUUGUAAGUCCCUUGACCUCUGGAACCAGCCAACCGGUCUCUUUCCUACUAGACAACCUUCCAUGGAUCAGACUAAUAAUAUUUACUAAAUCAUGUUCUACAGUUAAUGAAGUUGGACCCAAGGCAAUUGUUAGAAGUCCGCCUAGACAUAGAGUGCGCUUAGAAGUGGGAUGCUUAGAAAUGGACCGCCAACACAACCAGCCAACCGUAGUGUGCUUAGCAAAUCACCCAAGCCCGGCCCAAGAUCUAGAACUAUCUACAAAUUGUGAAUAAGUUAAAAGUUUCUAAGUUUCUCCACAUAGGUCCCUAGGAUAUUUAUGGAAGUUGCUAGGAAGUUUCCUCCCCUAGAACUCUAAUACCUAUAAAUAGGGGUGAGCCCCCUCAUUUGCCCACCAAUCACACCACACACACAAACACUCCUGCACACACACAAGCUCUCUAGCUUUUGUAAAAAGCACUCUUGUAUAUUCUCUCUUUGAGAGUAAUAAAAUCAUAUUCAGCCAUAUUGCUCUACUUCUCUCUACCAUUUUCCGCAAGUGUUCUUGCUUCGCUAGUUUGAGGAGUGUUCUAGGCUUGCUUUGCAACUUGUUUGCUACAAGGACAUCUUGUUCACAAAACAUGGACAUGCAAGGAAAAAAAAAUAUUGAUACAUUCUAAAAAUAAUACGCAUUCUUCUACAGUGAACCAAAAAAUUUAGGCUAAUGGUAGCAAGUGAAGGAAUUGUGAUUUCACGUGCAUUUUGUUGACAUGAACGUAAAGAAAUUUUUUAUAGUUUAUAUUGUUUAAUAUAACAUUUGAAUUGCAAAAUAGGGGUACAAAAUGGAUACACGAAGUGAUAAAACUAAGCUCAUUAUGAUAAAUAUUGAAUUAUAAGAUUUACGUUUAAUCAUAAAGACAUAAGUGGCGCACAAAGUCACGAAUUAUCAUCCAUGAUGCAAGUUCAAAUAACUACAUAAUAAGUUGCCCCAAGCUAAACUAUUAAUCUAGUAACUAUUCCAGUCAAUGUGGGAUAAUUUUCCUAUCACCAUCUAUCACGUGCAAGCCGAAUUUGUUGCUUGGUCCUUACAUGUGGUAAGGUAAUAUGAAUCCACUUGUGCAUAAAUUUGCCUCCGAUAUUAUAUAGAAGCCUAUGACCCAAAAUUAUACUUAAAGGUUAUUUCAAGAUUUGAGGGUUGCCUCAAGCUAAUAUUAUUAUUAGCCUGGUAACCUUUUUUUUUUGUUGAUAUGUGAUAUUUUCCGUAUAACUUUUAUUAAUCUUUAUGCUUAUGUUUUGUCAUUUAUCCCAAAAUAUAACAUUAACAAAAGUUCCAAAAUUUCCUUCAAGAGAUAUAUUUGAGACAAGUAAUUUGUGCAAUAACUUUGUGAAUUGAUGAGCAAAUUCAGAGAAAAGAAUAUAUGUGCCAAACGUAACGUUUAUUAUUGUGUUUAUUUGUAGAGCUAUUUAAAGCCCAAAAAAAAAAAGCACCGGUCCGCUGUGAUUUCAAAUAAGUUCAAGCCCUAUGUCAUUAUUGGUACAAAAAUGUAUCAGAAAGAUUAAAAACUAUUUUUAUUUAACUUAUAAACUUAGGAAAUUAUCAAUUGUCCGCCCUUAAAUUGCGCUAUUAUAAAAAAUAUUACAAUAUUUUCAGGUUGUAUAAUUCAUCUACCAUAAAUUUACAAUCUGCAUCAUUUAUCCACCAAAUCAUUAACUUCGUUAAAAAGUGAUAGACGUCACAAGGGUAAUUUAGACAUUUAACACAAAAAAAAAUAAAAGAGAAAUUAUCUAAGCUUACCAUGUUAUCAAAAUUGCUACAAAAUUUUAAAUUUGUUCAAUUUUCCAAUCUAAGUUUAUGACCUCCAAGAUGUUAAUUGCAGUUUGUAAUUAAUGAGUUCAUAAGGAUAAUUUAGACACUCAAUAUGCAAAAUAAAAAUAAACUAAUGGCUUAAAACAUUAAAACAAAAAACUACUUUUUAUAAUUGAUAUUCAAUUAAAUACACAUAAACUCUAUUUUUUUCUUAAUUAAAAAUAUUCUAAUUUAUUUUCUCAAUUUAUCAUCAUAAAUUUACAUUAAUAAACUAAAUCCACAAAUUACCCUAAACCCUAAUUCAUAAAUGCCCAAUCAAUCUAAUAGUUUAAUUCGAUUUCAUAAUUAAAAAAGCUAAAUUUAUUAUAUUAGUUAUGGUGCAAAGUAAACAAAUGCCCUUAAAUUCAAGGGUAAAAUAACAUUUUAUUUAAAUUCUAUAAAUUAUUCUAACAAUGUUAACAUUUUGGUGGACGGCUAAUAUAAGUUACAAACUUAAAAUAGAAAAUCAAAUAAAUUCAAAAUUUCAAACUAUUUAGGGCAAAUUUAGGAUAUAUGGUUAAUAAUUUUCCCAUGUCUUUUUACAUUGGUUGAUAUAAAUUACAAACUUAAAAUAGAAAAUCAAAUAAAUUUAUAUUUUCAAACUAUUUAGGACAAACUUAGGGUAUAUGGUUAAUAAUUUUCUUUUAUCUUUUUACGUUAAAUUGAGUUUCAAAUGUAAAAUGGUCAAUUUAUUAUAACUCUGUUAAUUUUUUAGUGGAAGCAAACGAUAUAAUGGACGAAUGAUAUAAAUUGUAAAAUUAAGGUGGAUGAAUGAUACAACUUUAAAGUAUUGUAGUAAUUUUAAUAAUAGAACAAUUUAAGGGUGGAUUGGCAAUAAUUUAAACUUUAAUGAAGCAACUAAAAAAAAUUUUAACAAAAGAAAAAUAAUUGAAAUGCUUUAAGAAAAAUAAAGGAAAAUAAAUAUCUUUAUAAAAACAUAAUUGAGUAAAAUCAUUUUACAAAAUGCUCUUUCAAAUGCACAUUCCACAAGCCAGGGAGAACGGGUGGCUAACAAAAAUCUCACUUUUUAUGAGUUGAUAAAAUCUCACUUUUGCAGAAUCCAAAAAUAACCAAUACUAAUCACACAAAAAAAUAAAAAUUAUUGCUGUCACGACAUUACACACUUUCUUCGCUGUCUAGAAAGGUAGAACAUUUUGAUGUUCCUCAAUACAAAAUGGGUGCUACUACUAAAUUGGCACGAUUAAUGCCCAUCGAAAAGGCCAUCAAUUUAGCCAGCAAUUUUGUCAAAAUUUCAACAAUUGAAGAAAUCUUGAGAUACAUACAACAAAGUCUUGAAACUUUAGUCUUCACAAUUUGAGCACGCACUAAAUAUUAACCAUCCAUCUGCAGAGCAAGUAUAGAACAAAGCUUGAACUGAACACGCUGAACACAGCUUUUUUUUUUUUGGAUUUUUAGAAUUUUUUAAAGUCAUUUAUGUUCGCUGCCAUCUUUUUCUUUGCUGGCAUCUUCAUUGGCAUCCAACCAAUAAAUUGGGCAUUAAAUACGAAUGAUGAAUAAAAUGAUUAAAAAAAAACAAACAGACCUUUCAAAAAAAAAAAAAACAGAGAAAAUUAUAAUAUAACACAUAUAUAUUGAAAGAGAAAUUUUGAUUUUAGGAUAGAUCAAUUAGCUAUCACAAACGAAAACAUGAACCAACUAUGUAUAGAGUCAAUUAACUAAAGUUCUCAAGAGUUGACCUGUGCUCCAGAAUUCUUGGAAUCAUCUAUCUCCUGAACUUGGACGAAGCUUGGGACAAUUACGAACAUCUUCAUCGGAUGCAGAUGGAAACGGGAUCUGAUAACCCGCAGGCCAAAAGUUGGUGAGGUUUGGUAAAUCUCUCAGUAUCAAGCCCCGAAGUUCAUUCAUAACAAUUUCAUUGUAAUCCGUGACGUCUGUUCCAUCUUUAUGCCAGAAUACUUCUUCUAAUUCAUCAUUACCUACUAUGUAUAGGCAAUCCAGUUUUUGAAGACUUGGAGCUACGCUGAUAUGAAAUAGAUGCUUUAGUUUGGGGCAAUAACGGACAGAGAUCCUUUUGAGUUUUGGGAAACAUACAGGUUGGAGAUGAUCCUCAUCCUCAUCAAUGAUUUGCUCUAAUUCCAAGCAAUUCGAAACAGAUAACACCUCCAAUUGCAACAGAUUUCGAGCAAGUGUUGAUGAGAAGAGACGUCUCAGCAUAGUGCACCCGUCCACUCUUAAAUAGGUAAGACUUUGCAGGCUAAAAUUAUGGGUGGGACCUUCAUGAUAUAAUAAUACUUGCAGUUCUGGAAGAUCUUCCAAUUGCAACGACUUCAAACAUGGGAAAAGUUUGUUUUCUUGUCCAUCAGCGAUAAUAGCUUCCAACUGAAAUACCACCUGUACUCCAAUUUCCCUAAUAUGCAAUUCUUCCAAAUUUUUUAAUCCGUGCUUCAACAGUGCUGGAAUCGUGUCACUCAAAUGGGAACAAUUGUCCACAUCUAGAGUAUUUAAGUUCUGAGACAAAUAAAUAAAUAACUUGAUGCAAUUAAAAUCUAUUAGCAGCUAGGAUUAUCACAUGAUAAGUGAUGAACACCGCAAAAAACAAAAACAGAAAACAAAAUCCAUACAAAAAUAUCAUAAUACAUAUGUAAACUAAUAAAAUAAUUAAAAAGUAAUGGAUUUAAAAAAAAAUGAAAUUAGUUAAAAGAGAUCAUGUGAAGUGAUAUAAAUGUGACAUUAGAUUGUUUUAGAAAAAUUAUUAUUCUAUUAAUUUAUAUGGCUUGAUCAACUAUUUUAUUGAAUUUGAAUAAUAUUAUAUACACUUCAGAAGUAUUUGCAUCAAUUCUUUCUAAACCAAAAUGAGAUAUGACUUUCAUUUGAAGAAUGAUUUUAGGCCCUAUAAUAAAGAAAUUUCUCUAAAAUAUCUUAGCAUUAUUAUUAUCACCAUCACAUCCACCACCAUCAUCAUCUCCAUAGGAUCAAAAAAUUAAUGGCUGAUCAUAAAAUUUAUUGCUAAACUAUCAUUUUGAGUAAAAUUGAAUGAAAAGAAAAAACAUGAACCCAAACAAACAUACCUCUUUGAGAUACUGUAAAUUGGCUUCAAGUUCAUUACUGUUGAUGGUCAAGUUGGGACAAUUAUGAAGGUCUAAAUUUUCCAAUGCUGUCCAAAUUGAACAAUAAUUCUCUGAACAGAACUUGGUGAGUUCUGGGAGAUCUUUAAGUUUUAAUUUUCUCAACAAAGGGAGGGCGAGCAUCGUAUUGCCAUCUCCGAAACUUAUUCCCCCUUCAUUGUGAUCAAACUUUGCUUCGACAAUAUAUUCCAGUCUCUUGCAAUAAGUCACAAUGAGACUUUUAAGCUGCUCCAAACUUCUAGCUUGUGACGACGUGAAGAUGUAUGUCAACUUGUUGCACCUAUGCACAUUCAAUUCUGUAAGAGUUUGGAGACUGAUCACAUGUUGGGCGGGCCCCUUCCAUGUCCACUUCAGUUCUGGUAAGUCCCACAUAGAUAACUCUGCUAAUCUUGAGAGACUCUUUCCAUGCGGCGACUUAGAGGCUUCCAUUAUGCAUUCUAAAUCUUCGCAAUCGCGGACAUCAAGACAAGUCAACUCAUUUAAGCCCCUUUCAUCUAUGCUUGGCACAAUAUUGUAACAACCUAUAAUCCCACUUAAAUAAAGAAUUUCCAGUUCUUGAUACAAUGCCGAAAAAAUACCGAGCGAGGUCGCUUCAGGAGGGUGGUUACCAAUCAUUAAGAUCCUUGCCUUAUCAUCAUGUUCCCUUUCAUCAUAAACUCCUUCAACUUUAUAGAUGACGUACCUUUGCAAUUUCGGGAAUGUAAAGUCUUUUGGAAGACAUACAACAGAUCUGUCGGCUUGGGAGUUCAACUCAGCAAGCCUAGCAUUACUUUCUUCUGAACUCAUCCCUUCAACCUCCCAAUCUUUUAUCCGACCAUAAAAUUCUUCCAAUUGAGGAAAUUUUUUUAUCGUAAUGGGAGAAACAGAACCAGUAUCAAUAUAUAGAAGUUUCAAUCUACCAAGUUCAUCCGACAAUUCUUCAGGAAUUUCAAUGGGAGAUGACUGGAGAUAAAGAAGUUCAAGUCUCUUCAACUUUCCAAGAAAAAACGUGUCACUCACAUCACACCGAAUCAACUGCAGAACCUGGAGGUUGGUGAGGCUCUGAAGCGAUUUAAGUGAAAGAACUCCACCUAUUAUAGUGACAACUUUCAAUGCUGGCAUCCCUUUAAAAAAAUGUUCUGGAACUUGCAAUCGGUGGUCGUAUUCAGGAUUCUCCAAUCGCAAAAUAUGAAGGUUAGGGCAUACCAAACCACUAGAAAGCUCUUAUUUUUUAUUUCCCACCAAAGAGAUUCCUCUGUAUUGUUCCAGGCCUUCUUUCAUUGCCCGUUCUGCCAAUCCAAUGCCAAAUUUACUAAAAAAUUUCUUCUCCUCUAGAACUAUUGAGCCUAUCCAUAUGGCUACAUCACGAACCAUGUCAUGCAUUUUCACAGAUCUGUCAUUACCAGUGUCUAACAGCAGUGACGCAGCUUUGAGCGCGUUAAUCGUUCCAUGCAGUCGGCUUCUGGCGUUUUCUAUUGACGGAGCACAUUGAUACCAAAUAACCCCCACUGCGUAUCCAACCAAAUCCUCCAAAUAAAUCUCAUAAUCUUCUGGAAACAGAGAACACAACAAGAAGCAUAACUUGGACUCCUCACUAUUUAAAUUGUCGUAACUGAAUUUAAGACAACCGUAAACGUCUUGGUCAUCCUUGUCAAUACCUUCUAUUGCAUAGAGUUUUGCUUCCUUUAGGUUAUUUAGUGCUAGUUUCCAUUCAUCAGAUCCUUUUUCUCUUAGUGCACUUCCAACAGCUUCAAUAGCUAAAGGCAGCCCCUUAAUUACAUUCGUCGGCAACUUGUUUUGAAACACCAUCCAAGGAGGAGUCGUUUACAUUAAUACCGGCAUUCAUUUUUAGUAGAGUCAAUCCUUCUUCUGGUGUUAUUGUACCAAGUUCAAUCUGUGGGUAACAACCGAAAGAACCACAAAUUGACUUUUUGCGAGUGGUUAGAAGGAUUUUGCAACAAUUGUCUCUAUCACCAAUGGGAAUACCUAAUUUUUUCUCCAAGUCGAGUUGUUUCCAAACAUCACCAAGGAUUAUGAGGAUUUUGCUGCUUUUACUCUCAGAAAACAUCAACCGCAAUCGAUCUGCUCUCUCUUUUUCAUCUGUCUCAUUUAACGCCCAGCCUAACGACUUUACCAGCUCACUUUGAACCUUUAUUAUAUCUGGAUCCUGAGACACAGUGACUAUCCCAACUUCAUCGAAAAUCUUUUGUUGCCGAAGUUGAUUGCCCACAAAAUUUGCCAAGGUCGUCUUCCCUACACCACCGAGACCGUGCAAUCCCACCAUCUUUGUGCUCUCUUUUUUCAGUGCUUCAGUGAUUUGAAUGCAAGCCAAAUCUGUAGCCUUGAAAGGAGAAAAAGAUCUCGGUAUAGGCAAUUCUUUGUCUGAUGGUAGAGGUUUAGGACGGGCAACUGUGCUGAAUUUGCUGCGGUCUUGUAGCAGAUCGGACAACUUGCUAGUCUUCUUUGAUGCUUUUGUACCCAGCCAGUAUCGGCAACCCCAAUUAGGACACCAUCCAUUAAGACAACUCUUCUUUUCAUCUAUCUUUGCUUUUAAAUUUCGAACGUCGGCCAUUUCUUUAUCUACAUCCUCAAGCCAUGUCUCGACAUCUUUCUCGACUACUAUAGCACGGUGUAUUUGUCGUUCUUGUUCUACUCUUUCAUUGAUGCCAUCUUUUUCCUUCUUCAAAUUGGUUUCUUUAACCUUAAGUUCUUUAUCUAUGCUGUUGAAACACAGCAGAUAACGAGCUUGGUUUAUGGUUGCAUCCACCAACAAUUCUCCAAGCCUUGAUGCAACACCUGACAAAAGUUCCAUGCUAUUUAUCUGCAAUUAAUAAAGUUGAUCUCAGUAAGCUAUAAGCAAAACAAUGAGGCUUGAUCACAAGAUCGAACGAGAAAGUUUAAUUACCUUUUUCUAUUCUGUGAAUGCACGUUUAUUGACACUAGCUUUGACCAGUAAGAGCAAAAUGCAAACGCCGAGCUUUAAGUGGCCUUUAGCUGCAAAACAAAAGAGAGGAAAUAAGGUAAUUUAUUAUUAUUAUUAUUUUUAAGGACGGAUAAAGGUUAGCUAGCUUGCAGACAAAUUUACUAAAAUCAAGACAAACCUAAGAGUUUUCCUAAUUUGUUCAAACAUGGAAUAAGCGUUUCACAACAGUAUAUCCAUAAAGGCCCCAGCGAACGUAAUAUGUGCUGGACUAUAUUGAAAUUAGAUUAUUUUAGAAAAUUUUAAAUAAAAAAUAUCAAACAACAAAGAAAUCUAAUAGAAUCUGGAUAAACAGCAUGGGAGAAUAUGGUAAAAUUGAUAAACUUGGUUCAAAAAUUACAAUUCUUUUUGAGAUUUGAACCAACGAUUUUGACUAAGGUCUCCUAAGCCACAAAGCAUAACUCUUACUACUAAAUUACGCGCAUUUUGUUACAUUUAAAUGUGGUCAUAUUCUUUUUAUUAUCUUUUUUUAGAAGGGACUCAUGGUAUACUUAAAAGAAAUAAUAAUGAUUUAGAUAGGGCUGAAGCCCACUCAUGAAAAAAUUCAAAGGUUUUCAAGAUAAUUACCGAUUUUUUUCCACCCAAUAUUCUAAUAGAAUGGUGCCAGAAUUCUCAAAUAAUAUCUUAAUAUUAUUUAACUGGUUGGCACCCACCUAUUGGAUGAUUAAUUUAAUAAUUUGUUACAUUAUUUAAUACUCCAUCUCACUAUCUAGUGAUGUAAAUGGUGGAGAAGGAUCGUCUCCUAGACUUUUUUCUCUCACUAAUCUCUUAGUGAAAUAAGUGGCCGAAAUUGAAUUUUAAUUUUUGAUAUUGACAAUUAAAUUGGCUUGUUUCACAUUAUUAACAAUUAAGCCAAUUUUUUUUUUCUCCUUUUUUCAAUUAGAUUUGGAAGGCUAUAAGAGAGUAGGAGAGAAAAAACACUAGAAGGAGAUCUUAAUCCAUAAAUAGUACCUUAUUUGGGAUGGUAAAGAUUGAGAUAAAUUUCCUCUUAGUCUCUAAAAUUUUGGCCUAUGCGCAGCCAUAAUUUUAGUAUUUUUAAAAAGAAUGGGAUUAUUUACAUUCUAAAAUCUAUUUUGAAUACUCUUUUACUCAACACACUCAUUCAAUAAAUAAAUUUUAAAAAAUAAUUUUUACUUUACACACUAUUUCGAGAGUCAAAACUAUCCUUCAUUAGGACCAUUUCAUUAACUAAUUAUUUUCUAUUGACACCCAUAAAAUAUUCAUCAUUCUUGAACCAUGUGGCGUUAAUUAAUGAUUCCGAAGCAUUAUCAAGAUUCAAGAUUUAUGUUGAAAUUCUUUCAUCUGACAUUUGAACCCAGCCACUAGCUAUAUACAUAUAUACUUUCAAAUGCAGCUCCGGGAAUAUUUUGUGACUGAUUUUAUAAAGUGUUUUAGUUACAUUAAUGCAGUGAAACAAUAAAGAGUACGUGGCUUGCUGAUUUCCAAAUCAAGUUGGGGGAAAAAACAGAGCAUUUUUCUUUUAUAAUGGAUUAGAUUAGACGAUGAAGGAAAAAUUAUUAGCGAUUAUUAGUACUUUUGUGUGUGUUAAGAGUAAUAAUAUUAUUUUAAAUUAUAUUAAUGCCUUUGGUACUGAAUUCAAUUAGGGUUAUUUUAGUAAUAUAAAUUUUCAUUAAAAUUAAAGUGUCCAAAUUAUAAUUUAGAUUUUUCAAAUGUAAAAUAAUAUUUAUUUAUUUGAUAUAAAUUAAAAUUCAAACAAAUGUAUCAUGCAACAAAUGAAAAGUAAAGAAUAUUAAUUAGGUUUUAAUAGAAACAAAUAUAAAUAGAUGUUUUGAGUAGUUAAUUUUUGUUAUUUUAUGCUAUUGGUAGUUUGUGGAUUAAAUAAUUUGUAUAAGGAUAAAUGGGGGUUUGUAUAAUUUAUACGAAGAUAAUCUCCAAAAUAAGCUUAUAUGUCGAAUUUAAAAGUGUUAUAUAAGUAGUAAUCGUAUAUGCAUCAAAAUUUUUAAUAAAAUUUAUUUAGAAAUUGGCCAAUUGAGUUUUAUGAAGAAAAUAGACGGGCAAGUAAUUUGUAGGUUGUGGUACUUCUCCAUACUUCAAAUCACUUUUAUCUAAUCAAUUGAUAAAUAUUUUUGGGCUCCAACAAAAUGAAAAGAAAAAGUUAAAAAUAAUUCUGAAAUUAAAAACGUUAGGUACUGCCUAUAAGCUAUACAAUUUUACCUUUCCUUCUAUCACAAUUAGUAUUAGAAAUAAAAAUAGUUUCGAAAUAAAUGUAAUUAGGAGGUAAUAUUAUCUCAACAAUACCUUAUAGGGAAAAAAACAUCUAUAUCCUAAAGUUUGGAGAAAUGGUCGUAAAGACCCCAGGUUUUCAGAAAGGGAUAUCAAGACCCUUUUUUGACCGUAAUACCCUUUAAAUCUAGUAAUUAAAAAAUUGACUUUAAGAUUUUUUAAUUGACAAAUUUAAUAUAAAUAAUAUAAUCUAUCUAGUAGAUUAAUAAUAUUAACAAUAAAAAUAAUAUUAAAAUUUAAAUUCUUAUAUUUAUUCUAAUAAUAUUUUUUUAUUUAUUAUAAAGAUUUUAAAUAAAUCCUUGGGUUAAAUAGGUUUUCCAGUUAACAAAAUAUACCCCUAUUAAAAAUAUUGAAAUUACUUUCUACAUAAUAUUUAAAAUAAUUACAAUUUAUUUAUUUUAAUAUUAUGUUUCUAUUUAUUAUUAAAAAUUACUUUAUUAGAGCAAAUUUUUAUUAAUUAAAGCUUUAAAAUUAAUUUUCUAAUUACUAAAUUAAAAGGGUAUUAUGGUCAAAAUGGGUCUUUCAUUUUUGAAAACUUAGGGUUUUUGCGACCAUCUCCCCAAACUUUGGAGUAUAGGUGUCCUUUUCCCGACUUCAUAUAAAGAUAUUCCAGAAGGUCUUAUAAUAACUUAUGUUAUAUGAAUUUAAUUAAAAUAUCAUUAAUACUUAAAUAAUAAUAAUUAUAGAAGACAUUGUAAUAAAUUAUUUGAUAUAUAUUAUUAAUGAUACUAUAUAUAUGUGUAUAUAACUACAUGAUGGCUUGGAUAUAUAUUGUUUAGUGGUAAUAAAUUUUUUUAAAAAAAUUUAAACUAAUGAUUUCAUGCGAUUCAAUGUUGGAUGAUUUAAAAUCAUAAAAUAUUGUUUUGACUUUCAAUAUCAACCGUUAGACUGUGAGAAAUUAAUUGCUCAAUAUUUUGUGUUAAAAUUUUAAAUUAAAAUAUCCCAAACCAUUUGUUUUACUUAAAAUACAAAAAAUAUAUAAAGAAAUUUUCUCAUUAAUUUUCAUAUUUUUAUUAGAGGUAAUAUUUUAUGUAUCGUCACCAUUAAUUGCCGUCAUUAAAGUAGUGACUCUUACUAAUAUAAAAUUUUAUAAUUAGUUAAUUGCAAUCAAAUGAUAUCAAUAAAAUAAUAUUUCAUGAUUCAUAAAUUAAAUCUAAUUAAGAAUAUAUGUUAGUUUUAACUUUUAUGAAAUCAACUAAGUGAUAUUACAAAAUAAAAUGAAAAUAAACUAGUGAAAUGAUGUGCUCAUAAUUUAUCUAUUAUUUUAAUGCUUCCAUAACUUAAUUUUAUGUUAAAUUAUAUUUUAUUAUAUUAAUUUUUAUCUUAAUUUUUAUAUUUUGUCAUUGUAGGAAUAAUGGGAAUAUUCAUGAGAAAAGAAGCUUAAAGAGGAAACAAAUUAGAGUAUAAUGAAAAUAAUGUGGAAGCAAAAGGGAAAGAAAUAAAAAGCCAAAUCAAGGCUGAUUGAAUUUAAUCAUCAUGCAUGCAACACGUGGGGGGAGCAUUAAAGAAUUAAUUUGCAAAUUGGCCAAUUAAACUUUACAAGUCACGUGGAUGGGCUUAAAAGGUGGCUAGAAUUGUUUUGUUUUAAAAAUCCCUUUCAUUUAAGGAUUCGUGGGCUGGAUUUGCAAUCCUUUUCCUUUAAGGAUUUGGAAGAAACCACAACAUUAUAAAAGAGAAGAAAGGCAGCCGCACAAGAGGGAUGGAAGCCAAGAGAAAAGAAAUAAUUGAGCAGCAACCGGAAGUCUUGAACGAAAACCGAAGAGCAGCAGCAAUAAUUUAGAGCAGAAGGAAGACACGUUAAUUCUUGAGUUUUUCUCUCUCUCUUCUCUAUUAUCUUGCUUGAAUGUUUCCAAUUAAAUUAAUGAAUUCUCUUUAUAUUCCCAUGAACUAAUUUAUUUACUAGGGCUACGAUGUAGCCUAAUUAUGAAGAUUUAAUUCCAUAAAUCUAUGUUAUUUUUUAAUUAAUUAUUCCAUGAUUGAGUGUUCAUUAUUGUGCUUAAUGCUUUUAAAUAUCUGGCCAAUAUUUGAAUGAUUCGAGGAUACAUAAUGAGACCGAGAUGAGAUUUAUGUAUUUUUGCUCUGUGUAAUGGAUGCCAUGAAUUGAACGAAAGACAUAGAUGUGCCAACGUGAUUCAUGCAGUUUUAUCUAAGAAUUUCCAUAGAACUUAAUGAAUCUUUGCAUAUUUAAAUUCACAUAGAGAUAUAGUGGGUUGAUAUGUGGAGAUAUUUUUGAUAUUACUCGAGAGAGGAUAUUGAAUAAAUUAGGGAAAUUCACUGUCAACAUGGGUAAUAAACUUUAAUAGCAUAGAUAGAGGAUUAAAUUGGAUUGGUUAUGGUGAAAUCGGAUGUCCUAGUGUUUUAAUCUCUUGGUGAUUUCUAUUACUGCCUGCGUCUUCAUUUAAUUUUUAAUUAUUUUAUUUUAUUUAACUUUAAUCUAAAUUCGCCUAAUCGAUUGUUCAAAUAAAGCAGGGUUAGAAUAAUUUCGGUAACUAAUAGGAUAUACAAUCUCUGUGGGACGAUACUCUACUCUUCAUUAUAUUACUUGUGCCGACUAGUACACUUGCUAAUUUACGCAACAAGUUUUUGAUAUAAAAUUUACACUUGCUAAAGUAGUGACUCUUACUGAUAUAAAAUUUUAUAAUUAGUUAAUUGCAAUCAAAUGAUAUCAAUAAAAUAAUAUUUCAUGAUUCAUAAAUUAAAUCUAAUUAAGAAUAUAUGUUAGUUUUAACUUUUAUGAAAUCAACUAAGUGAUAUUAGAAAAUAAAAUGAAAAUAAACUAGUGAAACUUAAAUUUUAUAAGGUUUGAAUAAUUUUCUACCACGUAAGAAUAUUAAUUGUGACAUAAACCAUAGUUUCAUGGUAUAUGUAUGCCAAAUGGGGUAACAAAUAAUAUAUACUUCAUGAUCAUGAUAGUAUAUAAAGUAGUGGAUAUUUUAAUAAAUAACAUAAAAUUCUUUAAGACAUAGGUGGUCAAUUAUAUAUUUUUUAGGAUAUAGACAAUCUCAAUCAAGAGUUUAUUGAUGUGAAUAGAUGGCAUUCACUUAAAUGUAUAUACUUAAUUGUGUUGUUUAUUGGUAUUACAUGUAACAAAAUUUUAUAUUAAAUUUUGAAGUUUUAUACUGUUGUUUCUAUUGAAUUUAUAAAUACAAUAAAAUUAUGGCCAUCAACAAUCACAACCAACUGCCACCAACAAUUACAUUCUCAUAUCUGUUGACGACAAUUUUUUAUACUAUUGGAACUCCAAUCUUUGAUGCUACACAAUAGUUAAAGUACCGACAUCAAUAGAACUUCCGUUCAUUGUAGAUCUAUAGUCAAAGUUUCGAAUCUUAAAAAAUUGACAGCAGAUUUAUGUCAAAUGAAAGCUUGUUACCAGUGAUUCUUAUACAAUUAUGUUGUUAUAGUAAUAAAGAUUCUAAUGGUACUAAAAUGCACUCCAUUAGACAUAAAGAUCCGACGACUAGUGGCGACAAUAACUAUCAUUAGUGACUUGGAGGUAAUUGCCGUUAAUAAAUUAUUUUUAACUUAAUAAUUAAUACAAACAAAUAAAAAAGUAAUUUAAGGAAAAUUAAUGUAAUAAAUAAUUGAAUUAAAAAAAUUAAAACCUAAAUUCUCGACCAUUUAUCCGUAUCUUUGGAAUCCAACGUUCAAAAUUGGAAUAAAACAUAGUAUAGCCAUUGGAAGUAAAACAAACAUUAAAGAGACUAGGAAAAAAUAUCUCAUACCUUCUAUAAUGAUACAUCCUCAAUCACUGCAGAAAGCUCCAAUUAAAAAGUCGCACAAGUUCGGAGAAAAUUACCAACUGUACCUAACAACACAAAUAAACAUCAAAUCAAAGCAACAUAGGAUCCAGCUAAUUAACAUCAUAAGUAAGUCCUUGUUCUCAGUCAAAUCUUUCGUUCUUAGGAAAAAAAAAAAAAUUGAAAGAAUAACGGUAACUGGAAAGUUUGACGACAUAAAGAUCUAGCUAAAUUUUAAGAAGCAAAAGUAAAUAAUGAAAGCUCAAUAAAAGAUCAUCAGCAUUAACAUACCGAAAUGAGAGCAGCUCACAGAACUGGUAAUUUCCAAGAACAGGAAAAAUAAGUGAGCUGAUAUUGAGGACAACUAAAGUAGUCAUGGAGUAAUUUGCUAUUGAGGACACCUAAAAUAAGAAAAUUAAUUAACAUUGCUCUAUACACCAUUUCAAUAAUUUGACUAUUAAAAAAAAAAUCUAUCUAGAUCACGAUUUCUCAAAAUGAUACUUUUUCUAAUUAAAUAAAUCAAAAUGCUUGCUUCUUUCUUUUUCAGAAAAGAAAAAGUGGCAAUGGCAUCAAUUUUUUUGCUAGAUUAUUAUCACCAAAAGCACAAGCAAGGAAUAAGAAUACUCUCUGAAACCAACCAUGUAAAGAGUAGAAGUAAGUGGUCAAUUGUAAAUUAGUCUUUCUUUUUUCUUUGUUAUUUUUUUCAUUUUUUGAAUGUGAACUAAAUAAAUUUAAGGGUGAAGCUAUUACACCUUGAAAACUAUAACUGAACACCCAUUUUUUUAAUUAAAUUUUUAUUACUAAAAUAACCAUGGAGUAAUUUGCUACUAAGGAAAACUAGAAUAAUAAAAUGAAUAAUGAUUGCUCUAUACACCCUUUUCUAAGUCUAUCUUCUUCUUAAUUUCAUAAUUUGGCUGUCAAAAAGUAAUCUAUCUAGAUCACGAUUUCUCAAAUGAUGCUUUUUCUAUCUAAAUAAAUGAAAAUGCUUGUUUCUUUCUUUCUCGAAAAGAAAAAGUGGCAAUGGCAUCAAUUUUUGCUUGCAAGCACAGCGAGGAAUCAGUAUACUCUCGGAAACUAACCAUAUUAAGAGUAGAAAUAUUUAUUUGGUUAUCACGAAGUAAGUUAGAAAUCAAUUAUAAAUGGUCUUUUUUUAUUUUUUAAUGUGAACUAUAUAAAUUUAAGGUGAGGUUAUUUACACUUUGAAAAACAUUCUGAAAACCAUUAUUUCAUUAAAUUUUUUAUUAUUAAAGGUCCGUUUGGGGCAGCUACGUUGAAGCAGCGCAGCUGCCCCAAACGCUCUCUAAAAUAGCCAUGGAGUAAUUUCUUACUGAGGAAAACUAGAAUAAUAAAAUCAAUUAUCAUUCUUCCAUGAACCCGUUUCUAGAUGUAUCUUCUUCUUGAUUUGGUAACUUGGCUGUCAAAAAGAAAUCUAUCUAGAUCACGAUUCCUCAAAAUGAUGCUUUUUCGGAUGAAAUAAAUGAAAUUGAACCUACAAUCUGUCACAAACACGUUAUAAUGAGCCUAAUGAAAAGCAGUAUGAGAAAUUUUGCUUCCAUGUUGUUUCUUCCAUAUGUAAAGGUAGUAAAAAGAAAUUUAAGUCCUAGAAACAAAUGGAUGAAGAAUUAUCAAUAAUUAAAAUUAAAAAAAGAAACAGAGUUAUAAAAGAAUCACAGUUCCACCAAAAAUUAAGAGUUAUUUUAUUUGGUGGUUUCCUAUCCCGAAAGCAUUACUUGUAAAUAUGUGCUAACAAGUAAUAAUUAAGAAAGUUAAGGCCAAUCAUUUAGAAGGGAGAAAAAUGGAAACAUCCGGAAUAUUGUUAUGUGUUUUCAGUGCGUAUCUACCAAUCAAUAAUGAAAAAUUAAAUACGCAUGUGACGAAAAUUUAAUAAAGAGAACUGGAGGUGACAAAAUUUUUAUUAUUCUAUCUUUCUCUCCUCUGAAACUUCCUUAAUUUGGUUGGGAAGUGCUUUGUCUUAGGCAGUGGAUCUGUUAUAAAUACCCUAUGCUAAAGUUAAUAUUUUGAUUGAAGAAAAAAAUAGAGGAGAAAAAUUUUAUUAAAGUAUAACAUAAUUUGAUAAAUUUAGAAUUGAGGAGAGAAAAUGAGUCUAAAUUCGAAAAUUUUGGCACUAUUUACAUAUAAUUAUUUGGGCAAAAAUUCAUUUCUCUGCUUUCAUAUGAUUUGGUCUUUCAUUGUUACGGUGCCAAUUUUUUAUUUAAAGAUGUAAGAUAGUGGUACUAUAGCUUAGAUUUUCCGUAAAUACUACAUGGUAAGUACAAAAUAAAAUACUAGUUUAAAAUAUAAAAAUGAAAAACUAUUUUUAUAACCAAUAUUCAAUUAAAUACACUUGAAACUCUAUUUUUUCUUAAUAAAAAAAUUCUAAUUUAUUUUCUCAAUUUAUCUAAACAACUUUACCUAAUCAAGCUAAAUCUACAUAUUACCCUAAACCUUAAUUCAUAAACACCCAAUCAAUCCAAUUGUUAAAUCCGAUUUCAUAAUUAAAAAAGCUAAAUUCUAUUUUAUUAUUUAUGGUGCAAAGUAAAAAAUGCCCUUGAAGUUAAGGGUAAAAUUGAUAUUUUAUUUAAAUUUUGUUAAUAUUCUAAUAAUGUUAAUGUCUUAGUGGUUAAUAAAAUCACAAAGUCAAACUUUUGUAGUAUUUUUUAUAAUAAGUUAAAGAUAUAUGUUUGAUAAUUUUCCUACGUCUUUUUACGUUAAAUUGAGUCUCAAGAGAAAAAUGAUUAAUUUGCUACAAUUCUGUCAGUUUUCUGAUGGAAGAUAAUGAUACAAUGAAUAAAUAAUACAAAUUAUUAAAUUAAUGUUGAUGAAUGAUACAACUUGAAAAUAUUGUAGUAUUCUUAAUAGUAGAGAAAUGUAAAGGUGGAUGGUUGAUAAUUUAAUGAAGUAACUACAGAAUUUUCCUUUCAAAUAUUUUUUUAAAAUAUAUAAUGAGUAAAAAUCAUUUUACAGAAUGAUCAUACGCAUUUUGUAUCACAAACGAAAACAUGAACCAACUAUGUAUAGAGUCAAUUAACUAAAGUUCUCAAGAGUUGACCUGUGCUCCUGAAUUCUUGGAAUCAUAUAUCUCCUUCUGAAUUUCCACGAAGCCUGGGACAAUUAUUAACAUAUACAAACUUGGCAGAUGGAAAUGGGAUCUGAUAACCCGUAGGCCAAAAGUUGGUGAGGUUUGGUAAAUCUGACAGUAUCAACUCCCCAAGUUCAUUCAUAACAAUUUCAUUGUACUCCGUGACGUCUGCUCCAUCUUUAUGCCAGAAUACUUCUUCUAAUUCAUCAUUACCUAUUAUCCAUAUGUACUUCAGUUUUUGAAGACUUGGAGCUACGCUGAUAUGAAAUAGAUGCUUUAGUUUGGGGCAAUAACCGACAGAGAUCCUUUUGAGUUUUGGGAAACAUACAGGUUGGAGAUGAUCCUCAUCCUCAUCCUCAUCAAUGAUUUGCUCUAAUUCGAAGCAAUUCCAAACAUAUAAC
rnacentral:lncRNA from 1 species